rnacentral:lncRNA from 1 species
UAUAAAUAGGCCUGUAGCAUGAUGACCAUCCUUCCUCAUUCAUCAUUCUCAUAAGUAGAGUGUACCAUUCAAGCCAAGCAAGCAGUGGUCAAUACAAAUCCACCAUGAAGACCUUUCUCAUCUUUUCCCUCCUUGCUAUCGUGGCGACCACUGCAACAACUGCAGUUAGAGUUCCAGUGCCACAAUUGCAGCCGCAAAAUCCAUCUCAGCAACAACCACAAGAGCAAGUUCCGUUGGUGCAACAACAACAAUAUCCAGGGCAGCAACAACCAUUUCCACCACAACAACCAUAUCCGCAGCCGCAACCAUUUCCAUCACAACAACCAUUUCUGCAGCCGCAACCAUUUCUGCUACAACUACCAUAUCCGCAGCCACAACCAUUUCCACCACAACAACCAUAUCCACAACCGCAACCACAGUAUCCGCAACCACAACAACCAAUUUCACAGCAACAAGCGCAACAAGCACAACAACAACAACAACAACAACAACAACAAUAACAAUAACAACAACAACAAAUCCUUCAACAAAUUCUGCAACAACAACAACUGAUUCCAUGCAGGGAUGUCGUCUUGCAACAACACAACAUAGCGCAUGCAAGCUCACAAGUAUUGCAACAAAGUAGUUACCAACUGUUGCAACAAUUAUGUUGUCAACGGUUGUGGCAGAUCCCCGAGCAGUCGCGGUGCCAAGCCAUCCACAAUGUCGUUCAUGCUAUUAUUCUGCAACAACAACAACAACAACAACAACAACAACAACAACAACAACAACAACAACCGUCGAGCCAGGUCUCCUACCAGCAGCCUCAGCAACAAUAUCCAUCGGGCCAGGGCUCCUUCCAGCCAUCUCAGCAGAACCCAUAGGCCCAGGGCUCUGUCCAGUCUCAACAACUUCCCCAGUUCGAGGAAAUAAGGAACCUAGUGCUGCAGACGCUACCGGCAAUGUGCAAUGUCUACAUCCCUCCAUAUUGCUCGACCACCAUUGCGCCAUCUGGCAUCUUCGGUACUAACUGAGAAGAGAAGAACUUGUACUAGAUAUAUGAAACACCGUUUCCUUAGUCCAUGGUUUGGUCGUUGUAGCGGUGACAAAAUAAAGUGACAUGCACUAUCAUGUAAGAACCCGAACUAUACUAGUUCAAACUUGGGAAUAAAAGACAAACACAUGUCUUGUCUGCAUAUGAUUGUUUGUUUGAGUUCCAUUCAUGUGCCCGUUCACAAGUUCACCCCUAAUUAUAUAUAUUACACAAUAAGUAGAUAUUUAUGUUUCAUUAAUCUAAAUAUAACAAAAUGAGUCUGAAACUUGAAUUAAAUUGAAGUAUUUUCUUGGACUUUCAAAUUAAGUAUUAUUAAAGUAGUAAGGACUAUCCACAUCCUUGGCUUGCCCUUGAUCAAUUAUUUCCAGAGAAGCAUUCAAUUCAUCAAUCAAUUACAUUGGUUUUUGUGACUGGUACUUCUCCUCAUCAUGAGUAUCAUUGCGACUACUCCAAAUCGCCCACAUAACCGAAGCAUUAAUAGCGCUCUUCUUGCAUCAAGGAAAUAUGGAUCGAAGAUAUCACUUGACCAUGUUUCCGGGUGCAACCUUGGGAGUUUUAUGUCAGAAUAUUCUCAAGGAGAAUCCAAGAAUAAACUUGCAUGCUCAUGUGUGAUAAGGGCAUAUGAAGUAACAUUUCCUCCCCAUGGCCACACAUAGGGCACACACAUAACCCCAUCACAUGCCUUUUUAGUUAUGCAUAUGAAGGUAGGAUGUUUUUAAUUACUCUCCACCAAAAUACUCUUAACUUGGCUUGUACCCUAAGCUUUCGUUGCCUUUUCAAUUUCUCUUCCCCACUAGACAAACUAGACAGUCCAUCUACCACACCAUACCUUGUGUCCAUCAUGGCUCUGUACAACAAUUGAACAGGACAAAUGUCAUUUCUUUACGAUACCCACGACCAAGUGUCCUCUGCUGGGUUGUUUGGUCGUGGCAUAUUAAGGAUGGACACCUCAUCUGAUGGGACAAACACCUAACGAAUGAAAGGAGUGUUCCAGCCGCCCAUGUUUUUCUUCUCGAUAAGAUGAGCUACAAGUUGGACUGGAGUUUCUCAUGCACCAUAGUGGUUUCAUCAGCGGCAUGCCCUGCACACAUUUAUCAUGCCAUAUCUUUGUAGUGUGCAUUCCCAAUUUAUCACAACAUACCCUCCUUCAAACCUUUUUGCCUUUCAGAAUAGCACGCCAAGCUAGCGAUGCACUAUGCAGUAACCCACAUUUGAAAAAAAAAGAAUCUCAUUUCAUGGUAUCUUCCACGAAGGACCCUCGCACAUGAGUUAUCUAGAUAGAAAUAGCCAUGUAUGUUUAGCAAACUUUGCAUAAGUGAAUAGAUCAAGGUCGUGGAAACCCAAGCCUCCAAUUACACCCAGCCUCUCUACCAACAAGAUGUCCAAAGACAUCAAGGAUACACAAAGCCAAAAAAGAAAAUAAAAAGAGCAGAAGAAAAAAAAUACCCUGCCAUGGUGAUCAAUCACUAGAAUCAACAGCACUCUAACCACCACCGAAGACAAUGCCCGAAUUACAAAAAAGGUUCUCCAAAAGCAACGCCCCCAAGAAGGAAACAAUGCACAAGCAUUGUCGUUGCCCGAUCGAAGAUCAUGGGUUUUCACCCUGGAAAAAUUUCGAGUUCACUAAAAAAUAAUGCCUUCAACAAGGCCAUUGCCAAGUACAACCAAUAAGGGCCAGACCUUGGGUUUCCACCAUAGGAAUUGAGACUCGAUACUCGAGGAGUACCACCAAAAAUGCAGUCCGCAAGUGUUGCCGCCCCCGCUUGCUGAGGCCGCUGUUGCAAGUCACCAACCACCUGUCAUACAUUUGUCGUCGCAUCCAAUACACCCUUCCGCUGAAGCUUCAAGACCUCCAACCGCAGCCGCCAUGACUUUCUCCUAGUCUAUCAAUGCCUUGAGAAUCUUGAGUUAGACAUGUCCAAUGACAUAAAUAAGAAAUCGAAGCUUCGUGCCACGUCCUCUUGAGGCCGUGUUGGCUGAUAAUAUUAGCGUGCAUGACCGGAGCCUUUCCGAUCUAGAUAUCCAGGGGCGACAUACACCAAUCCAUAUAGAUCUCCGCUCGGUAAGACCGAAACUCAUCAACGGCCAGAUCCAAGAGGUCGACAUCCGGUAGAAAGAUGACUUGGCGGAAGAAGAGCAUCAGGGCCAAACCGCCAUUAUUAGUCCGAAGCUAAUAGCCUCCACGCCACCCUCCUCUCGAUCCAGACCUGCAGAAAAUGAUCAACAACGCCGCGCCGUGCCACUCGCAUCCAUGGAGGCUUGAACUUGGCAAGACGCGAACCAUGGCUGGAGACGGGGACCAGCCACUCCUGGCCGGAUCCGGUGACUCCUAGUCCCACCACUGCCACUACGGCGGCACCGCGUGUAGCCUACAAGCCCAUCCAUGAUGAUGUCUGAUUAGAUGGAUACAUGGAUAUACAGAUGAAAUGGCCCUCGUUAUCCCUCCAACAAUAUAUAUAAAGCUUAUUGGGACAUGAGAAAGCUCGCACAAUUUUAUAGUGGCUAUGGAAAUGUGUUGCCAGACAGAGAUAUAAGAUUUUCGUUUGGCAUCCAGACCGCUUGUGUCAUCCUUAAUCGAUGACCACUCUAAUUUUUCCGGCGGGCCUUCCCUGUGGUACUGCAGCCUUACAUGUGUAUGGAUUUCAUAUAGCUAUUCUGUCCAGUCGGAAAAGGAGACAACCAAAAUUACUUGGAGUUGAUAACUAAUAUGUUUCCUUUAACUACCACGUGCACGACGAGGAUUUACGGCACGCAAGUGCAGGGGCAGGUACUGGUGCCGCCUUUUUAUUCUAGCCUCCAAUUUUCAAAUUUCUAUAUCUUUCAAACAAACAAAAUCAACUUAAGUUAUGUUUUCAUAUUCGUAUUUCUUGCCGCCAGCGCUUUGAAAUAAUAUUCAUUUUGAAUAUAUUUUGGCAAUUUUUAAACACAAUGUUAAUUUCCAUUGUUUAAAACUUAGUACGAGCGACCGAUAAUAUUCAAUUAUUUUGUGUCUCUGACCAACAGAAAAAAAUGCUUGAAAUUGCAUCUUUGAAACUUGUUGAAACUGGGCAUUUUCUAAUGCAAAAGCGGUAAGUUUUCAUCGUUGAAACUUAAAGGUUUUUGAUGGAUUUUCUUCUUUACUGUGCCCUACUUCAUGAAUCGUGAGACAAAUCGAGCAGGUGGCAGGGCUUGGCCAGUGAGUGCCCUUGCACUUAGGUGCCCCAGCGAAUUUCCACUUGCAUCGUAGCAUUCUUUUUCCGAGUCCUGCGAACGAACGAUGGUGCAUACAAAAAGUCUAUCCUAUAUGCGUACAUGUGCAUGAUCAAAACAUGUUUGUACGUGCAUCUGCUAUAAAUCUCGACCAUUUUGAACACAAAUCAUGACCAUUAAAAUACAUGAUUAGUGGAUCAUACUAUCGUAACCUAUGUGAGAUCAUGUGGAGUAAUAUAUUAUAGUAUAUAGAUAGAUCUAUGUUGUAUUUUUUUUGUUAGAAAAAUAUCUGUCAUUACAUAUUUAGAUUUAUGCAUCUGUUCUUGCCAAAAAAAUCACUAACAUUUCACAGUGGAAAGUUUGUAAUUAUAUCAUAUUGAACACCAAUGUUUUCCCGCAAAAGAAAAUAAUGCCUAUGCAUAUGCUUUUAUAUUAUUAUUAUUGUUUCAAAUAUAUCCAUAUAUUAUUUUUGGUUGUACAACCAUAAUUUUCUUAUCCCUCUCGUUCCACUAAAUGCUCCUAGUCACUGAAUUAUAUACACCAAAUAAACCCCUUUGCACGUCGUUAAUGACCAAAAAAAGUUGAUGCUGGCUAUGUUCUCUGAUGUCAGCAUGAUAUCAUAUAUAGUGAUUAGCAUGAACGAAUCCCUUUGACUCAUGCGUACUCCCUUUGGAAAGAAAUAUAAGAGUGUUUACAUAACUAAAGUUGUGAUCUAAACACUUAUAUUUCUUUAAAGAGGGAGUAUAAAUUAAGAAGUGCAAGAUAAAGAAAUGCUGGUCCUUGAUUUGUUGUUGACUCUUAUAUUCUUUAGGGAGGAAGUAUAAAUUAAGAGCUAUAGCUAUCUAACCUAAACCGACUCAAACAACUACUCCUGGCCACACACACGUUGGAACAUAACUAGGACACGGGCAGCAUGCAUGCUAAUUCCUAAUACUACACGGCUUGCAAAACGGUCACCCCACGUACAUCUCAACUUACCUAGUUAAUUAUCCGGCCAGCUUGAUCACAAUUACACCAAACUAACUCAGGCAUUGUUUGGAUUAUCCCAACAAUCACCCCUAAUCCAAACAUCCGUCUCUUUAUCCGACGACACACGAGACACGCAGACGACCACCUGUUCAUCUUGUCAGGCUGGCUGCCUCCGGUGACGCAACUUACCGGACUGCAACUUCGCUCUCCUUGCAAUGAUGAUCACAACUUCAUCUCACCGCAACUUCGUUUGCAUACCAACUCAUAGAUUUUAACCAAUGAAUACCCGGACUACCAGCCACGCUGUCACAUCUUAGCGUGCUACAUGCAGACUAAACACAUAGCCUCAUGCAUGAACUCAACUUAACUGGUGCGUGUCCAUCUUCACGUUGAUCUUCAUCUUCUCAUCGGUUGAAUGCACGCGGGGAGGCACAACUCUUCACCCACCACAUCUCCACUUUCCCAUCAUCGUUGGUGACACAACUUACCAAACAACGCUCCCUGUCGAGCGGCAAUACAACUCGCCAUAUACGUGCAAUCACUAGUAAAAAACCACCCAUUAGUCCCGGUUCGUAAGGGCCUUUAGUCCCGGUUCAGGAACUGGGACUAAUGGGCCGUUACUAAUACCUCAACCCAUUAGUCCCGGAUCAAACACGAACCGGGACCAAUGUGCCUCCACGUGGCCCUGUUCAUCUUCGCUCUCCUUGCAAUGAUGAUCACUACUUCAUCUCACCGCAACUUCGUUUGCAUACCAACUCAUAGAUUUUAACCAAUGAAUACCCGGACUACCAGCCACGCUGUCACAUCUUAGCGUGCUACAUGCAGACUAAACACAUAGCCUCAUGCAUGAACUCAACUUAACUGGUGCGUGUCCAUCUUCACGUUGAUCUUCAUCUUCUCAUCGGUUGAAUGCACGCGGGGAGGCACAACUCUUCACCCACCACAUCUCCACUUUCCCAUCAUCGUUGGUGACACAACUUACCAAACAACGCUCCCUGUCGAGCGGCAAUACAACUCGCCAUAUACGUGCAACCACUAGUAAAAAACCACCCAUUAGUCCCAGUUCGUAAGGGCCUUUAGUCCCGGUUCAGGAACUGGGACUAAUGGGUCGUUACUAAUACCUCAACCCAUUAGUCCCGGAUCAAACACGAACCGGGACCAAUGUGCCUCCACGUGGCCCUGUGCGCCGAGCCCAGUCAGGGGGCCUUUGGUCCCGGUUGGUGGCUCCAACCGGGACCAAAAGGCAUCCACGCGUCUGCAUUCCAGUGGCUGGGGUUUUUUUUUUGAAAGGAGGGGGGUUGGGGGUUUUGGGGGGUUAAUUUAGGUGUUUCGUAUAUUGUGUUAGCUAGCUAAUCAAUAAAGAGAAGUGUCCUCUCUUAUGUCCGUGCUUGGUCGACGCUACGUAGUAUAUAUACAUAAGUGAUCGAGAGAACCAUUUAGUACAGAAGUUCGUCAUGCAUACCGAGAGAAGUGAUCGAUCGACCUCUCCUUCUCCGAGAGAUUGGUCGAACAACAAGUUUUUUACUGGCUACAUACAUGUACAAUCUAUAUAAGAUCUCUUAAUUACAAACCCCUAGCAUUUGAAAUCAACUUCCACAUGGUAUUCUCCGGCUUUACUGAUGACGUGUUCAAGAAAAAAUCCCGCCAAUUCCUCUUGAAUUGCUUUCAUGCGAUCUGGUGGUAGGAGUUCAUCCCGCAUCUGCCACGUCUAAUUAAUUUGAAGAAGGGGGUUAAUUAAUACAUAUAUAUGAAUGAAACUCAACAGAAAUGAUGGUGUAAUAAAAUGAAAUUGUGAAUAUUAUUGCUUACGCACUUCAUAUUGUCUUCUAGAGUAGCCCCGCUUGUUUUUCAAAGUCGCGUUGUGGAUGAACUCGCACACAUAGUAUCCACAGAAAUCAUUCCCUUCCUCCUGCCACAAGCACUUUACGAGAAAUAGAGGUCAAUCAAACUGAUAAUGAAGCAUUAUAAAUGGCAUUGAUGAAAGUAUAGCUAUAAAAUCAACGGGAGAUGCGCGCAACUAGCUAGCCAGUAGUACUUACUUUCGGGUAUAAAUAUCGCAGCUCCUUCGGCAGUCCCGGAGCUUGUGCGGUGAACUGUUUCCAAACCCUGCAAGACAAAGACAAUAAUUAUUAUUACUUGAGAUAUCAGGAAAUGAACAAAAAGUUGCCGAUAUGGUGCGAUAAUGAUCGAUUGAACUUACUUGCUGAGCAUUUCAGUCAUGUCCGCAUAGGUGCUGGGAUCUUUCCGUCUGGAGUCUAAGACGGUUACUAGUCCACGCUCAAGCUUAAUCUCCAGAAGAAUAUAGUGGUACCUGCACACACAUGCAUAACUCAUCAAUUACAUUAACCUCGCUUGAGUAAUAAGGGAAACCAAAUAUGCACAUGACAGUAACACUCACGGGCCGUUGUAAGGAAAGAGUAUGGUAUCUUUGUUUUGAUUUUUGAUUAACGAUUGUAGCAAGUUGUCCUCGGCCUCUUCGACGUUCUUUUCAACCAGAAAUACAUCUAUGAUAUUUGUGUUAAUGAACCCAAUAUCAUAGAUUUCAUUUUUUUGCACUCGACGAUCUUCAAUCUGCAUAAUAUAUUGAGGAUAAUUAAUUAUAAAUACAUGCAAUGAAAGAGCCGAGCUAUAUAUAGAGACUAAUGACAGAAAUAGUACUUACAGGCAGUAGCAAAAGACCAUUAAUUUAUCGAGGGCCUUUUGAUUGAAGAACUCAAAGAACUCCUCAAAUGGAACAGACAACACAUCAUUUGAAACGAGGUCGUGCUCCUCUUUAAUUUUCAGAUACAAACUGUUCGUCCCCUCAGACUCUCUGCAAGUUUUCAUGUACCAGUUAUGGAAUCUUCGCAUCAUUGUUGUCAGAGAUUUUUCAUCUUUGACGAGAGGCUUCCCGUACUCGUAUCUGAAUACGUCCACCUUCAUGAAAUCAGGAAGUGCAUCGUCAGGCAGGUAAUCUUCAAGAUUGCCAUAACCGGCCACCGUCCCCGGAGGAUUAGACACAUUGAGCGGGGGGCACGAUUGAUGUGCUUGUUCGCCGAGCCGGGCAAUUUUUUCCCCUUUGCUCGUUGUUCUUUUGACCUUUUAUCACUAACAGUAGUUCCCGACCGCUUGGCUUGGAGAUAUGUCUGUUCAGUAAUGCGCUCAUAGUUGGUUCUCGGCGGAGACUUUGGUGGUUUCCUCAGGGCAUCGAGAGUGCGCUUUGCUUUCACCGGAUCUACCUUCUCCUUCGGAGGUGGAUGUAUCUUUGCUUUCACCCCUUCAAAGAACUCCUUCACGUGGGCCUGCACGAUCGUAUUGUUUUCCUCGGUCCUCUCGUACGGUAACUUCUCUAGAGGCUUUAGAGGUGGACCGUAUCUGUAUUGCCUCUCUCUUCUUGUGCUGCUAGACGCCGGAGCAGACGGAGCGGCUGCGGCGUCUGUCUUCUUUCAUGCUUGCUUACGAGGCGGAGGAGAAGGACUACGACGCGCCGGGGCAGCGGCAGGUCUCUUCCGCCCUUGCUGGCGAGGCGGAGAAGGAGGAGGCGGAGUGCCGCCACGCGCCGGAGAAGGAGGCGGAGUGCCGCCACGUGUGCCCUGAUCGUCACUCGCCGGAGGAGGAGGCGGUGGAGGAGGCGGAGUGUGUCAGGACCCCGACUCAAUGCCACAUCGAUCUAGCAUGUAACACAUCAUAUGACUUUGCGGCCUCACGCACGGUAUUCCCACGGGUGUCGCCUUACCUUUGCCCGGGACCGUUUGCGCCUUUUGGCACACGUAUAUGACAGUGUCGCUAGCAUCCAUAUGAUAAGGAGCCCGGGCUGACAUGGCUAGUCGUAAACCCAAAGCGGCACAGACUUACAGGGACAGGCAUCCAUGACCCAGCAUCGAACGUGUCGGUCAUCAGCGAGUGAAUCCAGGCUGUAGCACUGGGCUAGCAGGACUCCGGUGAACCGGGCUGUAGCGGGCUAACAGGACUCCGGUAUUCAUCGCGUGACAUUUCCCCGAAGGGACAGACACAGGAACGAAGAAGGACACAUGCCGGCCAGCCUAAGCGUUCCGGAGCAGUAGCAAGCUACCAUGGCUCGGUGGAAACACUAGGAGACAUUUCCCCGUAAGAGAGGCUACUAAAGAUAAACAACUAGAUGGUCAGAUCCCACACAUACCAAGCAUUUCGAUAACAUACACACAAUAUGCUCGAUAUGUGCAAAUACAACAUGGCAUCACAACAUGACUCUAUGACUCAAGUAGUUUAUUCAGUAGGCUCCGAGGAGCGAGAUAUUACAAACAUGGGUCUCAUGACCCAACACUCAGAGCAUACAAGUCAAAACACAAGCGGAAGCUAUCAUGUCUGAGUACAGACAACUAUAAAUGAAAAAGGCUGAGAAGCCUGACUAUCUAUCAGAUCCUGCCGAGGGCACAAGAUCGUAGCUGAGGUAUCAAGCUAAACGUCGAAGACCACGCGGAAUUACUAGUGAGACUGAAGUCUCUCUGCAAAAACAUAAAAUAGGCAAACGUGAGUACAAAUGUACCCAGCAAGACUUACAUCAGAACUAUCUACAUAUGCAUCAUUAUCAACAAAGGGGGUGGUGGGGUUUAACUGCAGCAAGCCAGCUUUGACUCGGUGGCUAUCCUAAACUACGACUGCGAGUAACUCUUUUGAGGUGGCGCACACGAGUCCACAUAUUCACCAUAUCAAUACACCACUAUGGAUCCGCUCCCGUCUCCCUACGAGAACGCCAUCCAUAGCACUCACGCUUAUCUUGCGUAUUUUAGAGUAUCCACUUUCACUUGUCUAUGAACUGAUAUAAGCAACCCAGAAGUCCUUUUCCGUGGACACGGCUAUUCGAAUAGAUUAGGUUAACCCUGCAGGGGUGUACUUCUUCAUACAUGUUUCCACCACUUAGCGUCUGCACACGACAUGUGCUCGGCAGACUUCAAGCGAAAGCCGACGUGGGUGUAGACCACGACCUACCUAAACACUCAAGUCUCUAGUCCAGGUUUAUCGCCUAUUCGGGUUCCAUCCAUGAGGAGAUCCGGCCGGAGUUUUGCUCACAGCCCCAAACGAUGUGAACAGGGUUCCCGAGAUACCAAACGGGCAUCCGGUACACCGUGCCACGUACCUACCGCAUCACAGCCCACCCCUACGGUCAGCGCUGUCCACGGCCUCCAGUAAGCUACAAACACCAGAAACUACUUGCAACUCCUGGACAGAGGACAAGGGUGAAUAAGAAGUCGAGCGGGGUCAUAUUUCAGGGCCCAAUGUAUGGUAGUAGCUGAAUCAUGGAUCACAAACACAGAACUCAGUUCCUAAGGACGGCUUCAAUGAGACAACCCACCAUGUACUCCUACAUGGCCUCUCACCGCUACCUUUACCAAAUCGUGUUCACACACUUAGCUCACACACAGUAGGACAUGUUCACACACCUCUGAUUCAUCCCCGAUGAAUCAGACCUGACUCAACUCUAAGCAGUAGCAGGCAUGACAAACAAACAUGAAUGAGUAGGCACAUCAGGGCUCAAACAACUCCUACUCAUGCUAGUGGGUUUCAUCUAUUUACUGUGGCAAUGACAGGUCAUGCAGAGGAUAAAGGGGUUCAGCUACCGCAGCAAGUAACAGAUGAAUCGGUGUUGUCCUAAUGCAGUAAAAGAGAGCAGGAGCGAGAGAGUAGGAUUGUAUCGGAAUGAACAAGGGGGUUUUGCUUGCCUGGCACUUCUGAAGAUAACAUUGAGUCUUCAUCAGUGUCAACGAUCACAUCAUCGGUACACGUCUAUCGAGAGGGGACAAAUACCGGCAAAUACAGAAAAGACACGAUCAAUGCAAUGCACAAUAUGAUGCAUGCUAUGACAUGGCAAUAUGAAUGUGUUUUGGGCUAAUGCACCUAAAACCAGAUUAAAUGAAGUUGGUUUGAAUACAAGAUUCAAAUUCAAACUCCGUAUGUGAUUAUUCAAAUGUCAUUCACUUCAUUUGCCCUAAACAGUAGUGAUAAGUUGUUCUAACAUGCAUGAAAAUGGUACAGAUGGAUUCCUUGAAUUUUUCUGAUAAUUUUUCAUAUAUAAUUUAUUUCAUUUGGAGUUACGGUUAAUUUUCUAUGAUUUUUGGAAGUUUUAGGCAUUUUCUGGAAUUUAUAAAUCAUUUAAGAAUUAUCUAAAUUCCAGAAAAUACUUAUCGCGUCAGCCUGACAUCAUCAUGACGUCAGCAGGUCAACGGGGCGCCUCCAGGUCAAACCUGACCAGUGGGGUCCACUGGUCAGUGACUAACUAACUAACCUAAUUUAAUUAGAGCCGGGGCCCGCAUGUCAGUGUCAGCAGAGGGGGUAAUUAGUUAAAAUAGGCUAAACUAAUUAGCAGGGGGGCUGGCCCCACCUGUCAUCGACCCAGGGGGGGUCAAACCCCUGGUCAGCGGGGCCUAACCCGCCGGCGUCUAGCCGCCGGCAACGACCAGACGCGGCGGAGGCUCGGGAAUCGCCCACAGAGCACGAUUCGAGUUGCGGCUAGGCGCGCUAGAAAGCCCGCGAUGCGGCGCAUCCAGUGGUGACCGCGGUGUGUGCUGGGGCAGCGUGUAGGGGCGGUGGUGACGGGCCGGGCGGCUGCCGGAGCUACGGCUGCACGGGCGCGAGGGCUGCAGCGCAUUAGCCAGUAAGCAGAGAGGCGCAUCGGGAUCCUAGGGACUGGGCGAGCACGCGGGAGCUACUGGAGCGAGCGGAAGAGCGCCGGGACGUGAGGUCCACCGGCAAUGGCGAUGGCUGGAGCUCGGUGCUUGCGGGGAAGGCGGCUACGGCACGGGAACGAGCAGAAAAGGAGGGGGAAAACGAAGAAGAUCUUACGGCGGUCCUGGAGAUCAGCACGGGAGGCUCGGGGACGGCCUGGCUGCAGCCAAUCGACGACGGAGGGGUCCGGCGACCGGCGGUGAAGAAGAUGGCAAUUGCGUUGCUUCGGUGCCUCCGGGCUCGCGAGAUUCACCGGAGAGGAGCCGCUCGAGGUAGCAGAGGCGAUGGACGACUCGAGGAGGCGAGGCGUGCGCGGUGGCUACAGAUACGGUUGACAGCGGCGAGAGGCGUGCUCGGGGCUGCGAGAGAGAGGGCAGCAGGGGAGAGAGGAGCCGACAGGGAGGGAGUGAGAGGGGGUCGGGGGUGUCGUGGCGUCGCGGAAAGCGACCAGGGCGACGAGGGGGUAGCCAGGCAGGCAAGGAGGAGCUGGCGCGGCUCGCCUGCGCGCCGGGCACGCAGCUGCUUCGGGGCGAGGGGAGGAAGACGACGGAGGGUAGCGGUGGCGGGCUGGGCCGGCCAGGUGGGGGAGCUGGGCCGGUCCCGAUGGACCACCAGGUAAGCGCCAGGUAAGAUGCUUUGCUCUUUUUAUUUUAUUUCUAUUUUAGUUACUGUUUUCUAUUUUCUGUAAUUGUGUUUGGAUUUAUUAAAAAUGCCAGAGCAUUUCCAAAAAUCAUGCAACUGACUGUGGCCACUGUUUGGAAUAUUUCCAGCAGUAAACAUUUCAGUUUGUGAUUAUUUGAGCAUUUAAAAUAUUAUUAGCAAUUAAAUGCCCAAAUGCAAAUACUAUAUAAUUUAAUUCAGAAAUCCAGGAAUAGCCUAUAAUUAUGUUCAUCAUUUUUUUGGAAGAGGUUUUCACCUCUAAUAGAAAUUAUGAACAUUUCCAAAGGGCAUUCUGGGUUAUUGAAAAUAUUUUUAUUGAACCUAGUUAAAUUUCAUUUGGUACUAGGGUUUCAACAAUCCCCAUUUCAAAUUUCUUUGGAAUUUAAACAUGAUGGCAUGAUGAACAAGCAAAGUCAAGCAAGGGCUGAACUGGGGCUGUGACAACUCACCCCCACUAAACAAGAAUCUCGUCUCGAGAUUCAAGCGUAGGGUAAGGUGAAGGGUAACGCGGACUAGUAUAAUCUUCACGAUCCAGGGUGCACUUCAUAGGAACGUUGAUUAGAACACCAUCUUUGUCUUGUCGUCUUGCUCUGAGAACUCCAGCUAAUCAUGAAAAGAAGAGGAAAGGAAAACUCUAGAAGGAUCGGUCUUCUCGAAGGUCGAACAACUCAGGAUUAACUCACGGAAUGAGACAUAGAACCAUCUCUCGGUUGAGACACGAGAUACACAUCAAGAGGGGGGGGGGGAAAGAAACGGAUGACGAAGGUUCACUAGGUAGACAACAAUUCCACACCUAAGAAAGUGGUAAACGAUUGUCAACGUAGCGAGGAGUUGAGUUGCCAUGAUACCACGACGAAACAUCCUGGAGGAGGGUGAUUCGUAGAUUAUUAUCUUAAGUGGCAAAAGAAUUACUUUUGAUUCAGAGAUCAUUGGAACUCUUUAUACCAGCCUAAGGUAAUCACAAGCGAUCAUUUGAAGGGGGUCGGUAGAAUGGCAUACUCGGACUUGGAUGAUGUGGAUUACCUUGUUGAAGACAACGUAAUGGAUGAAUUUGCUUAUCACCGGAGAUGGAAGAGACCCGUGGUAGAAUGGCACAUUGGCGGUGCAAGCUGGGAACAAAAUGCAAAUGCUGGGAAUGAUUCUGGUAACUGGGGAAGAACCCAACAAUAAAGAGUGAAUUCACUGUUGGAGUGGUUAUAGCAUAACCGAAGAAUCUGGGGCAAUCCCAGCUAGUGCCGAUGAUAAGACGUAGCGCUUGUGCGUGCUCUCAAGAACUUAAGCAUUUCCACAUUCAUCAAGGUUUUACCAACAUCCGUGUCAAGGGUCCGGUAGCACAACUUACUACCAUGAUGAAUGGUGAUGGAGGAUGCAGAUGCAAAGGAAGAUAACACUUUCUCAGUUUUCACCUUAGCGAGGCCAAGGAAACAAAAUCUGGAUGAUGGACCGAGAGACAUUUAGCACUCCGCUUCUAAUGUUCUCCUUGACGUGCUAGUGUAUCCCAUUCAUAGAUAUGGUUUGAUAACUAGAACAUCAAGUAAAAGGUCGAACUUCGGGAACACAAUAAUCAUAAGGCACAACUAGGAAGUAAAUCCUACGAAGUCCUUAUGGGAAGGUGGCCAACUGCUUCAAUCAAGAUACCACAAUAAUAGGUCCUUCGGCUGGGUGGUGCUGGCCACGACAUCCACUUUACCGGUUAUCGAGGGACCAAUAUUAUAGUUCUUGGGAAAUGUUCCAAACCAUCAUAUCUGCCUGAGAUUCAGAUCUGGUUGGUGUCAGGAUAUUCCAGACUCAUCGAGUCUAGGAAGAAAAUGAAAGUUUGCAACACAAAUCGACGAGAUGACGUUGCGGGAUUCUCGGGAGAUGAACUACGAUAGCAAGCUCCAAAACAUGAGCUGGUUCUGCUACAAACAUGUGAACAUGUUGUCCAAGACAAGCAUGAUCACAAGGUAGUCUUAUAAUAAAACACUACCGAGUUCAGGAGGGGGAACCAUCAUUAAUGACAUCGAAGUCUCCACGCGUGGAAGUCCAAAGAGUUCACCUUGGACAGACUCCUUUAUCUUUGAACAACUCAAUCAGUGGCUUGGUGUGCUAGGAUAUACAUAUAGAAUGGAGGUUGCAAAUCUCCAGACCACAGAAUACUUCGCACGUAUGCAUGACUGACUUGGGAUGAUUCCAGAGGAAGCAAAACCAACUUUCCCAAAUUCACGGCGGCAUCUUUCACCAAAUGCACGUGUAUAAAAGGAAGUCACUCCUUUCAUCAACAAAUACUUCAUGAGCUAGCAUGAAGAAAAUGCUUUCAAAAGUUUCCAACACUAGCUUAAUGUCCAACAAAAUUAUGGAGGAGAUAAGGAUGUUGUCAAUGGGCUCAACAACAAUUCAUCUGGGUUUCCUUUUAAAAGGAAUUCCAUAGUUAAGUGAACAAGUGAUAGCAUUGGUCAGGCCAAAGAUGUAAUGGUGUAUGCUCGAGGGAUCAACCACGAACAAGACAACAUUACGAGCAUCAUUGGUAUUGAUUUGAUUUGACGAUAGCCCACACUCAAAUCAAAGGAUUGAUAAGGCAAUAGGUCCAGCAACUGAUCACAGGGACCAACCGAUGAAGAUAUCAUAUUUCUUCAACACACACUACACAAGAAUAUCCCUUUGGAACGAACUAAGUCAGGCAAGCUUUUACCUUCCAACUCUCCAAGUUGUUGUCUAGCUUAACCAACUAGCUCAGGGAUAUCCAUCACAGAUUCUUGGAGAAAGGGUGGUUUACAAUAAACCAACUUGAUCACGAGCUCAACAUAGCGGUCAGGUGACAACCUGGUAGUACUUCCGAGAAGAUCUUCAGAAAAUCACGAACCACUGAUAUGUUACUAAGCUCGAGAACAAUCUUGCUUUUCGGGGCAAGAUGAUAUGAUCAAGUGAGCGAGGGCUUGACAAGAUCCUAAUUCAUCAAUCGAAGGGUGCACCGAAAUAAGGACUAGGUAGCACGAUCAGUCUUAGAAGGAUGAUUCAAAAACCAACAUACUAAGAAUGAAAUUAUUAUCCUUUAACUACCAAGCAACGAGGUUGCUGGGAGUAUUGAUCUCACACAUCACAACUCAUUUGUCGGUAUUCCGGUUGCAUCAACACGAGGGCCGAGGAAUGACUAAUGAUGGUGAGAAGUAUCACUGUACCAAGAGUUCAUAGGAUGGUGUGCAAUUCCUAUAACAAUCUCGAUAUAGAAUAAGGUAAUACUCCAAGGUAGAACAGAACCAAAAGCUGGAUUAGCAAUUAGAUCUGCGGAGCACAACUUCUUUGACCCAAUCCUGGAUAUGGAAGAGGUACUGGAGUUUGUUUCUCCAAGUCAUUCAAGACAGAAUGGCUUGACGGACCACAAGAGUAAUAGGCAUCGAUAAACGAACGCACGCAUACUCUUGACUAUCAAUUGAUAGACGAGGGUCAGAAUGCAACUACGGAGAACAACUCAAAGGAACAUAUAAUUUUCUGAGUUGUGGAUGCAUAGAUUAGUAUGUCGAACCAAGUUCAACAUAUUUUUUCCGGAUAACCCAUGCAGAAAGGUAGAACUGGCAGAGUCACGAUUUAUGAAUGGAGAACUCCUCAAGAGUACUCUAAUUGUGAUCUUUUGAUCCAAUAAACAUCUGCCAUAAGCGGUUCAUAGUAUUUGGAAGAAGGAAAUACCACGGACCUCGAGGACUAUCGCAAAGUUACUAAUAUCCUGAAGGAACUAGCAAACACUAUCAACAUGAAGUAAGUAGAGUGAAUCUCGGGUUCAAAGCCCAAGGAAUAGAAUACCUACUACUAAGUGGCAUCACGGGAUGCUUUCGAGAAUAAAAGCCAGAAUCAUCACACUGGGGAUCACAAAACAUUGCUAGAUUACUAGGUGACUCCCUAAACACCUAGGGCCAUAAUAGUAUCUCCAACAUAUAUGUCAAGGUAACGGAGUACCUCAACUCACUGAUUAGUGUGGUUAAUCUGGCCCAUGGGAACAUUGAAACAGGAAGAAAGGAUUUGCAAUUGCAUCAGACUACUUAAAAACCUGGGAUGACUCGGACAGCAUAACGGCUGUAAAUGCUCAGAAAAGAUUUGAGACAUUCACAAAAAUGGUGGCAUAACCACUCAGAAGCACAAUAUCAAGGUCUCGAGAUCAAUAAUUAACAUACAGAAGUAGUAGGAACUGAAACGAGGCUUAAGUCCAACAAUCUUAUAAGUCUACUGAUUAGUAACACGUGAUCCUGAUGGAAAGAAGAGAUAGCCUAGUUCUUAAUCCCCGCAGGAAAGAUAAGAUGACUCAGAUCAGAAGGCAUAAGGUAUAAGGAGUAAAAAGAGCCUUACGUUCCAUCCCACAAUCAAUUCCCUUAUAUAACUAAAGAAUUUCUAGACUCAACUUCGACCAGUUUGGCUUGGUAAUCCUACAGGCAGUCAAGCUCUGAUACCAACGCUGUCAGGACCCCGACUCAAUGCCACAUCGAUCUAGCAUGUAACACAUCAUAUGACUUUGCGGCCUCACGCACGGUAUUCCCACGGGUGUCGCCUUACCUUUGCCCGGGACCGUUUGCGCCUUUUGGCACACGUAUAUGACAGUGUCGCUAGCAUCCAUAUGAUAAGGAGCCCGGGCUGACAUGGCUAGUCGUAAACCCAAAGCGGCACAGACUUACAGGGACAGGCAUCCAUGACCCAGCAUCGAACGUGUCGGUCAUCAGCGAGUGAAUCCAGGCUGUAGCACUGGGCUAGCAGGACUCCGGUGAACCGGGCUGUAGCGGGCUAACAGGACUCCGGUAAUCACCGCGUGACAUUUCCCCGAAGGGACAGACACAGGAACGAAGAAGGACACAUGCCGGCCAGCCUAAGUGUUCCGGAGCAGUAGCAAGCUACCAUGGCUCGGUGGAAACACUAGGAGACAUUUCCCGGUAAGAGGGGCUACCAAGGAUAAACAACUAGGUUGUCAGAUCCCACACAUACCAAGCAUUUCAAUAACAUACACACAAUAUGCUCGAUAUGUGCAAAUACAACAUGGCAUCACAACAUGACUCUACAAUUCAAGUAUUUUAAUCAAUAGGCUCCGAGGAGCGAGAUAUUACAAACAUGGGUCUCAUGACCCAACAAUCAGAGCAUACAAGUCAAGGCACAAGCGGAAGCUUUCAUGUCUGAGUACAGACAUCUAUAAAUGAAAAAGGCUGAGAAGCCUGACUAUCUACCAGAUCCUGCCGAGGGCACAAGAUCGUAGCUGAGGUAUCAAGCUAAACGUCGAAGUCCAAACAGAACUACUAAUGAGACUGAAGUCUCUCUGCAAAAACAUAAAAUAGGCAAACGUGAGUACAAAUGUACCCAGCAAGACUUACAUCAGAUCUAUCUACACAUGCAUCAUUAUCAACAAGGGGGGGUGGUGGAGUUUAACUGCAGCAAGCCAGCUUUGACCCGGUGGCUAUCCUAAACUACGACUGCAAGCAACUCUUUUGAGGUGGCGCACACGAGUCCACAUAAUCACCAUAUCAAUACACCACUAUGGAUCCGCUCCCGUCUCCCUACGAGAACGCCAUCCAUAGCACUCACGCUUAUCUUGCGUAUUUUAGAGUAUCCACUUUCACUUGUCUAUGAACUGAUAUAAGCAACCCAGAAGUCCUUUUCCGCGGACACGGCUAUUCGAAUAGAUGAUGAUAACCCUGCAGGGGUGUACUUCUUCAUACAUGUUUCCACCACUUAGCGUCUGCACACGACAUGUGCUCGGCAGACUUCAAGCGAAAGCCGACGUGGGUGUAGACCACGACCUACCUAAACACUCAAGUCUCUAGUCCAGGUUUAUCGCCUAUUCGGGUUCCAUCCAUGAGGAGAUCCGGCCGGAGUUUCGCUCACAGCCCCAAACGAUGUGAACAGGAUUCCGUGACACCAAACGGGCGCCCGGUUUACCCGGCCACGUGCCUACCGCAUCACAGCCCACCCCUACGGUCAGCGCUGUCCACGGCCUCCAGCAUACUACAAACACCAGAAACUACUUGCAACUCCUGGACAGAGGACAAGGGUGAAUAAGAAGUCGAGCGGGGUCAUAUUUCAGGGCCCAAUGUAUGGUAGUAGCUGAAUCAUGGAUCACAAACACAGAACUCAGUUCCUGAGGACGGCUACAAUGAGACAACCCACCAUGUACUCCUACAUGGCCUCUCACCGCUACCUUUACCAAAUCGUGUUCACACACUUAGCUCACACACAGUAGGACAUGUUCACACACCUCUGAUUCAUCCCCGAUGAAUCAGACCUGACUCAACUCUAAGCAGUAGCAGGCAUGACAAACAAACAUGAAUGAGUAGGCACAUCAGGGCUCAAACAACUCCUACUCAUGCUAGUGGGUUUCAUCUAUUUACUGUGGCAAUGACAGGUCAUGCAGAGGAUAAAGGGGUUCAGCUACCGCAGCAAGUAACAGAUGAAUCGGUGUUGUCCUAAUGCAGUAAAAGAGAGCAGGAGCGAGAGAGUAGGAUUGUAUCGGAAUGAACAAGGGGGUUUUGCUUGCCUGGCACUUCUGAAGAUAACAUUGAGUCUUCAUCAGUGUCAACGAUCACAUCAUCGGUACACGUCUAUCGAGAGGGGACAAAUACCGGCAAAUACAGAAAAGACACGAUCAAUGCAAUGCACAAUAUGAUGCAUGCUAUGACAUGGCAAUAUGAAUGUGUUUUGGGCUAAUGCACCUAAAACCAGAUUAAAUGAAGUUGGUUUGAAUACAAGAUUCAAAUUCAAACUCCGUAUGUGAUUAUUCAAAUGUCAUUCACUUCAUUUGCCCUAAACAGUAGUGAUAAGUUGUUCUAACAUGCAUGAAAAUGGUACAGAUGGAUUCCUUGAAUUUUUCUGAUAAUUUUUCAUAUAUAAUUUAUUUCAUUUGGAGUUACGGUUAAUUUUCUAUGAUUUUUGGAAGUUUUAGGCAUUUUCUGGAAUUUAUAAAUCAUUUAAGAAUUAUCUAAAUUCCAGAAAAUACUUAUCGCGUCAGCCUGACAUCAUCAUGACGUCAGCAGGUCAACGGGGCGCCUCCAGGUCAAACCUGACCAGUGGGGUCCACUGGUCAGUGACUAACUAACUAACCUAAUUUAAUUAGAGCCGGGGCCCGCAUGUCAGUGUCAGCAGAGGGGGUAAUUAGUUAAAAUAGGCUAAACUAAUUAGCAGGGGGGCUGGCCCCACCUGUCAUCGACCCAGGGGGGUCAAACCCCUGGUCAGCGGGGCCUAACCCGCCGGCGUCUAGCCGCCGGCAACGACCAGACGCGGCGGAGGCUCGGGAAUCGCCCACAGAGCACGAUUCGAGUUGCGGCUAGGCGCGCUAGAAAGCCCGCGAUGCGGCGCAUCCAGUGGUGACCGCGGUGUGUGCUGGGGCAGCGUGUAGGGGCGGUGGUGACGGGCCGGGCGGCUGCCGGAGCUACGGCUGCACGGGCGCGAGGGCUGCAGCGCAUUAGCCAGUAAGAAGAGAGGCGCAUCGGGAUCCUAGGGACUGGGCGAGCACGCGGGAGCUACUGGAGCGAGCGGAAGAGCGCCGGGACGCGAGGUCCACCGGCAAUGGCGAUGGCCGGAGCUCGGUGCUUGCGGGGAAGGCGGCUACGGCACGGGAACGAGCAGAAAAGGAGGGGGAAAACGAAGAAGAUCUUACGGCGGUCCUGGAGAUCAGCACGGGAGGCUCAGGGACGGCCUGGCUGCAGCCAAUCGACGACGGAGGGGUCCGGCGACCGGCGGUGAAGAAGAUGGCAAUUGCGUUGCUUCGGUGCCUCCGGGCUCGCGAGAUUCACCGGAGAGGAGCCGCUCGAGGUAGCAGAGGCGAUGGACGACUCGAGGAGGCGAGGCGUGCGCGGUGGCUACAGAUACGGUUGACGGCGGCGAGAGGCGUGCUCGGGGCUGCGAGAGAGAGGGCAGCAGGGGAGAGAGGAGCCGACAGGGAGGGAGUGAGAGGGGGUCGGGGGUGUCGUGGCGUCGCGGAAAGCGACCAGGGCGACGAGGGGGUAGCCAGGCAGGCAAGGAGGAGCUGGCGCGGCUCGCCUGCGCGCCGGGCACGCAGCUGCUUCGGGGCGAGGGGAGGAAGACGACGGAGGGUAGCGGUGGCAGGCUGGGCCGGCCAGGUGGGGGAGCUGGGCCGGUCCUGAUGGACCACCAGGUAAGCGCCAGGUAAGAUGCUUUGCUCUUUUUAUUUUAUUUCUAUUUUAGUUACUGUUUUCUAUUUUCUGUAAUUGUGUUUGGAUUUAUUAAAAAUGCCAGAGCAUUUCCAAAAAUCAUGCAACUGACUGUGGCCACUGUUUGGAAUAUUUCCAGCAGUAAACAUUUCAGUUUGUGAUUAUUUGAGCAUUUAAAAUAUUAUUAGCAAUUAAAUGCCCAAAUGCAAAUACUAUAUAAUUUAAUUCAGAAAUCCAGGAAUAGCCUAUAAUUAUGUUCAUCAUUUUUUUGGAAGAGGUUUUCACCUCUAAUAGAAAUUAUGAACAUUUCCAAAGGGCAUUCUGGGUUAUUGAAAAUAUUUUUAUUGAACCUAGUUAAAUUUCAUUUGGUACUAGGGUUUCAACAAUCCCCAUUUCAAAUUUCUUUGGAAUUUAAACAUGAUGGCAUGAUGAACAAGCAAAGUCAAGCAAGGGCUGAACUGGGGCUGUGACAGAGUGCCGCCACGCAUGCCCUGAUCGUCACUCGCCGGAGGAGGAGGCGGUGGAGGAGGCGGAGUGCCCUGACUCGCCGGAGGAGGAGGAGGAGGCCGAGGCGUCCAUUUCAGAAGGUUGAUGAGCUCCUUCCGCCAUAGGCAUGGAGUCUUCAGAGCAGAACCCAGCCUAGUCUCCCCUUCACCGGUAGGGUGCUCAAGCGCGAGGUCCUCAAAUCCCUCCGUUAUUUCAUCCACCAUCACCUUAGCAAAUCCUUCUGGAAUCGGUUGGCAGUGAUAAGUUGUGCCGGGUCCACUAGGAUAAACUUGGCCAAUAGCCGCCUUGACCUUCAAAUUCAUCCAUCGCGCCAUAAUGUGGCAAUUUUGAGACUCUGUGAUACCAUCCACGGGAUAGCUGGCAGGAGCCGUCAAGACAUGCUCCGGCUGAAGCAUCUCGGUGGAAGCAACACUGCUUCUCCGCUGAGAUGGCGGGGUAGCUUCAGGGGAAGCUUCGGCAUGUUGUUUGUUGCGAUCUGCUGCUUCUCGUUCCUCUUCUUGAUCCUCUAGCCCCAUUACCCUUCCAAGCAGCGCCUGCAUUUGGUCCUGCUCCAAUUUCUUCCUCGUCUCGUGGGUUUUGUAACCCCCUGCGUCUGGAAAACCAACCUUCCACGGAAUGGAGCCUGGCGUGCCUCGUGUCCGUCUAGGGUGCUCGGGAUUCCCAAGGGCCAUUGUGAGCUCGUCCUUCUCCCUGUUUGGAAGGAACAUCCCUCGCUGCGCUGCAUCGAUAUAGUGAAGAAGGUUCUUGACUGGUGUUUGCAGUUGCUCGUCCGUCCACUGACACUUCCCUGUUACAGGGUCCAAGGUUCCGCCAGCCCCGAAGAACCAAGUCCGACAACGGUCUGGCCAGCGCAUUGUCUCUGGUUCGAUCCCUUUUUCAAGCAGAUCAUGCUCAGCCUUGGACCACUUAGGCCGGGCUUUGAGGUAGCCACCUGACCCCGUGCGAUGGUGAAGCUUCUUCUUCGCAGCAUUUUUCUUGUUUGUCUCCGACAUCUUCUUACUCUUUUCCGAUGUCUUGUGGGCCACAAAUGCGGGCCAGUGAUCUUUGAUCUUCUCAUAUUUAACGAUGAAUUCUGGUGUCUUUUUUUUUCUCGACAAACUGGUUCAGCUCUUUCCUCCACCUCCUCAUUAGGCUUGCCAUCUUCUUAAGAGCACAAGACCUGAUUAAUUGCUCUUUAACUGGCUUCUCCGGAUCCUCUGUCACGCCCAAGAUGUGGCCCUAUCCUAAAGGAACUCGAAGGUCCCACCAAGGAUAGAAGCGCAUCUUGAAGACGCUUUUGCAAGGUGGAUAUCAUUACAUCAACAUUACAUAAUAGAUGGGGAUACAUACAAGAGGCAUACAAUGCCACACGAAUACAACAUCAUACAUAAGAGAUCAACAUCCGACUACGGAUGGAACACAAAUAGAAACUCAAACAACAUCCACCCUGCUAGCCCAGGCUGCCGACCUGGAACCUAUCCCCUGAUCAAAGAAGAAGCAGAAGAAGAACUCCAAUACAAGCAAACAUCGCUCUCGCGUCAUGAUCAUCGCAUAACCUGUACCUGCAACUGUUGUUGUAGUAAUCUGUGAGCCACGAGGACUCAGCAAUCCCAUUACCAUGGGUAUCAAGACUAGAAAGGCUUAAUGGGAAAGGAAGGGGUAAAGUGGUGAGGUUGCAGCAGCGGCUAAGCAUAUAUGGUGGCUAACAUACGCAAAUGAGAGCGAGAAGAGAAACAAAGGAAUGGUCGUCAACUAGUAAUGAUCUAGAAGUGAUCCUGAGCUCCUACUUACGUCAAUCAUAACCCAGAAACCGUGUUCACUUCCCGGACUCCGCCGAUAAGAGACCAUCACGGCUGCACACACGGUUGAUGCGUUUUAAUUCGGAUCUGGUGUCAAGUUAUCUACAACCGAAAAUUAACAAAUUCCCAUCUGCCACAUAACCGCGGGCAUGGCUUUCGAAAUAUAAUACCCUGCAGGGGUGUCCCAACUUAGCCCAUGAUAAGCUUUCGCGAUCAACGAAGGAUAUACCUUCUCCCAGGAAGACCCGAUCAGUCUCGGAAUCCCGGUUUACAAGACAUUUCGACAAUGGUAAAACAAAACCAGCAAGACCGCCCGAUGCACCGACAUCCCGAUAGGAGCUGCACAUAUCUCGUUCUCAGGGCAACACCGGAUGAACACUACGUACAACUAAAACCAGACCUCAAGUUUCCCCGAGGUGGCGCUGCAAGUGGCUCUAGUUCGGACCAACACUUAGACAAGCAUUGGCCCGGGGGGGCUGAAUAAAGAUGACCCUCGAGAGAGCGACUCCCAAGGGAAAAGUAGGUGGUGGUGAGGCAAAUGGUAAAACCAAGGUUGGGCCUUGCUGGAGGAGUUUUAUUCAAAGCGAACUGUCAAGGGGGUCCCAUAAAUCACUCGACCGCGUAAGGAACGCAAAAUCCGGGAACAUAACACCGAUAUGACGGAAACUAGGGCGGCAAGAGUGGAACAAAACAUCAGGCAUAAGGCCGAGCCUUCCACCCUUUACCAAAUAUAUAGAUGCAUUAAUUAGAUAAGAGAUAUUGUGAUAUCCCAACAUAAUCCUGUCCAUCAUGGAGCAAUCUUCAACUUCACCUGCAACUAACAACGCUAUAAGAGGGGCUGAGCAAAGCGGUAACAUAGCCAAACAACGGUUUGCUAGGAAGGGUGUCAAAGGUUAGAGGUUCAUGGCAAUUCGGGAGGCUUGAAGAGCAAAUGAUAGGUAACGCAGCAUAGCGAUAGAACGAAGCAACUAGCAUAGCAAUGAUAGUAGUGAGAUCCAGGGUAGCGGUCAUCUUGCCUGAAAUCCCGCUAGGAAGAAGAACGAGUCCAUGAAGAAGACAAGCGGACGUAGUCGAACGAAUCCUCACAAUCGCAACAUUACCGGAACUAAGAAGCAACACCGGAAAGAAACAAACAACAUGGUAAAUGCACAAGCAUAAACAUGGCAUGAUGCACAAACAAGUAUGAUGCAUGUCCGGUUUAAUGAGGCAUGGCAAAAUGCAACAAACAAUACUACAAGUUAAGUGGAGCUCAAUAUGCAACGAGUUGCAUAUUGACAAAACACCACAUCAAUUAUUUAGUUCUCUCUCGGUUAUGCUACUCAUCAAUAUUAAAUUUUGUUAAACAUGGCAAGGGGUGAAGCAUAAUGAAACUACCUAACUAGGCAAGUUUAAAUGAGGCCGGAAAUAAGAAAGAACAAUUCCGGAAAAUCCUCAUGUGCAUAUUUUGAUUUGGUACUGUUCUGCCCUAAACCAUAUUUUAAGGUUGUUAAACAGGAAAAUAAAGUGCACCAUGUUAAACUAGGCAUUUUUCCACCCCAUUUACAUAUAAAGUUUAUUAAAAUUGGAGCUACGGUUAUUUAGUUAUGAAAUAAACCAUUUUAAUAUGGCAUUUGAGCAAAUUUAAACAAACAACAUUUUAAACAUUUUAAACAUGGAUGAAAAUAGCAUAUUAUUAAUCUACACAAAAUUCUAAGCAUUUUACAUGUUUAAAUCAUUUUAAUCCAAUGCACGGUUCAUGAGUUAUUAUAUGCAUGAUGCUUAGGGGUUUUUCUGUAAAACAGUAAACUCCUGGAUAAAUAGCAAAAUCGUUCCGCGGAAAAAAACAUGGAUAGGGCCGAAUCUGGACGGCCCAAAAGUGCAUAGGAGAGGGGGCGGGGGCUGCUCACCCUGGGCCAAGGCCCGGUUGGUGCAGCAGGCCGGUUGAGGAGGCGCUGGGGAAAGAGGCUGCUGGGCUGAUGCGGGUGAAGGGCGACGCGGUGGCCCAGGCACGCUGGCGGCGCGGUCAACGCGAGGCACGAGGGAGCGGGCGCCUCGUCCUCUGCUCGUCAGGAAGCAGAGCAGCGGCGGCGGGGUGCUCUCCAGCGAGGGCGCAACUUGGGAAGGCGGAGAGGAAGGUCGGCGAGAGGCGCAUGCGUCAGUUUCAACGACAACGCAGAUGAGGCACGGGAGGUCGACGCGGUCGUGCGUGGCUGCUGGAGCUUCUCGAGCAGAGAAGAAGUCAGCGAUGGCUGGGUCGUCGAGGACCUCGUCGGCGGCACGAGCAGGAGGGAAACGGCCAGGAUCCAAGGGGGAGGACGCACGGGCUCGUCUGUUUCUUGUCCCGGGCAAAGAGAGACAGAGAGAGGUGAGACAGGGAGAGGGAAAGGAAGAGAGGGCGCGAGGGAGGCCCGACGGCAUGACCUGGAGGAGCUGGUGAUCAUCGACGGUGAGACGAGGCGGGGGUCGCGAGGAAGACAGCGGAGCUCUGGAUCGGGAGGAGCUCGGCUCUCCUCGGGCGUUGCACAACGCGGAAGGGAUGCAGGGAGCAGCGGGAGGAGGAGGCGCGCACGGGAGGGGCGCCAUGGGUCUUGGGUGCGUGCUCGAGCUUGAGCAGCGAGCUCCUCUUGCUCGGACGCGGGCGUCGCAAGGACGAAGGACGGCGAGGUGGCGGCUCGGGCUUCGGUGGCAUGGUGAGGAGCUUAGGCAGGGAGGUGGAUCGAGGAGGGGAUGGAUUUGGGUUGGUUGGUGUUGAACGAGGGGGGAUUUGGAUCAGGGAGGAUCCCGAUGUAGAUGGUGGCGACGCUAGGGUAGGAUCCCUAGAAAUUAGGUGGUUUUUCUAGGUUAGUUAGGUGGGGUCUAUAUAUAUCAAAUGGAUUUUUGACAGGGGCAUUAGGUCCCUCCGAUCGUAAUCGGACGGCCGAAAAAAUAGGCUAGAGAGUCCAAAUAAGAAAACGGAGAUAUUUGAUAGACGUUUGGGGAUGAUCCGGAUCCAUCGGUAACGACAGACCUGUUCGGGUUCGGGUAAGAUUCGGACACGCACACGAGGGGUCUGAGAGAGGUCAACGAGGGCAAGGGCCUGCCAAAAUAACAACGGAGGCAAAGAGAGAAAGGGCAACUGCGAACGGCUACGAGUUUUUAUAAAAACAUGUGGAUGCAAUGCACAUGAUGCCAUGAGAUGAAAUGCAUGACAUGAACAAAAUGCAAAAACAAAAUACAAAAACCCAACCACGAAGGAAAAUAAAAUAUCACAUCUACGGAAAAGGCAAGAGUUGGAGUUAUGAAUGUGGAAAGUUGUAUCCGGUGCGUUACAACACUCCACCACUACGAGAGGAUCUCGUCCCGAGAUCUGGGAUGGCGCCGGAGAGAAAAACGGAAGAGCAAGAGAGAAGGUAAACCAAGUCGCUUCUUUGACGAACGAGUGAAACCACAAACCUUGAGAGGUUGAGCAAUUUAAAAGAAAGGGUACAACAGAGAUGAACGAGAUUGCAAACAACCCGGUAGAAAAGAGGAACAAGGAGUAUUACGAGAACAUGAAGGUUGAAAGACAUGGAAAUAAGAGCUUCAUGAACGAAAAGAAUAUGACAACCUCGGUAUAAUGAGAUAGCCAAGGAACAAGAAUGACCGAAUUUGGACAGCACUCCGGUAGAAAAGAGAAGAAAACUUGAUGAGAUGAAAAGACAUUGAAGAGAUGAUACAACACUCCGGUUAAAUGGAUAAGCAAGAAAAGAACACGAUCCUCACAAAACGAGGUGAUGUGUGAAGGGCGCAACAUCACAAUACCUCCGGAACGAAAGAAUAGAAGCUAGACCGUUGGGAUAAAGGGAUGGAGAAGAAAAUGACAACUUCUACCACAAUUGAAUUUGGAAGGCAUCCUUGAAAGAAGGUUAGAAUAGAGUUGUUGGAAGACCAACAACGAAAAGAAUAAGUUUGUAGUGGGCUUAUGGAAACAUCUCAACAUUAUGAGGUGACAACCGACCACUAAAGGAAACAAUUGCUAGCUUUAGAUCGACGAAGAGAUGAACACUUCUUCCACCAAGAUGAUAAAGAGAUAACUUGGAUCAUUGAUAAGCACCACAAAAGCAACAUUCCUUAGGGAAGGCUUUAGGUGAAAUAUGACACAAGAUAACUCCAACAACGAGGUUGAUGGUUGAAAAGAUCUCUUGAACAAAGAGAAAAUGAUGGAUUUAAAUAUCUCAUUCUUAACAACUUGCGAAUCAUGAAACACGAAGUGAAAUUGUCAAGAAUGACAUAAGACCACCCCAAAAGGUAGAAAGAAUUGCACUUUGGGAUGCACGAUGAAGAAUGCUUGAACUCCUCAAAACAAAACAUGUGUUGAGCACCAUGUUUAAUUUUGAGUAUAGCUUGGCUGAUCUUAACUUCAAGAGAAAUCUUGAAGAACAAUUGAAGAAUGAAAAGAAUCCUUGACGAACCACCAUGUAGAGCCUCCAUGAAGAACUCCGGUAAAAAAAGGAUGAUAAAAAAGAAAGGGAAGUUGAAAACACAAGGUGAAGCCUUGCCAUGAUUUAGAUGGAGCUUCGCGAUGAUAUAACCGAGAGAACUUGGAACUCCGAAAAGAAAAGAUGAUCUUAGAACCGAGAAUUUAUUCCUCAAGAACAAACUCCAAAGGAAACAAUUAAUCACUUGGAUGAAACAAUAAUAAGAAUUACGUUAUGCCUAUCCUUCACCAAUUUAAAUUGAUGACAAGCAACGGAUUUGGCAUACUACUUAUUCCUAUAGAAAGAAUUAAAAGAGAUAUAGCGCAAGCUUGAGAAGGUAUUGAUGGUUUCCACCGGUGGGAUUUGGAAACAACGAAUGAAUUGAUAUGAUAACGAAGGAAGUGAAAUCUUGAACGAACCACCGUAAGAAUUCAAAAUGAAAGUAGCAAAGGCACAAUUCACUGGGAAGAGUUGGAAAACGAAUGAAGAUACUUGAGGGGAUUUAGAUACCUGAGAACAAAGAGAUCAUGAACUGAUUAGAGGAUAUCUGAACGAUUCAUUGAUAAGAUUUGGAGAACGAUAGCUACACACUGAGAAUAAAGAAUUAUGGCAUGAUGGCCUUCGGAGGGAAGAAAUGGAAACAACUCAUGAAAUGCUCCGGAUGGUAAGAAAAGAAUUGUCACAAUCAAAACAAUUAUGAGGAUAGCAUGAAGCUAGAACCAUGAAUCUUCAAGAGAAUGGACCAAGAUUUAAGAGAAACUCUUCUUCGGUCUUCACAUGUUGAGAAUGAUCAUGAGAACCACCAUGACAAUUGUUGAGGCACUCCGGAAUGAAAAUUGGAAAGGUUGAACCAAUGAUGAAAAGAAUUUGAAAGAUCUUGGAGAAAGACAUAUGACUGAUGAUAACCCAUUCUUACGUCAAACUUUGAAAAGAAUUUUAGAAGCUCCGGGAAAAUUAGAAGAGUCAGGUAAGAUCCUGGGAAAAGACCUGUGCGUUAGGGCCCACUGAAAAGAAACACACCGUUGAACAAUUUUAAAGAGAGGUUGCACCGGUUGAAUUAAAUGACUUGAAUGAGAUAAUAAUCUCCAAAUAGCUUGAACGGGUCUUGAAUGAAAAGAUGAGCCUUGUGAGAUAUCUUCAGCACUCCAGAACAAAUGGAUAGGAAGAAGUGAAUGAUUAAGAGGUGCAUCGGCAUGAGAAAGCAUUAGAAACGAGGAAAAGAAUAUGAUGAAUAUCGAAAGCUUGAAUUGGAUCCACCGGAGAAGAAACAACAAUGAAGGAUGAUGAACUUGAAACUGUUGAGCAUCUUCAUGGGAAAUCACCGGAUAAGAACAUUGAAAGAAAAGAAUGAAGAGAAUUCUCACAAAUAAAAGGAUACAUGAUUAAGAAAUCUGAGUCCUUGAAAAAAGGGUGGGAGGGCGGGAAAACAAAGGCAACUUGGGGACGGAUGAAACGAAUACCGUUGAGAAAACUUAGAAUUGAUCUCGCAAAUAUUGAAAUGAUCGGAUUCACUUGAAGAGAAGCACGCUGGUUGAAAAAGAAUUAACAUGACGACCUCGAUGAUCAAGAAGGAUUAGUACUCCCAUAGAAAUAUGAGAACACCGUUUAGAAAAGGUAUGGAAUCAACACUUGACAUUGAAGCAACUCAAAUACCACAACUCAAAACAAAAUAAAGGAUUGGCUUGCAGAAAUAAGCCGGAACAAAUACAUAUGAUAGAGAUUUACCCAAUCCCAUAUCAGGCAUCUGUCGGAAAGAUAUUCUAGGAGCUACUUGAAUUCCCACCUAUAAAACUCCCGAAACUUUCUGGUUAUGCAAUCUGGUGUUGGGGAUACAGGGGAAGCAAUAUAUAUCUCACCCAAAACUAACAAUCCAUACAUCCAGCUGUAUCCAUCCGUCAACACAUAACCAAGAAAACUCCAAAAAUCGUGUACCUCAACCUUCGAAAAGCAUCCGUUAUACGAGCUAUGGCAAUACUCCCGAACUCCCCAGUACUGGGUGGCGUCGAGGUUAUCUCACCAACAACUGCAUAAAAGAGAUUUUCAAUGUCGGCAAAACUCAGGUAUUCCAGAACUGCAACGAUAAAAUUAUGACGACAACACCUCGGAGCUCAACUCCCCGGGACACUGCCACAACCCCUAAAUGUCAGGAGGCACCAAGAACAAUGUUCUCGUCAUAAGAAUAUCGGAACUAUCCCAAGAUACCCGCGUGAUCCUAAAAAAAUUCAUGAAAUUUGAGGAGAGGAAAGUCAAAACAUCUACGUCAGGAGUCCUCACCAGAGCGACGAAGGGGGCUGAGGAGUAAAAAUAAUCCUACUCUCCGAUAUAUAUAAUCCUAAGACUCAAAAUAGUUUUCUUCUAGACUCAACAACGGCCAACAAUCAAGGGGGCUCCUAUGGUCGGUCGAGGCUCUGAUACCAACUUGUCACGCCCAAGAUGCGGCCCUAUCCUAAAGGAACUCGAAGGUCCCACCAAGGAUAGAAGCACAUCUUGAAGACACUUUUGCAAGGUGGAUAUCAUUACAUCAACAUUACAUAAUAGAUGGGGAUACAUACAAGAGGCAUACAAUGCCACACGAAUACAACAUCAUACAUAAGAGAUCAACAUCCGACUACGGAUGGAACAAAAACAGAAACUCAAACAACAUCCACCCUGCUAGCCCAGGCCGCCGACCUGGAACCUAUCCCCUGAUCGAAGAAGAAGCAGAAGAAGAACUCCAAUACAAGCAAACAUCGCUCUCGCGGCAUGAUCAUCGCAUAACCUGUACCUGCAACUGUUGUUAUAGUAAUCUGUGAGCCACGAGGACUCAGCAAUCCCAUUACCAUGGGUAUCAAGACUAGCAAGGCUUAAUGGGAAAGGAAGGGGUAAAGUGGUGAGGUUGCAGCAGCGGCUAAGCAUAUAUGGUGGCUAACAUACGCAAAUGAGAGCGAGAAGAGAAACAAAGGAACGGUCGUCAACUAGUAAUGAUCUAGAAGUGAUCCUGAGCUCCUACUUACGUCAAUCAUAACCUAGAAACCGUGUUCACUUCCCGGACUCCGCCGAGAAGAGACCAUCACGGCUACACACACGGUUGAUGCAUUUUAAUUCGGAUCUGGUGUCAAGUUAUCUACAACCGAACAUUAACAAAUUCCCAUCUGCCACAUAACCGCGGGCAUGGCUUUCGAAAGAUAAUACCCUGCAGGGGUGUCCCAACUUAGCCCAUGAUAAGCUUUCGCGAUCAACGAAGGAUAUACCUUCUCCCAGGAAGACCCGAUCAGUCUCGGAAUCCCGGUUUACAAGACAUUUCGACAAUGGUAAAACAAAACCAGCAAGACCGCCCGAUGCACCGACAUCCCGAUAGGAGCUGCACAUAUCUCGUUCUCAGGGCAACACCGGAUGAACACUACGUACAACUAAAACCAGACCUCAAGUUUCCCCGAGGUGGCGCUGCAAGUGGCUCUAGUUCGGACCAACACUUAGACAAGCAUUGGCCCGGGGGGGCUGAAUAAAGAUGACCCUCGAGAGAGCGACUCCCAAGGGAAAAGUAGGUGGUGGUGAGGCAAAUGGUAAAACCAAGGUUGGGCCUUGCUGGAGGAGUUUUAUUCAAAGCGAACUGUCAAGGGGGUCCCAUAAAUCACCCGACCGCGUAAGGAACGCAAAACCCGGAAACAUAACACCGGUAUGACGGAAACUAGGGCGGCAAGAGUGGAACAAAACAUCAGGCAUAAGGCCGAGCCUUCCACCCUUUACCAAAUAUAUAGAUGCAUUAAUUAGAUAAGAGAUAUUGUGAUAUCCCAACAUAAUCCUGUCCAUCAUGGAGCAAUCUUCAACAUCACCUGCAACUAACAACGCUAUAAGAGGGGCUGAGCAAAGCGGUAACAUAGCCAAACAAUGGUUUGCUAGGAAGGGUGUCAAAGGUUAGAGGUUCAUGGCAAUUCGGGAGGCUUGAAGAGCAAAUGAUAGGUAACGCAGCAUAGCGAUAGAACGAAGCAACUAGCAUAGCAAUGAUAGUAGUGAGAUCCAGGGUAGAGGUCAUCUUGCCUGAAAUCCCGCUAGGAAGAAGAACGAGUCCAUGAAGAAGACAAGCAGACGUAGUCGAACGAAUCCUCACAAUCGCAACAUUACCGGAACUAAGAAGCAACACCGGAAAGAAACAAACAACAUGGUAAAUGCACAAGCAUAAACAUGGCAUGAUGCACAAACAAGUGUGAUGCAUGUCCGGUUUAAUGAGGCAUGGCAAAGUGCAACAAACAAUACUACAAGUUAAGUGGAGCUCAAUAUGCAACGAGUUGCAUAUUGACAAAACACCACAUCAAUUAUUUAGUUCUCUCUCGGUUAUGCUACUCAUCAGUAUUAAAUGUUGUUAAACAUGGCAAGGGGUGAAGCAUAAAGAAACUACCUAACAAGGCAAGUUUAAAUGAGGCCGGAAAUAAGAAACAACAAUUCCGAAAAAUCCCCAUGUGCAUAUUUUGAUUUGGUACUGUUCUGCCCUAAACCAUAUUUUAAGGUUGUUAACCAGGAAAAUAAAGUGCACCAUGUUAAACUAGGCAUUUUUCCACCCCAUUUACAUAUAAAGUUUAUUAAAAUUGGAGCUACGGUUAUUUAGUUAUGAAAUAAACCAUUUUAACAUGGCAUUUGAGCAAAUUUAAACAAACAACAGUUUAAACAUUUUAAACAUGGAUGAAAGUGGCAUAUUAUUAAUCUACACAAAAUUCUAAGCAUUUUACAUGUUUUAAUCAUUUUAAUCCAAUGCACGGUUCAUGAGUUAUUAUAUGCAUGAUGCUUAGGGGUUUUUCUGUAAAACAGUAAACUCCUGGAUAAAUAGCAAAAUCGUUCCGCGGAAAAAAACAUGGAUAGGGCCGAAUCUGGACGGCCCAAAAGUGCACAGGAGAGGGGGCGGGGGCUGCUCACCCUGGGCCAAGGCCCGGUUGGUGCAGCAGGCCGGCUGAGGAGGCGCUAGGGAAAGAGGCUGCUGGGCUGAUGCGGGUGAAGGGCGACGCAGUGGCCCAGGCACGCUGGCGGCGCGGUCAACGCGAGACACGAGGGAGUGGGCGCCUCGUCCUCUGCUCGUCAGGAAGUAGAGCAGCGGCGGCGGGGUGCUCUCCGGCGAGGGCGCAGCUUGGGAAGGCGGAGAGGAAGGUCGGCGAGAGGCGCAUGCGUCAGUUCCAACGACGACGCAGAUGAGGCACAGGAGGUCGACGCGGUCGUGCGUGGCUGCUGGAGCUGCUCAAGCAGAGAAGAAGUCGACGAUGGCUGGGUCGUCGGGGACCUCGUCGGCGGCACGAGCAGGAGGGAAACGGCCAGGAUCCAAGGGGAGGACGCACGGGCUCGUCUGGUUCUUGUCCCUGGCAAAGAGAGACAGAGAGAGGUGAGACAGGAAGAGGGAAACGAAGAGAGGGCACGAGGGAGGCCCGACGGCGUGACCUGGAGGAGCUGGUGAUCGUCGGUGGUGAGACGAGGUGGGGGUCGCGAGGAAGACAGCGGAGCUCUGGAUCGGGAGGAGCUCGGCUCUCCUCGGGCGUUGCACAGCGCGGAAGGGAUGCAGGGAGUAGCGGGAGGAGGAGGCGCGCACGGGAGGGGCGCCAUGGGUCUUGGGUGCGUGCUCGAGCUUGAGCAGCGAGCUCCUCUUGCUCGGACGCGGGCGUCGCAAGGACGAAGGACGGCGAGGUGGCGGCUCGGGCUUCGGUGGCGUGGUGAGGAGCUCAGGCAGGGAGGUGGAUCGAGGAGGGGAUGGAUUUGGGUUGGCUGGUGUUGAACGAGGGGGGGAUUUGGAUCAGGGAGAUCCCGAUGUAGAUGGUGGCGGCGCUAGGGUAGGUUCCCUAGAAAUUAGGUGGUUUGUCUAGGUUAGUUAGGUGGGGUCUAUAUAUAGCUAAUGGAUUUUUUAUAGGGGCAUUAGGUCCCUCCGAUCGUAAUCGGACGGUCGAAAAAAUAGGCUAGAGAGUCCAAAUAAGAAAACGGAGAUAUUUUAUAGACGUUUGGGGAUGAUCCGGAUCCAUCGGUAACGAUAGACCGGUUCGGGUUCGGGUAAGAUUCGGACACGCACACGAGGGGUCUGAGAGAGGUCAACGAGGGCAAGGGCCUGCCAAAAUAACAACGGAGGCAAAGAGAGAAAGGGAAACUGCGAACGGCUACGAGUUUUUAUGAAAACAUGUGGAUGCAAUGCACAUGAUGCCAUGAGAUGAAAUGCAUGACAUGAACAAAAUGCAAAAACAAAAGACAAAAACCCAACCACGAAGGAAAAUAAAAUAUCACAUCUCCGGAAAAGGCAAGAGUUGGAGUUAUGAAUGUGGAAAGUUGUAUCCGGUGCGUUACAUCCUCCUCUGGCGGUAGGGUGACAUUUGCCUUCAGCUCAGUCCAAAGAUCUUCUUUUUGCAUAUCAUUGACAUAAGACACCUCAUGGUCUUCAUCCUUAGCAGGCUUAUACCAUUGCUGGAUGCUGAUCGGGAUCUUGUCCCUAACAAGAACCCCGCACUGAGCAGAAAAUGCCUUCCUUGUCCGGAUGGGUUCAAUCGGUUCGCCAUCGGGCGCGAUUUCUAUGAUCUCAAACUUUUCAUCCGAGCUCAACUUUUUCUUCGGGCCUUGUCUCCUUACCGAAGUUGUGCUUGAUCCGGAGGGCUAGAAAUUAUAAGGAAGAAAGACGACAGUAAUUAAUAUGUGUACAUAUACCAAAACAAUGGAUGCAUCAAUUACUAGUUAGCAUGGGCUUAACUAAUAUAUAUAUACCUGGCCGGACUCGGUUCGGUGACCGGAGCAGUCAGCCCGGUCUCCUUCUUGUACCUCCAUUGUGUCACCGGAGACAUCAUGAACAUACUCCUCCUCUUGUACCGGCAUUAAUGGGUCGAAGCCAUCAUAAACAUAGCCCUCUUCUUCAUCCAGUCCUUCCAGCUGACCAUCGGUGUCGAUGAGAAAUGACGCAACAUCAUCACUUCCAUUUGCGAUUAUGUCCCCCAACAUCGCUUCUGUUUCUUCGUCUCAGGAGUGCUCCAUAGUUUCUGCAAAUAUUUACAACAUGUCAAUUAUUAUUCAAACAUGGUACAGAUGGAUAUAUAUAUAUAUAUAUAUAUAUAUAUAUAUAUAUAUAUAUAUAUAUAUAUAUAUAUNNNNNNNNNNNNNNNNNNNNNNNNNNNNNNNNNNNNNNNNNNNNNNNNNNNNNNNNNNNNNNNNNNNNNNNNNNNNNNNNNNNNNNNNNNNNNNNNNNNNNNNNNNNNNNNNNNNNNNNNNNNNNNNNNNNNNNNNNNNNNNNNNNNNNNNNNNNNNNNNNNNNNNNNNNNNNNNNNNNNNNNNNNNNNNNNNNNNNNNNNNNNNNNNNNNNNNNNNNNNNNNNNNNNNNNNNNNNNNNNNNNNNNNNNNNNNNNNNNNNNNNNNNNNNNNNNNNNNNNNNNNNNNNNNNNNNNNNNNNNNNNNNNNNNNNNNNNNNNNNNNNNNNNNNNNNNNNNNNNNNNNNNNNNNNNNNNNNNNNNNNNNNNNNNNNNNNNNNNNNNNNNNNNNNNNNNNNNNNNNNNNNNNNNNNNNNNNNNNNNNNNNNNNNNNNNNNNNNNNNNNNNNNNNNNNNNNNNNNNNNNNNNNNNNNNNNNNNNNNNNNNNNNNNNNNNNNNNNNNNNNNNNNNNNNNNNNNNNNNNNNNNNNNNNNNNNNNNNNNNNNNNNNNNNNNNNNNNNNNNNNNNNNNNNNNNNNNNNNNNNNNNNNNNNNNNNNNNNNNNNNNNNNNNNNNNNNNNNNNNNNNNNNNNNNNNNNNNNNNNNNNNNNNNNNNNNNNNNNNNNNNNNNNNNNNNNNNNNNNNNNNNNNNNNNNNNNNNNNNNNNNNNNNNNNNNNNNNNNNNNNNNNNNNNNNNNNNNNNNNNNNNNNNNNNNNNNNNNNNNNNNNNNNNNNNNNNNNNNNNNNNNNNNNNNNNNNNNNNNNNNNNNNNNNNNNNNNNNNNNNNNNNNNNNNNNNNNNNNNNNNNNNNNNNNNNNNNNNNNNNNNNNNNNNNNNNNNNNNNNNNNNNNNNNNNNNNNNNNNNNNNNNNNNNNNNNNNNNNNNNNNNNNNNNNNNNNNNNNNNNNNNNNNNNNNNNNNNNNNNNNNNNNNNNNNNNNNNNNNNNNNNNNNNNNNNNNNNNNNNNNNNNNNNNNNNNNNNNNNNNNNNNNNNNNNNNNNNNNNNNNNNNNNNNNNNNNNNNNNNNNNNNNNNNNNNNNNNNNNNNNNNNNNNNNNNNNNNNNNNNNNNNNNNNNNNNNNNNNNNNNNNNNNNNNNNNNNNNNNNNNNNNNNNNNNNNNNNNNNNNNNNNNNNNNNNNNNNNNNNNNNNUCUGUUAGUGCCAUUACUUUUUAAAUUUGAAAACACUUUUUUUGUUUUCUUUCUUGCUUUAUUUAUUUUAUUUUGUUUCUACUUACAAAAAAAAUACUUAUUGUUGUUUUUUUUGUUUUGUUUUCUGCAUUAUUUAUUUUCUUUUGUUUUUUGCUUUAUCUUUAAUUCUUUUUGCUUUUAGUUUUAGGAAAAUUAUAAACUUUCCACUUUUUUUGUUUUUUUGUUUUCUUUCUUGCUUUAUUUAUUUUAUUUUGUUUCUACUUACAACAAAAUACUUAUUGUUGCUAUUUUUAAUUAUUACGAGGGCCGAAGCAUAAGACAUUAAAGCAUUUCAAAUGAACUCUGAAAAAGUUGAAAGUUGGCAUGGUAUCAUAAAUUGACCCACACAUAGCAUGUGCAUGUACAAAACGGACAAUGGUAUCAUACUCGUGAGUUACAAAGUUGGCAUGGUAUCAUCAUAAUAGUUGCGGGAGAAAGUCUUCACUUUUUCUUCGCUUGUGUCAUUUGCUUAUUGCGCCGUAACCAUGGAUAAUCUUCAUCGUUUAUCAGGAUGCUGGGGUCAGCCUUGACUUUAAAGGAAGGAAUUUCAUGAAACUUUUCAUAAUCUUCAGACAUGUCUGUCUUGUCCUCCACUCCCACGAUGUCUCUUUUUCCUGAAAGAACUAUGUGGCGCUUUGGCUCAUCGUAUGAUGUAUUCGCUUCCUUAUCUUUUCUCUUUCUCGGUCUGGUAGACAUGUCCUUCACAUAGAUAACCUGUGCCACAUCAUUGGCUAGGACGAACGGUUCGUUAGUGUACCCAAGAUUUUUCAGAUCCACUGUUGUCAUUCCGUACUGUGGGUCUACCUGUACCCCGCCUCCUGACAGAUUGACCCAUUUGCACUUAAACAAAGGGACCUUAAAAUCAUGUCCGUAGUCAAGUUCCCAUAUGUCCACUAUGUAACCAUAAUAUGUGUCCUUUCCCCUCUCGGUUGUUGCAUCAAAGCGGACACCGCUGUUUUGGUUGGUGCUCUUUUGAUCUUGGUCAAUCGUGUAAAAUGUAUUCCCAUUUAUCUCGUAUCCUUUCCAAAUCAAUACAGUCAAAGAUGGUCCCCUGGAUAACAAGUACAGCUCAUCACAAAUGGUGUUGUCACCUCUGAUACGUGCUUCCAACCAACUGCUGAAAGUCCUGAUGUGUUCACAUGUAAUCCAGUCGUCGCACUGCUCCAGGUGUUUGGAGCGCAGACUGUUCUUGUGUUCAUCGACAUACGGGGUCACCAAGGUAGAGUUCUGUAGAACUGUGUAGUGUGCUUGAGACCAAGAAUAUCCGUCCCUGCAUAUUAUUGAGUCCCUUCCAAGCGUGCCUUUUCCAGUCAGUCUCCCCUCAUACCGCGAUUUAGGGAGACCUAUCUUCUUAAGGCCAGGAAUGAAGUCAACACAAAACCCGAUGACAUCCUCUGUUUGAUGGCCCAUGGAGAUGCUUCCUUCUGUCCUAGCGCGGUUACGGACAUAUUUCUUUAGGACUCCCAUGAACCUCUCAAAGGGGUACAUAUUGUGUAGAAAUACGGGGCCCAGAAUGACAAUCUCGUCAACUAGAUGAACUAGGACGUGCGUCAUGAUAUUGAAGAAGGAUGGUGGGAACACCAGCUCNNNNNNNNNNUUUUAGUUUUAGGAAAAUUAUAAACUUUCUGUUAGUGCCAUUACUUUUUAAAUUUGAAAACACUUUUUUUGUUUUCUUUCUUGCUUUAUUUAUUUUAUUUUGUUUCUACUUACAAAAAAAUACUUAUUGUUGUUUUUUUGUUUUGUUUUCUGCAUUAUUUAUUUUCUUUUUUUUGCUUUAUUUUUAAUUCUUUUUGCUUUUAGUUUUAGGAAAAUUAUAAACUUUCCACUUUUUUUGUUUUUUUGUUUUCUUUCUUGCUUUAUUUAUUUUAUUUUGUUUCUACUUACAACAAAAUACUUAUUGUUGCUAUUUUUAAUUAUUACGAGGGCCGAAGCAUAAGACAUUAAAGCAUUUCAAAUGAACUCUGAAAAAGUUGAAAGUUGGCGUGGUAUCAUAAAUUGACCCACACAUAGCAUGUGCAUGUACAAAACGGACAAUGGUAUCAUACUCGUCAGUUACAAAGUUGGCAUGGUAUCAUCAUAAUAGUUGCGGGAGAAAGUCUUCACUUUUUCUUCGCUUGUGUCAUUUGCUUAUUGCGCUGUAACCAUGGAUAAUCUUCAUCGUUUAUCAGGAUGCUGGGGUCAGCCUUGACUUUAAAGGGAGGAAUUUCAUGAAACUUUUCAUAAUCUUCAGACAUGUCUGUCUUGUCCUCCACUCCCACGAUGUCUCUUUUUCCUGAAAGAACUAUGUGGCGCUUUGGCUCAUCGUAUGAUGUAUUCGCUUCCUUAUCUUUUCUCUUUCUCGAUCUGGUAGACAUGUCCUUCACAUAGAUAACCUGUGCCACAUCAUUGGCUAGGACGAACGGUUCGUUAGUGUACCCAAGAUUUUUCAGAUCCACUGUUGUCAUUCCGUACUGUGGGUCUACCUGUACCCCGCCUCCUGACAGAUUGACCCAUUUGCACUUAAACAAAGGGACCUUAAAAUCAUGUCCGUAGUCAAGUUCCCAUAUGUCCACUAUGUAACCAUAAUAUGUGUCCUUUCCCCUCUCGGUUGUUGCAUCAAAGCGGACACCGCUGUUUUGGUUGGUGCUCUUUUGAUCUUGGUUAAUCGUGUAAAAUGUAUUCCCAUUUAUCUCGUAUCCUUUCCAAAUCAAUACAGUCAAAGAUGGUCCCCUGGAUAACAAGUACAGCUCAUCACAAACGGUGUUGUCACCUCUGAUACGUGCUUCCAACCAACUGCUGAAAGUCCUGAUGUGUUCACAUGUAAUCCAGUCGUCGCACUGCUCCGGGUGUUUGGAGCGCAGACUGUUCUUGUGUUCAUCGACAUACGGGGUCACCAAGGUAGAGUUUUGUAGAACUGUGUAGUGUGCUUGAGACCAAGAAUAUCCGUCCCUGCAUAUUAUUGAGUCCCUUCCAAGCGUGCCUUUUCCAGUCAGUCUCCCCUCAUACCGCGAUUUAGGGCGACCUAUCUUCUUAAGGCCAGGAAUGAAGUCAACACAAAACCCGAUGACAUCCUCUGUUUGAUGGCCCAUGGAGAUGCUUCCUUCUGUCCUAGCGCGGUUACGGACAUAUUUCUUUAGGACUCCCAUGAACCUCUCAAAGGGGUACAUAUUGUGUAGAAAUACGGGGCCCAGAAUGACAAUCUCGUCAACUAGAUGAACUAGGACGUGCGUCAUGAUAUUGAAGAAGGAUGGUGGGAACACCAGCUCGAAAUUGACAAUCUGGAUCGAUCACCUUCUGAGAGAUUGCAUUGAGGAAUGCACAUAGCUUCACAAUGGCUAAUCGGACGUUUUUCGGUAGAAGCCCCCUCAAUGCAACCGGAAGCAGUUGUGUCAUAAUCACGUGGCAGUCAUGAGACUUUAGGUUCUGAAACUUUUUCUCUGCCAUAUUUAUUAUUCCUUUUAUAUUCAACGAGAAGCCAGUCGGGACCUUCAUACUAAGCAGGCAUUCAAAGAAGAUUUCCUUCUCUUCUUUGGUAAGAGCAUAGCUGGCAGGACCUUCAUACUGCUUUGGAGGCAUGCCGUCUUUUUCGUGCAAACGUUGCAGGUCCUCCCGUGCCUCAGCUGUAUCUUUUGUCUUCCCAUACACGCCCAAGAAGCCUAGCAGGUUCACGCAAAGGUUCUUCGUCACGUGCAUCACGUCGAUCGAAGAGCGGACCUCUAGGUCUUUUCAGUAGGGUAGGUCCCAAAAUAUAGAUUUCUUCUUCCACAUGGGUGCGUGUCCCCCAACGUCACUCGGAACAGCUAGUUCGCCGGGACCCUUUCCAAAGAUUACGUGUAAAUCAUUGACCAUAGCAAGUACGUGAUCACCGGUACGCAUGGCGGGCUUCUUCCGGUGAUCUGCCUCGCCUUUGAAAUGCUUUCCUUUCUUUCGACAUUGAUGGUUGGUCGGAAGAAAUCGAUGAUGGCCCAGGUACACAUUCUUCCUGCAGCUUGCCAGGUAUAUACUAUCGGUGUCAAGUAAACAGUGCGUGCAUGCGUGGUAUCCCUUGUUUGUCUGUCCUGAAAGGUUACUGAGAGCGGGCCAAUCGUUGAUGGUCACGAAUAGCAACGCCUUUAGGUUAAAUUCCUCCUGUUUGUGCUCAUCCCACGUACGUACACCGUUUCCAUUCCACAGCUGUAAAAGUUCUUCAACUAAUGGCCUUAGGUACACAUCAAUGUCAUUGCCGGGUUGCUUAGGGCCUUGGAUGAGAAGUGGCAUCAUAAUGAACUUCCACUUCAUGCACAUCCAAGGAGGAAGGUUAUACAUACAUAGAGUCACGGGCCAGGUGCUGUGAUUGCUGCUCUGCUCCCCGAAAGGAUUAAUGCCAUCCGCGCUUGAAGCAAACCAUACGUUCCUUGGCUCACUUGCAAACUCAUCCCAGUACUUUCUCUCGAUUUUUUUCCACUGUGACCCGUCAACGGGUGCUCUCAACUUCCCGUCUUUCUUACGGUCCUCAAUGUGCCAUCGCAUCAACUUGGCAUGCUCUCCGUUUCUGAACAGACGUUUCAACCGUGGUAUUAUAGGAGCAUACCACAUCACCUUCGCAGGAACCCUCUUCCUGGGGGGCUCGCCAUCAACAUCACCAGGGUCAUCUCGUCUGAUCUUAUACCAUAAUGCACCGCAUACCGGGCAUGCGUUCAGAUCCUUGUACGCACCGCGGUAGAGGAUGCAGUCAUUAGGGCAUGCAUGUAUCUUCUGCACCUCCAAUCCUAAAGGGCAUACGACCUUCUUUGAUGCGUAUGUACUGUCGGGCAAUUCGUUAUCCUUUGGAAGCUUCUUCUUCAAUAUUUUAAGUAGCUUCUCAAAUCCUUUGUCAGGCAUAGCAUUCUCUGCCUUCCACUGCAGCAAUUCCAGUACGGUACCGAGCUUUGUGUUGCCAUCUUCGCAAUUGGAGUACAACCCUUUUUUGUGGUCCUCUAGCAUGCGAUCGAACUUCAGCUUCUCCUUUUGACUUUCGCAUUGCGUCCUUGCAUCGACAAUGACCCGGCAGAGAUCAUCAUCAUCGGGCACAUCGUCUGGUUCCUCUUGAUCUUCACCAGCUUCGCCCAUUGCAGCAUCAUCGUGCACAUCGUCUGGUUCCUCUUGAUCUUCAGGAGCAUCACUGUAUUCAGGGGGCACAUAGUUGUCAUCGUACUCUUCUUCUUCGCCGUCUUCCAUCAUAACCCCUAUUUCUCCGUGCCUCGUCCAAACAUUAUAGUGUGGCAUGAAACCCUUGUAAAGCAGGUGGGUGUGGAGGAUUUUCCGGUCAGAGUAAGACUUCGUAUUCCCACAUAUAGGGCAUGGACAACACAUAAAACCAUUCUACUUGUUUGCCUCAGCCACUUCGAGAAAAUCAUGCACGCCCUUAAUGUACUCGGAGGUGUGUCUUGAACCGUACAUCCAUUGCCGGUUCAUCUGCGUGCAUUAUAUAAUGAAGUGACAAAAUUAAUAGAAGUUCAUCAUCACAUUAAAACCAAAGUACAUACAUAGUUCUCAUCUAACAACAUAAAGCUCUGUAGAGCAUCUAAAUUAAUUAAACCAUACACCUAAACUAUGUAAAACAUUUCAAUGCGAAAACAAAUGCGAUCAUAAUCGCAACCAAUGUAACAACUGAUCCAACGGCAUAAUGAUACCAAGCCUCGGUAUGAAUGGCAUAUUUUCUAAUCUUUCUAAUCUUCAAGCGCAUUGCAUCCAUCUUGAUCUUGUGAUCGACGACAUCCGCAACAUGCAACUCCAAUAUCAUCUUCUCCUUCUCAUUUUUCCUAAUUUUUUCCUUCAAGAAAUUGUUUUCUUCUUCAAUUAAAUUUAACCUCUCGACAAUAGGGUCGGUUGGAAUUUCCGGUUCAACAACCUCCUAGAUAAAUAAAAUCUAUGUCACGUUGGUCGGCAUAAUUGUCAUAAACAAUAAAUGAACCAAUAGUUAUGAAAAGAUAAUAUAUACCACAUCCGAAUCAUAGACAGGACGAGGGCCGACGGGGGCGGAUACCAAAACCAUCGCACUAUAUAAGAUGCAAUAAUAAAAGUAAGAAAAUAAUACAAGUAUCUAUCUAAACAUACAAGUAAGAAUAUUUUUCCUUUCAGAAAGAAGAUAAGAACAAAAGGCUCACCACGAUGGUGCCGGCGAUGAGAUCAACGCGGGUGAUCGACGACGGUGAAGACGGGGACGGGGCGUGACGGACCGCUAAAUCUAGACAAAUAUUGAGGAAAAUGGAGCUUGGCGGUCGAGCUUGGAGGGGAGAAAGCUUAAGUAGUGUGGCUCGGGCAUUCCAUCGAACACCUCGUGUGCAUAGGAGGUGAGCUAGAGCACCACAAAGCUCUCCCCUCGCCGGCCACGAAAAACAGAGCACUGGGAGUGCUCUGCUCGCGAGCAGGGGUAUAUAUAGGCACCUCAUUGGUCCCAGCCUUUGGUCCCGGUUCAUGCCACCAACCGGGACCAAUGGUGGUGGGCCAGGAGCGAGGCCCAUUGGUCCCGGUUCGUCCCACCAACCGGGACCAAAAGGUCCAGACGAACCGGGACCAAUGGCCCACGUGGCCCGGCCGGCCCCCGGGGCUCAAGAACCGGGUCCAAUGCCCCCAUUGGUCCCGGUUCUGGAUUGAACGGGGACUAAUGGGCUGGACUGGCCUGGACCAUUGCCCCCUUUUCUACUAGUGAACUCAACUUCACCGUAUAUGAACUCGCCGGAACUCCUUGAUCACGAACGGAAACGCAAGGCACAAUUUACUUUUUCCAUCCACUCUUACUCUUAAUUCUCAUCCGCCAGUGACGCGUCUCAACUACAGCAGAUGACUCACACCCCCGAAUUCUUGGACGCACCAUACAAGAACUCAUGCACACCUCGACGACAGCCCGCAUGUUUGCCGUCACCACCUUGCUCUCAUUUGCGAUGAUAUCGAUGGUUUCCCUGGUGUCGCAACUUCGGCACCUCCAUAACCAUCACCGAUCACCAAUGCCUUGUCGACGACAGCAUGUCGCCCUCCUCCAGGUCGUUCCGCCGAACGACAAUCACGAGCCGCCUCGCUUACGACAGUGUCCUCGCCACCUUCUCACCGUCACUACGCCGAGCAAAGAUCACUCGAUCCUCCUCGUACGUCGCUCCCCGAACGACUAUUGCCUGCUCCACCUCGUCGCUGCACCACCCAGCGACUAUAUCGCCCGCUCUUCCUCGUCGCUGUACCACCGAACGACUAUAUGGCCGCCCCGAGGCGCUAGUAGGUCGCCACCCCGGGGCAAGCACGGCUGUACUAGAACCUUGCUCUAGAGACCAACUGUUGGAAUUUCGCCCUCAGGAUCGAUUACAUCAGAUACGAGGAACACACGCACACAAAAAAAAUGAUAGCCAAGGGCCCUUGUCGUGCCCUCUUUUCUCUUUAUUUUUUUGUUUCUCAACUCACGGUGUUACAAAUCGGAUGGACCGGUGUGCAUAUAUAUAAAUGACCUCAAGAGCUAUAGCUAGCUAACCUAAACCGACUCAAACAACUAAUCCUGGCCGGACACACGUUGAAACAUAACUACGACAUGGGCAGUAUGCAUGCUAAUUCCUAAUACUACACGGCUUGCAAACCGGCCACCCCGCGUACAUCUCAAUUUACCUAGUUUCUUUUUAGGGUUAAUGCCGCCGCUUUAUUUAGGUCUCCGCAAAGCUCGGAAUGCCAUCCGAGAUUACAGCCAAAAUACAGUCAGGGGGAACCCCCAUCCACACCUUACAUAAAUUAUCACCUACACCUACUCUAGCCAUCUUAUGCGCGGCGACAUUCGCUGAACGACGAACCCAUGACAACUUAGCACCUUGCAUCUCCUGCAACACCUGCUUGAUUUCCUGAAUCCAGGGUCCAACCGUCGAGUAGUUUAUACCCUCUUGCUGGAUCAUCUGAACCACCUUCAAGCUGUCCAACUCAAGAUGAACAUUCUGCACUCCCAACUCUCCCGCCACCUGCAAAGCUCUCCUACAUGCCAAUACUUCCGCAGCUUCAGGGUCCUGUAUAUGUGGAAAUACAUGACACAUGGCAGCUAUGAAAGCUCCGUUGUGAUCUCGCAAAACUGCCCCCCCCCCUCCUGCGUUGUCUCCCACCCUCGAAAUAGCACCAUCAGUGUUAAUCUUCACCCAGCCAUCAUCCGGUACAGCCUAUCGCUGGGUGAUCUUCGGGACCGGUACAGUUACCUUUGUUGGAUGUGAGUUGGUCCACUCCAGCAAAUGUGUAUACACUGAUUCCAUUAUCGCAUGUGGCACUUCCAACCGUUUCCCUUCCCUCGUAUCAUUUCUUGCUAGCCAAAGUCCGUAUGUGGCUUGGAUCAUAACUUCUUUCUCUUCCUCGGACGCUCCAGAGAACCAGCCAAGUAGCCAAGGCGCUAAUGCACCCUGGGUAUCAAUCUGACACGGCGGGGCUGCCACCGCGAUACCUUUUUCCAAGCGCAAAAGUUGCCAGAACUGUGCUGAAUGCUGACAUGCCCAAAAACGAUGGAUGAUUGUUUCUUCCCUCCCGCAUGCAACACAAAAAACCCCCGGUUUGAUCCGUCUCCGAUGAAGUUCUGAUCCUACUGCUAGUCCAUUUCUGAUCAUGCGCCACAUGUGGAUUUUUGCCUUGGGUGGAGCACUCGUACCCCACAUCUCCAUAUACCCUUUGUGCUGCUGUACCGAGUCUGAAGACUCCUGCUGGCCCGUCCUCACCUUCCUCAUUGCCAUCCAAAGAUGAUAUGCUGACUUGACAUUAAAGACACCAUUCUUGGUAUAAUUCCAAGCCUGGUAGUCUUCGGUUUCGGGCCCUCCCACUGCUAUUUGCAUUAUAUCAUGAAUAUCUGAUUCCGAAAACAUAGCUGCUAGCUUUUCUGCAUCCCAAGCCGCACCACUCAAAUCGAGAAGAUCAGACACCUUCGUCACACCAUGAACAUAAACCUGACCCAGUGGUCUCAAACAGCCAUCCCUUGGAAUCCAAUUGUCAUGGUGGAUAUUAAUCCUCGCGCCGUCACCCACCCUCCACACGAGUCCCUCCCGAAGAAGGUCCCUCCCAUGCAAUAUGCUUCUGAACGUGUAAGAUGAGUUGGAUGGGCAGGUAGCACUCAAUAUCGAAUCAUCCUUGAAGUAUCUGGCCUUCAACACCCUAGCACACAGAGAAGACGGCGUAGUAAGAAUCCUCCAUGCUUGCUUUGCCAAAAGUGCUAGGUUGAAGCCCUCAGGAUUUCUGAACCCAAGGCCCCCUUCCCUCUUCGAAUUGCACAUCUUCUCCCAUGAGAUCCAAUGCACCUUUCUUUCACCGUUCAUUGCCCCCACCAGAAUUUUGAAGAGAUGGAUGUCAGGUUCCGGUAUAUCUUCUUUGUGAGGUGAAAGCAACUCAUCGUGAACGUUGGUGUUGAUUGUAAUCCCGAUUUAACAAGAACUUCUCUGGCAGCCUUGGGCAGACCCUGCCCUUUCCACCCUGUCACCUUACCCUUAGAGCUCCCAGUGACAUAAGGAAACGUACCCUCCUUUGAUCUUCCAACCAGUGUUGGCAGACCAAGGUAUCUUUCACUUAGCGCCUCACUAGCAAUGCCCACCGCCUCCUUAAGCUCAUUUUUGGUCUCAUUGUUGCAUCCCUUCCCGAAGAAAAUGGAGGACUUUUGCAUGUUCACCCGCUGGCCCAAGGCCUCCUCAUAUGUCAGUAAAAUUUCCUUCAGCGCAGUCAUGCUCUCUGAAGAGCCCUCAAGAAAAACAAUGCUGUCAUCGGCGAACAGCAAAUGAGUGACGUGGGGGCCAGUGCCCCCGAACGAAACUCCCUUGAUCCUCUGUUCCUCCUGUGCUCUUUUCAACAAGGCCGAGAACCCCUCAACACAAAAAAGGAAUAAAUAUGGUGAGAGCGGGUCACCUUGUCUUAGUCCACGCGAUGGUGUGAACCUCCUAGAGCCACCCCCAUUAAGCCUAACAGAAAACCGAGCUGAUGUAACACAUCUCAUAAUCAUACCAAUCCCCCCAUGAUCAAAGCCAAACUUAGCCAUUAUCCUUUCCAGAAAACUCCACUCUACUCUGUCAUAGGCUUUCAUCAUAUCGAGCUUUACCGCACAUAAGCACUUCCUUCUCUUUCUAGUCCGGAUGGCAUGGACACAUUCGUAUGCUACUAACACAUUGUCCGUAAUAAGACGGCCUGGAACAAACGCACUUUGCUCUUCUGAUAUUAACACUGGUAGGAUGACUUUCAAUCUGUUCGUGAGCACCUUUGUUGCUAUCUUGUACAAAACGUUACACAAACUAAUAGGGCGAAACUGAGAAAGUAGCUCCGGUGCACUCACCUUAGGUAUCAUCACAAUAACAGUAUCAUUAAAUGAUUCCGGGGUUGUCUCACCGUUGAGAAACGUCCGAACAGCCGUACACACAUCUUGCCCCACCAACGACCAGUGUCGCUGAUAGAGAAGCGCUGGCAGUCCGUCCGGACCCGGCGACUUGGUCGGCCCCAUUUGGAACAAUGCUACUCUGAUUUCCUCAUCCGUGAUCGGCGUCGUUAGCUUUUCAUUCAUGUCAGCCGUCACCUGAGACUCAAUAUGCUGCAGCAACGCCUCCGCACCAACCGAGCCUUCGGACGUAAACAAUUGCUCAUAGAAUGCCGCUGCCAUCUCUCUCAUUUCAUCAUCCACCAUACACUUGGUGCCAUCCUCCCUUAACAGUGCCUAUACCGUGUUCUUACGCUUCCUAUGUGAAGCACGGUUUUGGAAGUACUUGGUGUUUUGGUCUCCUACAACUAACCAAUCCACCCUCGAUCGCUGUCGGUAUAAAAUCUCUUCCCUCUCAAACAUCUCCUUCAACUGAUCCUCAAUGUCCCGUACCUCCUGCUGAUAUCCCGUCGACAAUGCCCUAGUCUUGGCGUCCACCAACUGUGUCUUGAGCGCAGCAAUCUGUCUUCUUAUCGAUCCGAACACCUCCCUGCUCCACCUUUGCAUGCUACCCGCUACCUGACCUAGCUUGCUCCACACAUCCUCAAGAUUCCUCCCGCCAGCGCCCGCCGCUUCCCACGCCUCUCGCACCAUUUGCUCAUAGUUCUCAUGCCUUGUCCAUGCUUCCUCAAACCGAAAGGGUCGGUCCCUACCUCGGGGAGCAGCUGGAGCGGUCUCCAUUGCCCUCACCAGUAGAGCCUGAUGGUCCGACUCCUCCGUCAUGAUGUGUUGCACGGACGUUUCUGGGUACAUCUGCAGGAAUCCAUCAUUGCAUGUUGCCCUAUCUAGCCUGACCUGAAUGUUUUCACUCCCAUCUCUUUUGUUAUCCCAUGUGUACGGGUAUCCAUUGAACCCCAGGUCCGCCAAGCCGCAGUCAGCUAGGCAGUCCCUAAAAUCCUCCAUACGUGAAAAAGGCCUUUGGUUACCCCCAAUCUGAUCGGCAUGGAAUAAUGCUUCAUUAUAAUCCCCUACACAAAUCCAAGGGAGAUCAUCUUGCCUUCUCAGAUACCUUAAAGCAUCCCACGAUUUCUUCCGUCUUUCCGUGUUCGGUUCCCCGUAGAAUCCAGUGAUCCUCGAGGUCUUGCCAUCACAAACAAACUCAGCAUCAAUGAAAUAUUGACUCCACGGUCUCACUGUAGCUUGUACGUGAUCUCUCCACCACAUGGCCAGUCCACCACUCCUUCCGUUGCAAUCCACUGCCACCCCAUGUCUAAACCCCAAACUCCAUUUUAACCUAUCCAUCCCUCUCGCCUUUUUCUUCGUUUCACAUAAGAACACCACCGCUGGGUUGUAGGACCUAAUCAGGUCUCAUAAUUCGCCAACCGUCGAGUCCAACCCCAAUCCUUGACAGUUCCAGGCUAGAAUGUUCAUUGCUCCUGGCGGCCCUGGUUAGCAGGGUCCGCCAUUGCUCCAUUUUGUUCCUCAAUGCGGUCAAACACAGACGACGUCUUCCGUCGUGUAUCACAAAUGAAACCGUCAUCGCCCCCACCUCUGAUAUUGUCAUCCUUCACCCUCCAAAUUUGUUUCGGGCCUCUUUUCCUGUUUUCCAACUCCCUUCUAGAAGAGGAAGUGUCACACUGCUGCACUUCAACAACCUGUCUUGGUUUCCUGACAUAAUAUCCCCUCAUUCUUCCACGUUCAUCAUGCAUGUUCGACCUUUCAUAAAGCCCCGGCUCACUGUAAUAAUCAUCCCUCCGAGAUUUGUAUUUUUGAUGUUCGGCUGCAUGCACUGAUCCCUUAUUGUACCCAUUUGCUUUGCCCUUGUAGUCAGCCCUAUUGGUACUCUCGUCUCCAUACCUUCUCUGCUGGUUUUUUAUAAUCAACUUCUCACGGAGAUCUUCCUCCCUCCGCUUCUCAAGGCUGUCCCGCAGGUCCUUUUCCUUUCGCACACCAUGCCCCAUCCCUGAUUUAGCCGGGCUAGUGAUCUCCACCCCACCCUACUCCGAACGACCGCCAGUGCGGCUUCCAGAGCCAGCAGCAAAAUCAGCUGCUAAGUUCCGUUUAGUGGGUAGAUUCCGGCCUCUGUUUUGAUCCUGUUGUCCUUUUCCAUCCUCCCCACUCCUUGAAUUUGCAAAACUGUUGCUACUGCUAGCCCCCUUAGCUCCAAACGAUCCUUCCUUGAAAGAACCAUUCCUUCCUGGGGAAGAACGUAGCCAGCUCCCCCAUUGAUCAGAGGAUUCCAGAGGGGGCACACAUACCCCAUGUUCAUGAACCAGUCUGCCACAAUCGAAGCAAAAAUGUGGCACUUUUUCAUAAAAAAAGUCAUACCACGUCCCAACCUUAUCCUCCUUCGAUUUCUUCAAGUUAAACCCACGGAUCAGAGGCUCAAAAACUGAGAUAGUAGUUCUAAUUCGUAGCUGCUGACCCCUCGCCAUGCCCUCUCCAUCUGUAUCCACCUUCACCACUUUACCAAUCCAAUUGCCUAGGGCAGUCCCAAAGGCUUCACACCUCUUGUCAGGUGGCAAAUCCACCACUCUUACCCAUAUGUCGAUCUCCUCAAACACCAUCUCAGAGGGUCUAAUCUUUCCUUCAUAUUCUUUCACAAUGAGUACACUAAAAUCAAAUUGCCAGGGUCCAUUAUUCAACACAUGUCUCCAAUCUCCUUCACUGCCCAAGUGGACCACGAAGAUAUUUGACCCCAUGUCUCUGAACUUGGCCUCUUUGUGUAGACCCCAUGCCCUCGGCAUCGUCUUCUCCAGCGUCGUCAUCUUCAUUGGCCGUUUCGAGCACACUUUUCCGACCACCGACCACCUCGAGACCUUGGGGAUUGGUAGUUCAUGAUCCUCAAACACAAGCCCAUCAGCCUCCUUAUCCAUCAAAACCAUCCCACCCAGUCUUGCGGAGAGACUCGCCGCUGGAUCAGGUGUUCUACUCUCCACCGGGGACACAAAAUCUCCCCUGCUUCCAGGAUCACCCAUCUUCCGCGGUCCAGGAGUCGACGCCGUCGCCGUUCGGAUCGGAGUUUUCCUGGCGUUCAUCUCCGCGGUCACCUUCGUUCCAGCAUCCUCCGCCAUCGCCUCCGGCCUCACCGCGGAGAAGCUGUGUCAGCCCACGCCUAGAUCGCGCCGUCGCAAUCCAGCCGCCGCCGUAUCCUUACCACCCCCAGCGACAAAACCCUAAACCUAGCGUAGUCGCACGAUCGCCAGGCAAUCGCCGCCUACAUCUCAACUUACCUAGUUAAUUAUCCGGCCAGCUUGAUCACGAUUACACCAAACUAACUCAGGCAUUGUUUGGAUUAUCCCAACACAAUCGUCCAUGGACAGAGGACCAGUCUGUGGACAUCUAUACAUGAAACCGCCAUCCAACCCUGUUCACAUACCUUUCAAAUUUUUUUUAACAAACCAGAUGAAAUUCAUGCAAAGACAGUGAAAUUCACACAAAUCGCACGAAAACGUUUACAUUUUGGACAUAUCUUUUAACUAAAAAUGAUACUAGAGUAACAUGAAACUACUCAGCGCCGGUGAAUAGUCACUCCGGCAACAUGGAUAGCCUUGACUAGUCUACUGCCGGCCGCAAUGGAUCUGCAUUGCCGUCCCCAUGUCCCGUCAUGUCCCGUAGCUGUGAGCCCUGGAGGUAUAUGCUUUAGCACAAAGAGCGGCUCGCUUCCCUACCGCUCAUCGGAGUGGAACAACCGGUUGAUGCUUUUGCCGGUGGGGAAGGGUCCCUACACUGCAUGGAUAGGAGUUGGUUUUGGGUAGGGGACGACGGUGGCCUGCCAGAGGGCAAGACAUCGGGUGUGUACUCUGGCGUCACCUUGGCGUGGCAUUCAUGGGACCCAAGCGGCAGCGGCUCCUCGAUGAUGGCGGCGAGCGUGGACGUGCUGGCCACCACCUAGUCGAUGUCCGCUCAGCCCGUUUCUUUCUCUGCAGGCAGGGAGUCGCUACGUGCACGUUGACAUCAUAUGACGCGGCCGCAGGCAUGGGAGGGGCGGUACGACAUGGCACCGUCGACGGCAGCCACGAUGCCCAUGCAGCCGUGCUCCCUGCCGGUGCCGACCUGUAACAACUCGCCACUCCUCAGUUCGUGACCGGCGGGCUCGAUGGGCCACCCAGCCGUUUUUAUGCGGGAAUACUCUUCUUCCUACUCAUCGGAUCCCAUGAAGAAAACUUCUCAAGGAGGAUAAUGGUGAGUGGAUGUAUGGUACGGUUCUUGCCCGACAUCUGACAGUGUUUAAAUAGCGGGCGAACACGAGAAGCCAACCAAUGUUCUGUUUAUUGCCGGCCGGCUCGCAAACGGACAUGUGGUUGGAGUAGGUAUCCUGGCACACACACGGGUUUAAUGAAGGAAGGCGGGCAGUUUGCAGCCGUUUGAAUGGGGGCGAGCAUGCAUGUUCAGCAUGGCGUGUAGCGCCCUCAGCCAGUGCGCCGCUUCCAUUGCGGAGGCAGUAAGGGAUGUGUACGCUCUGCAGUGGAGUGAAUGCGGGCAACUGGUGCAGGGCGGGAACAAGAGCGGGCAUGGGAGGAGGCGGUUUGGAUGGGCACGUGUGAUAAGAAGCAGUCAUGGGUGCUGUCCGGACACCCGCAAAGCCCGCCUCCCCCACGUUUGUCUCCGGUUUGUCAGAGAAAGUAUGUCCGGACCGUCCUAUGGACCAAUACAGGCCCGCAUUGGAUGGCACAACACGUAUGGACCAUGUAGUCCGGAUGGUUGCAGAUGGUUUGAUGGUUGGCGUUGGAUAUGCCCUUAGCGCUUAUGAAUCCAUUGUGUUUUUCUAAUCAUAAAAAGCACUUAUGACAAGUUAUAAUGAAAGACACGUAUAUAUGUUAGGUUCAGACUCCAACUUUCCCGUUGCAUAUGAAUUUUUCUGAUCCGACCCAUACCAAUAGAGUGAGGCUAGCGUCGCUUUUCUAGAAACUCGCGGGAUAAGAAGACAUGCAUACAUAUUAUUUCAAGGAAAUCACAUCCACUCUUUUUAACUUAUUUUUUCUUAUUUUCAUAAUAUAAUAGAUCAUUUGUAUUUUUAAUUCAAACAAUUAACGUGUAACUUUUAUUGUAAUCUAAGGAUAUUGUUUGGAUUUUACUUUCAAAUAUUUGAAAUGGCCAUGAUGGAAUCACAUCCAUUUAUUUUAUUAUUAUUUGAAUUUGAUCCGAAAGAUAAAUAAUGAGUAGAGGUCAUGUCAACUUUUCCUAGAAUUUGCUAAUCAAAAUAUAAUUUCUAUCUUAAUACAAUCCAUUAUUUAACUACUCUAUUGAUUUGUAUUUAAAAACAUAUAUUUUUAGCACGCAUAAAAAACAUAACAUGUAUCUUUCCACACAAACUAUAGGUUGUCAUGAAAACUCAUGCCAUGCCAUAGCCUCCCUCCGACCCUGCCAACAUUGUUGCAGCUGCACUCGCAAGCCUUAGCGUGGAUGAUCAUUUAUAUGAUUUGUGUAAAACAAACUAAGAUCUACAAACGAAUAGAAGCUAGAACAUACCUUGGUAUGCACACACAUUGCAAGCCAUACUAAGCUGAUAAGUGUCAAUAACUUGUACAACAUAUACAACACCGAAGACAAGUAAAAGCAAUUUGAUGAGUCAUGGUCUAUCAAAGCAAGCUACAUUACUACUCUAAUCUAUCUUAAGAGGUCACACAUGAUUACAAUCUUUUUUGUGUGCAAGUCAAGCUUAUCUAUUUUACACGUAACAACUUGUAGAACAUUACAAAAUUGAUGUUUGCUAAUAACUUCUAGAACACUACAACACUUGACAUGUAAAAGGAAUUUGAUGAGUCAUGACCUACUAAAGCAAGUUACAUUACUAGUCUCAUCUAUCUUAACAGGCCACACAAGAUUACAAACUAAGUUCUGUGCAAGCAAUGCUUAUCUAGUUUACACAUAAACUUGCAUAACAUUACAAACUUAGUUUCAGAAAAUUAGGCAACCUAGAUUAGUGUUUAUUUGUAAAGUGAAUAAGAUGAGUCAUGUGUGUUAUCACACCUUUUUUGUGGUGGAAUGAUAGUGCCACAAAACACAACAUACCAAAAAUUGAUUUCGGGAAGCAUCCAAGCACUUUCCAGGAAAGCAAAUGCCAAUUGUGAAAGAGAUCAUGCCAUGGCAGCUAUAAAUAGGCCUGUAGCAUGAUGACCAUCCUUCCUCAUUCAUCAUUCUCAUAAGUAGAGUGUAUCAUUCAAGCCAAGCAAGCAGUGGUCAAUACAAAUCCACCAUGAAGACCUUUCUCAUCUUUUCCCUCCUUGCUAUCGUGGCGACCACUCCAACAACUGCAGUUAGAUUUCCAGUGCCACAAUUGCAGCCGCAAAAUCCAUCUCAGCAACAACCACAAGAGCAAGUUCCGUUGGUGCAACAACUACAAUAUCCAAGGCAACAACAACCAUUUCCACCACAACAGCCAUAUCCGCAGCCGCAACCAUUUCCAUCACAACAACCAUUGCCGCAACGGCAACCAUUUCUGCCACAACUACCAUAUCCGCAGCCACAACCAUUUCCACCACAACAACCAUAUCCACAACCGCAACCACAGUAUCCACAACCACAACAACCAAUUUCACAGCAACAAGCACAAUAAGCACAACAACAACAACAACAACAACAACAACAACAACAACAACAAAUCCUUCAACAAAUUCUGCAACAACAACAACUAAUUCCAUGCAGGGAUGUCGUCUUGCAACAACACAACAUAGCGCAUGCAAGCUCACAAGUAUUGCAACAAAGUAGUUACCAACUGUUGCAACAAUUAUGUUGUCAACGGUUGUGGCAGAUCCCCGAGCAGUCGCGGUGCCAAGCCAUCCACAAUGUUGUUCAUGCUAUUAUUCUGCAACAACAACAACAACAACAACAACAACAACAACCGUCGAGCCAGGUCUCCUACCAGCAGCCUCAGCAACAAUAUCCAUCGGGCCAGGGCUCCUUCCAGCCAUCUCAGCAGAACCCAUAGGCCUAGGGCUCUGUCCAGUCUCAACAACUUCCCCAGUUCGAGGAAAUAAGGAACCUAGCGCUGCAGACGCUACCGGCAAUGUGCAAUGUCUACAUCCCUCCAUAUUGCUCGACCACCAUUGCGCCAUCUGGCAUCUUCGGUACUAACUGAGAAGAGAAGAACUUGUACUAGAUAUAUGAAACACCAUUUCCUUAGUCCAUGGUUUGGUCGUUGUAGCGGUGACAAAAUAAAGUGACAUGCACUAUCAUGUAAGAACCCGAACUAUACUAGUUCAAACUUGGGAAUAAAAGACAAACACAUGUCUUGUCUGCAUAUGAUUGUUUGUUUGAGUUCCAUUCAUGUGCCCGUUCACAAGUUCACCCCUAAUUAUAUAUAUUACACAAUAAGUAGAUAUUUAUGUUUCAUUAAUCUAAAUAUAACAAAAUGAGUCUGAAACUUGAAUUAAAUUGAAGUAUUUUCUUGGACUUUCAAAUUAAGUAUUAUUAAAGUAGUAAGGACUAUCCACAUCCUUGGCUUGCCCUUGAUCAAUUAUUUCCAGAGAAGCAUUCAAUUCAUCAAUCAAUUACAUUGGUUUUUGUGACUGGUACUUCUCCUCAUCAUGAGUAUCAUUGCGACUACUCCAAAUCGCCCACAUAACCGAAGCAUUAAUAGCGCUCUUCUUGCAUCAAGGAAAUAUGGAUCGAAGAUAUCACUUGACCAUGUUUCCGGGUGCAACCUUGGGAGUUUUAUGUCAAAAUAUUCUCAAGGAGAAUCCAAGAAUAAACUUGCAUGCUCAUGUGUGAUAAGGGCAUAUGAAGUAACAUUUCCUCCCCAUGGCCACACAUAGGGCACACACAUAACCCCAUCACAUGCCUUUUUAGUUAUGCAUAUGAAGGUAGGAUGUUUUUAAUUACUCUCCACCAAAAUACUCUUAACUUGGCUUGUACCCUAAGCUUUCGUUGCCUUUUCAAUUUCUCUUCCCCGCUAGACAAACUAGACAGUCCAUCUACCACACCAUACCUUGUGUCCAUCAUGGCUCUGUACAACAAUUGAACAGGACAAAUGUCAUUUCUUUACGAUACCCACGACCAAGUGUCCUCUGCUGGAUUGUUUGGUCGUGGCAUAUUAAGGAUGGACACCUCAUCUGAUGGGACAAACACCUAACGAAUGAAAGGAGUGUUCCAGCCGCCCAUGUUUUUCUUCUCGAUAAGAUGAGCUACAAGUUGGACUGGAGUUUCUCAUGCACCAUAGUGGUUUCAUCAGCGGCAUGCCCUGCACACAUUUAUCAUGCCAUAUCUUUGUAGUGUGCAUUCCCAAUUUGUCACAACAUACCCUCCUUCAAACCUUUUUGCCUUUCAGAAUAGCACGCCAAGCUAGCGAUGCACUAUGCAGUAACCCACAUUUGAAAAAAAAAAGAAUCUCAUUUCAUGGUAUCUUCCACGAAGGACCCUCGCACAUGAGUUAUCUAGAUAGAAAUAGCCAUGUAUGUUUAGCAAACUUUGCAUAAGUGAAUAGAUCAAGGUCGUGGAAACCCAAGCCUCCAAUUACACCCAGCCUCUCUACCAACAAGAUGUCCAAAGACAUCAAGGAUACACAAAGCCAAAAAAGAAAAUAAAAAGAGCAGAAGAAAAAAAAUACCCUGCCAUGGUGAUCAAUCACUAGAAUCAGCAGCACUCUAACCACCACCGAAGACAAUGCCCGAAUUACAAAAAAGGUUCUCCAAAAGCAACGCCCCCAAGAAGGAAACAAUGCACAAGCAUUGUCGUUGCCCGAUCGAAGAUCAUGGGUUUUCACCCUGGAAAAAUUUCGAGUUCACUAAAAAAUAAUGCCUUCAACAAGGCCAUUGCCAAGUACAACCAAUAAGGGCCAGACCUUGGGUUUUCACCAUAGGAAUUGAGACUCGAUACUCGAGGAGUACCACCAAAAAUGCAGUCCGCAAGUGUUGCCGCCCCCGCUUGCCGAGGGCGCUGUUGCAAGUCGCCAACCACCUGUCAUACAUUUGUCGUCGCAUCCAAUACACCCUUCCGCUGAAGCUUCAAGACCUCCAACCGCAGCCGCCAUGACUUUCUCCUAGUCUAUCAAUGCCUUGAGAAUCUUGAGUUAGACAUGUCCAAUGACAUAAAUAAGAAAUCGAAGCUUCGUGCCACGUCCUCUUGAGGCCGUGCUGGCUGAUAAUAUUAGCGUGCAUGACCGGAGCGUUUCCGAUCUAGAUAUCCAGGGGCGACAUACACCAAUCCAUAUAGAUCUCCGCUCGGUAAGACCGGAACUCAUCAACGGCCAGAUCCAAGAGGUCGACAUCCGGUAGAAAGAUGACUUGGCGGAAGAAGAGCAUCAGGGCCAAACCGCCAUUAUUAGUCCGAAGCUAAUAGCCCCCACGCCACCCUCCUCUCGAUCCAGACCUGCAGAAAAUGAUCAACAACGCCGCGCCGUGCCACUCGCAUCCAUGGAGGCUUGAACUUGGCAAGACGCGAACCAUGGCUGGAGACGGGGACCAGCCACUCCUGGUCGGAUCCGGUGACUCCUAGUCCCACCACUGCCACUACGGCGGCACCGCGUGUAGCCUACAAGCCCAUCCAUGAUGAUGUCUGAUUAGAAGGAUACAUGGAUAUACAAAUGAAAUGGCCCUCGUUAUCCCUCCAACAAUAUAUAUAAAGCUUAUUGGGACAUGAGAAAGCUCGCACAAUUUUAUAGUGGCUAUGGAAAUGUGUUGCCAGACAGAGAUAUAAGAUUUUCGUUUGGCAUCCAGACCGCUUGUGUCAUCCUUAAUCGAUGACCACUCUAAUUUUUCCGGCGGGCCUUCCCUGUGGUACUGCAGCCUUACAUGUGUAUGGAUUUCAUACAGCUAUUCUGUCCAGUCGGAAAAGGAGACAACCAAAAUUACUUGGAGUUGAUAACUAAUAUGUUUCCUUUAACUACCACGUGCACGACGAGGAUUUACGGCACGCAAGUGCAGGGGCAGGUACUGGUGCCGCCUUUUUAUUCUAGCCUCCAAUUUUCAAAUUUCUAUAUCUUUCAAACAAAAAAAAUCAACUUAAGUUAUGUUUUCAUAUUCGUGUUUCUUGCCGCCAGCGCUUUGAAAUAAUAUUCAUUUUGAAUAUAUUUUGGCAAUUUUUAAACACAAUGUUAAUUUCCAUUGUUUAAAACUUAGUACGAGCGACCGAUAAUAUUCAAUUAUUUUGUGUCUCUGACCAACAGAAAAAAAUGCUUGAAAUUGCAUCUUUGAAACUUGUUGAAACUGGGCAUUUUCUAAUGCAAAAGCGGUAAGUUUUCAUCGUUGAAACUUAAAGGUUUUUGAUGGAUUUUCUUCUUUACUGUGCCCUACUUCAUGAAUCGUGAGACAAAUCGAGCAGGUGGCAGGGCUUGGCCAGUGAGUGCCCUUGCACUUAGGUGCCCCAGCGAAUUUCCACUUGCAUCGUAGCAUUCUUUUUCCGAGUCCUGCGAACGAACGAUGGUGCAUACAAAAAGUCUAUCCUAUAUGCGUACAUGUGCAUGAUCAAAACAUGUUUGUACGUGCAUCUGCUAUAAAUCUCGACCAUUUUGAACACAAAUCAUGACCAUUAAAAUACAUGAUUAGUGGAUCAUACUAUCGUAACCUAUGUGAGAUCAUGUGGAGUAAUAUAUUAUAGUAUAUAGAUAGAUCUAUGUUGUAUUUUUUUUUGUUAGAAAAAUAUCUGUCAUUACAUAUUUAGAUUUAUGCAUCUGUUCUUGCCAAAAAAAUCACUAACAUUUCACAGUGGAAAGUUUGUAAUUAUAUCAUAUUGAACACCAAUGUUUUCCCGCAAAAGAAAAUAAUGCCUAUGCAUAUGCUUUUAUAUUAUUAUUAUUGUUUCAAAUAUAUCCAUAUAUUAUUUUUGGUUGUACAACCAUAAUUUUCUUAUCCCUCUCGUUCCACUAAAUGCUCCUAGUCACUGAAUUAUAUACACCAAAUAAACCCCUUUGCACGUCGUUAAUGACCAAAAAAAGUUGAUGCUGGCUAUGUUCUCUGAUGUCAGCAUGAUAUCAUAUAUAGUGAUUAGCAUGAACGAAUCCCUUUGACUCAUGCGUACUCCCUUUGGAAAGAAAUAUAAGAGUGUUUACAUAACUAAAGUUGUGAUCUAAACACUCUUAUAUUUCUUUAAAGAGGGAGUAUAAAUUAAGAAGUGCAAGAUAAAGAAAUGCUGGUCCUUGAUUUGUUGUUGACUCUUAUAUUCUUUAGGGAGGAAGUAUAAAUUAAGAAGUGCAAGAUAAAGAAUGCUGAUCCUUGAUUUGUUUUUGACGUCAGCAUGCCAUCAUUACCUUGUAGUUAUGAUACAAAUUGGAUCUUUCAUACAGAAUUGGAGGCUUGCUCCUUUGAUCCGCACACGCUUAAACACAAAGAGCAUGUAUAUGUUUUGUCUCCGGAUUUCAACUCGUGCUUGGCCAACAAAUAUGGUCUGAUCGGGACAUCGGGUAGAGGAAAAGGCAAGUUUGCUAAUACGCCUGGAGGAAAUGCCUUUGAUUAGGGCAUCUACAACAGCGACCAGUAAAUUUCCACCCGCAAUUUGUUGGAAUUCCGCCUUCAGAAUCGAUUACAUCAGAUACGAGGAACACACGCACACAAAAAAGUGACAGCCAAAGGCCCUUGUCGUGCCCUCUUUUCUCUUUAUUUUCUUGUUUCUCAACUCACGGUAUUACAAAUCCGAUGCACCGGUGUGCAUAUAUAUAAACGACCUCACGAGCUAUAGCUAUCUAACCUAAACCGACUCAAACAACUACUCCUGGCCACACACACGUUGGAACAUAACUAGGACACGGGCAGCAUGCAUGCUAAUUCCUAAUACUACACGGCUUGCAAAACGGUCACCCCACGUACAUCUCAACUUACCUAGUUAAUUAUCCGGCCAGCUUGAUCACGAUUACACCAAACUAACUCAGGCAUUGUUUGGAUUAUCCCAACAAUCACCCCUAAUCCAAACAUCCGUCUCUUUAUCCAACGACACACGAGACACGCAGACGACCACCUGUUCAUCUUGUCAGGCUGGCUGCCUCCGGUGACGCAACUUACCGGACUGCAACUUCGCUCUCCUUGCAAUGAUGAUCACCACUUCAUCUCACCGCAACUUCGUUUGCAUACCAACUCAUAGAUUUUAACCAAUGAAUACCCGGACUACCAGCCACGCUGUCACAUCUUAGCGUGCUACAUGCAGACUAAACACAUAGCCUCAUGCAUGAACUCAACUUAACUGGUGUCUGUCCAUCUUCACGUUGAUCUUCAUCUUCUCAUCGGUUGAAUGCACGCGGGGAGGCACAACUCUUCACCCACCACAUCUCCACUUUCCCAUCAUCGUUGGUGACACAACUUACCAAACAACGCUCCCUGUCGAGCGGCAAUACAACUCGCCAUAUACGUGCAACCACUGGUAGAAAACCACCCAUUAGUCCCGGUUCGUAAGGGCCUUUAGUCCCGGUUCAGGAACUGGGACUAAUGGGUCGUUACUAAUACCUCAACCCAUUAGUCCCGGAUCAAACACGAACCGGGACCAAUGUGCCUCCACGUGGCCCUGUGCGCCGAGCCCAGUCAGGGGGCCUUUGGUCCCGGUUGGUGGCUCCAACCGGGACCAAAAGGCAUCCACGCGUCUGCAUUCCAGUGGCUGGGGUUUUUUUAUGAAAGGAGGGGGGUUGGGGGUUUUGGGGGGUUAAUUUAGGUGUUUCGUAUAUUGUGUUAGCUAGCUAAUUAAUAGAGAGAAGUGUCCUCUCUUAUGUCCGUGCUUGGUCGACGCUACGUAGUAUAUAUACAUAAGUGAUCGAGAGAACCAUUUAGUACAGAAGUUCGUCAUGCAUACCGAGAGAAGUGAUCGAUCGACCUCUCCUUCUCCGAGAGAUUGGUCGAACAACAAGUUUUUUACUGGCUACAUACAUGUACAAUCUAUAUAAGAUCUCUUAAUUACAAACCCCUAGCAUUUGAAAUCAACUUCCACAUGGUAUUCUCCGGCUUUACUGAUGACGUGUUCAAGAAAGAAUCCCGCCAAUUCCUCUUGAAUUGCUUUCAUGCGAUCUGGUGGUAGGAGUUCAUCCCGCAUCUGCCACGUCUAAUUAAUUUGAAGAAGGGGGUUAAUUAAUACAUAUAUAUGAAUCAAACUCAACAGAAAUGAUGGUGUAAUAAAAUGAAAUUGUGAAAGCUUACGCACUUCAUAUUGUCUUCUAGAGUAGCCCCGCUUGUUUUUCAAAGUCGCGUUGUGGAUGAACUCGCACACGUAGUAUCCACAGAAAUCAUUCCCUUCCUCCUGCCACAAGCACUUUACGAGAAAUAUAGGUCAAUCAAACUGAUAAUGAAGCAUUAUAAAUGGCAUUGAUGAAAGUAUAGCUAUAGAAUCAACGGGAGAUGCGCGCAACUAGCUAGCCAGUAGUACUUACUUUCGGGUAUAAAUAUCGCAGCUCCUUCGGCAGUCCCGGAGCUUGUGCGGUGAACUGUUUCCAAACCCUGCAAGACAAAGACAAUAAUUAUUAUUACUUGAGAUAUCAGGAAAUGAACAAAAAGUUGCCGAUAUGGUGCGAUAAUGAUCGAUUGAACUUACUUGCUGAGCAUUUCAGUCAUGUCCGCAUAGGUGCUGGGAUCUUUCCGUCUGGAGUCUAAGACGGUUACUAGUCCACGCUCAAGCUUAAUCUCCAGAAGAAUAUAGUGGUACCUGCACACACAUGCAUAACUCAUCAAUUACAUUAACCUCGCUUGAGUAAUAAGGGAAACCAAAUAUGCACACGACAGUAACACUCACGGGCCGUUGUAAGGAAAGAGUAUGGUAUCUUUGUUUUGAUUUUUGAUUAACGAUUGUAGCAAGUUGUCCUCGGCCUCUUCGACGUUCUUUUCAACCAGAAAUACAUCUAUGAUAUUUGCGUUAAUGAACCCAAUAUCAUAGAUUUCAUUUUUUUGCACUCGACGAUCUUCAAUCUGCAUAAUAUAUUGAGGAUAAUUAAUUAUAAAUACAUGCAAUGAAAGAGCCGAGCUAUAUAUAGAGACUAAUGACAGAAAUAGUACUUACAGGCAGUAGCAAAAGACCAUUAAUUUAUCGAGGGCCUUUUGAUUGAAGAACUCAAAGAACUCCUCAAAUGGAACACACAACACAUCAUUUGAAACAAGGUCGUGCUCCUCUUUAAUUUUCAGAUACAAACUGUUCGUCCCCUCAGACUCUCUGCAGGUUUUCAUGUACCAACUAUGGAAUCUUCGCAUCAUUGUUGUCAGAGAUUUUUCAUCUUUGACGAGAGGCUUCCCGUACUCGUAUCUGAAUACGUCCACCUCCAUGAAAUCAGGAAGUGCAUCGUCAGGCAGGUAAUCUUCAAGAUUGCCAUAACCGGCCACCGUCCCCGGAGGAUUAGACACAUUGAGCGGGGGGGCACGAUUGAUGUGCUUGUUCGCCGAGCCGGGCAAUUUUUUUCCCCUUUGCUCGUUGUUCUUUUGACCUUUUAUCACUAACAGUAGUUCCCGACCGCUUGGCUUCGAGAUAUGUCUGUUCAGUAAUGCGCUCAUAGUUGGUUCUCGGCGGAGACUUUGGUGGUUUCCUCAGGGCAUCGAGAGUGCGCUUUGCUUUCACCGGAUCUACCUUCUCCUCCGAAGGUGGAUGUAUCUUUGCUUUCACCCCUUCAAAGAACUCCUUCACGUGGGCCUGCACGAUCGUAUUGUUUUCCUCGGUCCUCUCAUACGGUAACUUCUCUAGAGGCUUUAGAGGUGUACCGUAUCUGUAUUGCCUCUCUCUUCUUGUGUUGCUAGACGCCGGAGCAGACGGAGCGGCUGCGGCGUCUGUCUUCUUUCAUGCUUGCUUACGAGGCGGAGGAGAAGGACUACGACGCGCCGGAGCAGCCGGGGCAGCGGCGGGUCUCUUCCGCCCUUGCUGGCGAGGCGGAGAAGGAGGAGGCGGAGUGCCGCCACGCGCCGGAGAAGGAGGCGGAGUGCCACCAGGCGUGCCCUGAUCGUCACUCGCCGGAGGAGGAGGCGGUGGAGGAGGCGGAGUGCCGCCACGCAUGCCCUGAUCGUCACUCGCCGGAGGAGGAGGCGGUGGAGGAGGCGGAGUGCCCUGACUCGCCAGAGGAGGAGGAGGAGGCGGAGGCAUCCAUUUCAGAAGGUUGAUGAGCUCCUUCCGCCAUAGGCAUGGAGUCUUCAGAGAAGAACCCAGCCUAGUCUCCCCUUCACCGGUAGGGUGCUCAAGCGCGAGGUCCUCAAAUCCCUCCGUUAUUUCAUCCACCAUCACCUUAGCAAAUCCUUCUGGAAUCGGCUGGCAGUGAUAAGUUGUGCCGGGUCCACUAGGAUAAACUUGGCCAACAGCCGCCUUGACCUUCAAAUUCAUCCAUCGCGCCAUAAUGUGGCAAUUUUGAGACUCCGUGAUACCAUCCACGGGAUAGCUGGCAGGAGCCGUCAAGACAUGCUCCGGCUGAAGCAUCUCGGUGGAAGCAACGCUGCUUCUCCGCUGAGAUGGCGGGGUAGCUUAGGGGGAAGCUUCGGCAUGUUGUUUGUUGCGAUCUGCUGCUUCUCGUUCCUCUUCUUGAUCCUCUAGCCCCAUUACCCUUCCAAGCAGCGCCUGCAUUUGGUCCUGCUCCAGUUUCUUCCUCCUCUCGUGGGUUUUGUAACCCCCUGCGUCUGGAAAACCAACCUUCCACGGAAUGGAGCCUGGCGUGCCUCGUGUCCGUCCAGAGUGCUCGGGAUUCCCAAGGGCCAUUGUGAGCUCGUCCUUCUCCCUGUUUGGAAGGAACAUCCCUCGCUGCGCUGCAUCGAUAUAGUGUCGAAGGUUCUUGACUGGUGUUUGCAGUUGCUCGUCCGUCCACUGACACUUCCCUGUUACAGGGUCCAAGGUUCCGCCAGCCCCGAAGAACCAAGUCCGACAAUGGUCUGGCCAGCGCAUUGUCUCUGGUUCGAUCCCUUUUUCAAGCAGAUCAUGCUCAGCCUUGGACCACUUAGGCCGGGCUUUGAGGUAGCCACCUGACCCCGUGCGAUGGUGAAGCUUCUUCUUCGCAGCAUUUUUCUUGUUUGUCUCCGACAUCUUCUUACUCUUUUCCGAUGUCUUGUGGGCCACAAAUGCGUGCCAGUGAUCUUUGAUCUUCUCAUAUUUAACGAUGAAUUCUGGUGUCUUUUUUUUCUCGACAAACUGGUUCAGCUCUUUCCUCCACCUCCUCAUUAGGCUUGCCAUCUUCUUAAGAGCACAAGACCUGAUUAAUUGCUCUUUAACUGGCUUCUCCGGAUCCUCUGUCACGCCCAAGAUGCGGCCCUAUCCUAAAGGAACUCGAAGGUCCCACCAAGUAUAGAAGCGCAUCUUGAAGACGCUUUUGCAAGGUGGAUAUCAUUACAUCAACAUUACAUAAUAGAUGGGGAUACAUACAAGAGGCAUACAAUGCCACACGAAUACAACAUCAUACAUAAGAGAUCAACAUCCGACUACGGAUGGAACACAAAUAGAAACUCAAACAACAUCCACCCUGCUAGCCCAGGCUGCCGACCUGGAACCUAUCCCCUGAUCAAAGAAGAAGCAGAAGAAGAACUCCAAUACAAGCAAACAUCGCUCUCGCGUCAUGAUCAUCGCAUAACCUGUACCUGCAACUGUUGUUGUAGUAAUCUGUGAGCCACGAGGACUCAGCAAUCCCAUUACCAUGGGUAUCAAGACUAGCAAGGCUUAAUGGGAAAGGAAGGGGUAAAGUGGUGAGGUUGCAGCAGCGGCUAAGCAUAUAUGGUGGCUAACAUACGCAAAUGAGAGCGAGAAGAGAAACAAAGGAAUGGUCAUCAACUAGUAAUGAUCUAGAAGUGAUCCUGAGCUCCUACUUACGUCAAUCAUAACCCAGAAACCGUGUUCACUUCCCGGACUCCGCCGAGAAGAGACCAUCACGGCUGCACACACGGUUGAUGCGUUUUAAUUCGGAUCUGGUGUCAAGUUAUCUACAACCGAACAUUAACAAAUUCCCAUCUGCCACAUAACCGCGGGCAUGGCUUUCGAAAGAUAAUACCCUGCAGGGGUGUCCCAACAUAGCCCAUGAUAAGCUUUCGCGAUCAACGAAGGAUAUACCUUCUCCCAGGAAGACCCGAUCAGUCUCGGAAUCCCGGUUUACAAGACAUUUCGACAAUGGUAAAACAAAACCAGCAAGACCGCCCGAUGCACCGACAUCCCGAUAGGAGCUGCACAUAUCUCGUUCUCAGGGCAACACCGGAUGAACACUACGUACAACUAAAACCAGACCUCAAGUUUCCCCGAGGUGGCGCUGCAAGUGGCUCUAGUUCGGACCAACACUUAGACAAGCAUUGGCCCGGGGGGGCUGAAUAAAGAUGACCCUCGAGAGAGCGACUCCCAAGGGAAAAGUAGGUGGUGGUGAGGCAAAUGGUAAAACCAAGGUUGGGCCUUGCUGGAGGAGUUUUAUUCAAAGCGAACUGUCAAGGGGGUCCCAUAAAUCACUCGACCGCGUAAGGAACGCAAAAUCCGGGAACAUAACACCGGUAUGACGGAAACUAGGGCGGCAAGAGUGGAACAAAACAUCAGGCAUAAGGCCGAGCCUUCCACCCUUUACCAAAUAUAUAGAUGCAUUAAUUAGAUAAGAGAUAUUGUGAUAUCCCAACAUAAUCCUGUCCAUCAUGGAGCAAUCUUCAACUUCACCUGCAACUGACAAUGCUAUAAGAGGGGCUGAGCAAAGCGGUAACAUAGCCAAACAACGGUUUGCUAGGAAGGGUGUCAAAGGUUAGAGGUUCAUGGCAAUUCGGGAGGCUUGAAGAGCAAAUGAUAGGUAACGCAUCAUAGCGAUAGAACGAAGCAACUAGCAUAGCAAUGAUAGUAGUGAGAUCCAGGGUAGCGGUCAUCUUACCUGAAAUCCCGCUAGGAAGAAGAACGAGUCCAUGAAGAAGACAAGCGGACGUAGUCGAACGAAUCCUCACAAUCGCAACAUUACCGGAACUAAGAAGCAACACCGGAAAGAAACAAACAACAUGGUAAAUUCACAAGCAUAAACAUGGCAUGAUGCACAAACAAGUGUGAUGCAUGUCCGGUUUAAUGAGGCAUGGCAAAGUGCAACAAACAAUACUACAAGUUAAGUGGAGCUAAAUAUGCAACGAGUUGCAUAUUGACAAAACACCACAUCAAUUAUUUAGUUCUCUCUCGGUUAUGCUACUCAUCAAUAUUAAAUGUUGUUAAACAUGGCAAGGGGUGAAGCAUAAAGAAACUCCCUAACAAGGCAAGUUUAAAUGAGGCCGGAAAUAAGAAACAACAAUUCCGGAAAAUCCCCAUGUGCAUAUUUUGAUUUGAUACUGUUCUGCCCUAAACCAUAUUUUAAGGUUGUUAACCAGGAAAAUAAAGUGCACCAUGUUAAACUAGGCAUUUUUCCACCCCAUUUACAUAUAAAGUUUAUUAAAAUUGGAGCUACGGUUAUUUAGUUAUGAAAUAAACCAUUUUAACAUGGCAUUUGAGCAAAUUUAAACAAACAACAGUUUAAACAUUUUAAACAUGGAUGAAAGUGGCAUAUUAUUAAUCUACACAAAAUUCUAAGCAUUUUACAUGUUUUAAUCAUUUUAAUCCAAUGCACGGUUCAUGAGUUAUUAUAUGCAUGAUGCUUAUGGGUUUUUCUGUAAAACAGUAAACUCCUGGAUAAAUAGCAAAAUCGUUCCGCGGAAAAAAACAUGGAUAGGGCCGAAUCUGGACGGCCCAAAAGUGCACAGGAGAGGGGGCGGGGGCUGCUCACCCUGGGCCAAGGCCCGGUUGGUGCAGCAGGCCGGCUGAGGAGGCGCUGGGGAAAGAGGCUGCUGGGCUGAUGCGGGUGAAGGGCGACGCGGUGGCCCAGGCACGCUGGCGGCGCGGUCAACGCGAGGCACGAGGGAGCGGGCGCCUCGUCCUCUGCUCGUCAGGAAGCAGAGCAGCGGCGGCGGGGUGCUCUCCGGCGAGGGCGCAGCUUGGGAAGGCGGAGAGGAAGGUCGGCGAGAGGCGCAUGCGUCAGUUUCAACGACGAUGCAGAUGAGGCACGAGAGGUCGACGCGGUUGUGCAUGGCUGCUGGAGCUGCUCGAGCAGAGAAGAAGUCAGCGAUGGCUGGGUCGUUGAGGACCUCGUCGGCGGCACAAGCAGGAGGGAAACGGUCAGGAUCCAAGGGGGAGGACGCACGGGCUCGUCUGUUUCUUGUCCCGGGCAAAGAGAGACAGAGAGAGGUGAGACAGGGAGAGGGAAAGGAAGAGAGGGCGCGAGGGAGGCCCGACGGCGUGACCUGGAGGAGCUGGUGAUCAUCGACGGUGAGACGAGGCGGGGGUCGUGAGGAAGACAGCGGAGCUCUGGAUCGGGAGGAGCUCGGCUCUCCUCGGGCGUUGCACAGCGCGGAAGGGAUGCAGGGAGCAGUGGGAGGAGGAGGCGCGCACGGGAGGGGAGCCAUGGGUCUUGGGUGCGUGCUCGAGCUUGAGCAGCGAGCUCCUCUUGCUCGGACGCGGGCGUCGCAAGGACGAAGGACGGCGAGGUGGCGGCUCGGGCUUCGGUGGCGUGGUGAGGAGCUUAGGCAGGGAGGUGGAUCGAGGAGGGGUUGGAUUUGGGUUGGCUGGUGUUGAACGAGGGGGGAUUUGGAUCGGGGAGGAUCCCGAUGUAGAUGGUGGCGAUGCUAGGGUAGGAUCCCUAGAAAUUAGGUGGUUUGUCUAGGUUAGUUAGGUGGGGUCUAUAUAUAGCAAAUGCAUUAGGUCCCUCCGAUCGUAAUCGGACGGCCGAAAAAAUAGGCUAGAGAGUCCAAAUAAGAAAACGGAGGUAUUUGAUAGACGUUUGGGGAUGAUCCGGAUCCAUCGGUAACGACAGACCGGUUCGGGUUCGGGUAAGAUUCGGACACGCACACGAGGGGUCUGAGAGAGGUCAACGAGGGCAAGGGCCUGCCAAAAUAACAACGGAGGCAAAGAGAGAAAGGGCAACUGCGAACGGCUACGAGUUUUUAUAAAAACAUGUGGAUGCAAUGCACAUGAUGCCAUGAGAUGAAAUGCAUGACAUGAACAAAAUGCAAAAACAAAAUACAAAAACCCAACCACGAAGGAAAAUAAAAUAUCACAUCUACGGAAAAGGCAAGAGUUGGAGUUAUGAAUGUGGAAAGUUGUAUCCGGUGCGUUACAACACUCCACCACUACGAGAGGAUCUCGUCCCGAGAUCUGGGAUGGCGCCGGAGAGAAAAACGGAAGAGGAAGAGAGAAGGUAAACCAAGUCGCUUCUUUGACGAACGAGUGAAACCACAAACCUUGAGAGGUUGAGCAAUUUAAAAGAAAGGGUACAACAGAGAUGAACGAGAUUGCAAACAACCCAGUAGAAAAGAGGAACAAGGAGUAUUACGAGAACAUGAAGGUUGAAAGACAUGGAAAUAAGAGCUUCAUGAACGAAAAGAAUAUGACAACCUCGGUAUAAUGAGAUAGCCAAGGAACAAGAAUGACCGAAUUUGGACAGCACUCCGGUAGAAAAGAGAAGAAAACUUGAUGAGAUGAAAAGACAUUGAAGAGAUGAUACAACACUCCGGUUAAAUGGAUAAGCAAGAAAAGAACACGAUCCUCACAAAACGAGGUGAUGGGUGAAGGGCGCAACAUCACAAUACCUCCGGAACGAAAGAAUAGAAGCUAGACCGUUGGGAUAAAGGGAUGGAGAAGAAAAUGACAACUUCUACCACAAUUGAAUUUGGAAGGCAUCCUUGCAAGAAGGUUAGAAUAGAGUUGUUGGAAGACCAACAACGAAAAGAAUAAGUUUGUAGUGGGCUUAUGGAAACAUCUCAACAUUAUGAGGUGACAACCGACCACUAAAGGAAACAAUUGCUAGCUUUAGAUCGACGAAGAGAUGAACACUUCUUCCACCAAGAUGAUAAAGAGAUAACUUGGAUCAUUGAUAAGCACCACAAAAGCAACAUUCCUUAGGGAAGGCUUUAGGUGAAAUAUGACACAAGAUAACUCCAACAACGAGGUUGAUGGUUGAAAAGAUCUCUUGAACAAAGAGAAAAUGAUGGAUUUAAAUAUCUCAUUCUUAACAACUUGCGAAUCAUGAAACACGAAGUGAAAUUGUCAAGAAUGACAUAAGACCACCCCAAAAGGUAGAAAGAAUUGCACUUCGGGAUGCACGAUGAAGAAUGCUUGAACUCCUCAAAACAAAACAUGUGUUGAGCACCAUGUUUAAUUUUGAGCAUAGCUUGGCUGAUCUUAACUUCAAGAGAAAUCUUGAAGAACAAUUGAAGAAUGAAAAGAAUCCUUGAUGAACCACCAUGUAGAGCCUCCAUGAAGAACUCCGGUAAAAAAAGGAUGAUAAAAAAGAAAGGGAAGUUGAAAACACAAGGUGAAGCCUUGCCAUGAUUUAGAUGGAGCUUCGCGAUGAUAUAACCGAGAGAACUUGGAACUCCGAAAAGAAAAGAUGAUCUUAGAACCGAGAAUUUAUUCCUCAAGAACAAACUCCAAAUGAAACAAUUUAUCACUUGGAUGAAACAAUAAUAAGAAUUACAUUAUGCCUAUCCUUCACCAAUUUAAAUUGAUGACAAGCAACGGAUUUGGCAUACUACUUAUUCCUGUAGAAAGAAUUAAAAGAGAUAUAGCGCAAGCUUGAGAAGGUAUUGAUGGAAUCACCGGUGGGAUUUGGAAACAACGAAUGAAUUGAUAUGAUAACGAAGGAAGUGAAAUCUUGAACGAACCACCAUAAGAAUUCAAAAUGAAAGUAGCAAAGGCACAAUUCACCGGGAAGAGUUGGAAAACGAAUGAAGAUACUUGAGGGGAUUUAGAUACCUGAGAACGAAGAGAUCAUGAACUGAUUAGAGGAUAUCUGAACGAUUCAUUGAUAAGAUUUGGAGAACAAUAGCUACACACUGAGAAUGAAGAAUUAUGGCAUGAUGGCCUUCGGAGGAAAGAAAUGGAAACAACUCAUGAAAUGCUCCGGAUGGUAAGAAAAGAAUUGUCACAAUCAAAACAAUUAUGAGGAUAGCAUGAAGCUAGAACCAUGAAUCUUCAAGAGAAUGGACCAAGAUUUAAGAGAAACUCUUCUUCGGUCUUCACAUGUUGAGAAUGAUCAUGAGAACCACCAUGACAAUUGUUGAGGCACUCCGGAAUGAAAAUUGGAAAGGUUGAACCUAUGAUGAAAGGAAUUUGAAAGAUCUUGGAGAAAGACAUAUGACUGAUGAUAACCAUUCUUACGUCAAACUUUGAAAAGAAUUUUAGAAGCUCCGAGAAAAUUAGAAGAGUCAGGUAAGAUCCUGGGAAAAGACCUGUGCGUUAGGGCCCACUGAAAAGAAACACACCGUUGAACAAUUUUAAAGAGAGGUUGCACCGGUUGAAUUAAAUGACUUGAAUGAGAUAAUAAUCUCCAAAUAGCUUGAACGGGUCUUAAAUGAAAAGAUGAGCCUUCUGAGAUAUCUUCAGCACUCCAGAACAAAUGGAUAGGAAGAAGUGAAUGAUUAAGAGGUGCAUCGGCAUGAGAAAGCAUUAGAAACGAGGAAAAGAAUAUGAUGAAUAUCGAAAGCUUGAAUUGGAUCCACCGAGAAGAAACAACAAUGAAGGAUGAUGAACUUGAAACUGUUGAGCAUCUUCAUGGGAAAUCACCGGAUAAGAACAUUGAAAGAAAAGAAUGAAGAGAUUUCUCACAAAUAAAAGGAUACAUGAUUAAGAAAUCUGAGUCCUUGAAAAAAAAGGGUGGGAGGGCGGGAAAACAAAGGCAACUUGGGGACGGAUGAAAUGAAUACCGUUGAGAAAACUUAGAAUUGAUCUCGCAAAUAUUGAAAUGAUCAGAUUCACUUGAAGAGAAGCACGCUGGUUGAAAAAGAAUUAACAUGACGACCUCGAUGAUCAAGAAGGAUUAGUACUCCCAUAGAAAUAUGAGAACACCGUUUAGAAAAGGUAUGGAAUCAACACUUGACAUUGAAGCAACUCAAAUACCACAACUCAAAACAAAAUAAAGGAUUGGCUUGCAGAAAUAAGCCGGAACAAAUACAUAUGAUAGAGAUUUACCCAAUCCCAUAUCAGGCAUCUGUCGGAAAGAUAUUCUAGGAGCUACUUGAAUUCCCACCUAUAAAACUCCCGAAACUUUCUGGUUAUGCAAUCUGGUGUUGGGGAUACAAGGGAAGCAAUAUAUAUCUCACCCAAAACUAACAAUCCAUACAUCCAGCUGUAUCCAUCCGUCAACACAUAACCAAGAAAACUCCAAAAAUCGUGUACCUCAACCUUCGAAAAGCAUCCGUUAUACGAGCUAUGGCAAUACUCCCGAACUCCCCAGUACUGGGUGGCGUCGAGGUUAUCUCACCAACAACUGCAUAAAAGAGAUUUUCAAUGUCGGCAAAACUCAGGUAUUCCAGAACUGCAACGAUAAAAUUAUGACGACAACACCUCGGAGCUCAACUCCCCGGGACACUGCCACAACCCCUAAAUGUCAGGAGGAACCAAGAACAAUGUUCUCGUCAUAAGAAUAUCGGAACGAUCCCAACAUACCCGCGUGAUCCUAAAAAAAUUCGUGAAAUUUGAGGAGAGGAAAGUCAAAACAUCUACGUCAGGAGUCCUCACCAGAGCGAUGAAGGGGGCUGAGGAGUAAAAAGAAUCCUACUCUCCGAUAUAUAUAAUCCUAAGACUCAAAAUAGUUUUCUUCUAGACUCAACAACGGCCAACAAUCAAGGGGGCUCCUAUGGUCGGUCGAGGCUCUGAUACCAACUUGUCACGCCCAAGAUGCGGCCCUAUCCUAAAGGAACUCGAAGGUCCCACCAAGGAUAGAAGCACAUCUUGAAGACACUUUUGCAAGGUGGAUAUCAUUACAUCAACAUUACAUAAUAGAUGGGGAUACAUACAAGAGGCAUACAAUGCCACACGAAUACAACAUCAUACAUAAGAGAUCAACAUCCGACUACGGAUGGAACAAAAACAGAAACUCAAACAACAUCCACCCUGCUAGCCCAGGCUGCCGACCUGGAACCUAUCCCCUGAUCGAAGAAGAAGCAUAAGAAGAACUCCAAUACAAGCAAACAUCGCUCUCGCGGCAUGAUCAUCGCAUAACCUAUACCUGUAACUGUUGUUGUAGUAAUCUGUGAGCCACGAGGACUCAGCAAUCCCAUUACCAUGGGUAUCAAGACUAGCAAGGCUUAAUGGGAAAGGAAGGGGUAAAGUGGUGAGGUUGCAGCAGCGGCUAAGCAUAUAUGGUGGCUAACAUAUGCAAAUGAGAGCGAGAAGAGAAACAAAGGAACGGUCGUCAACUAGUAAUGAUCUAGAAGUGAUCCUGAGCUCCUACUUACGUCAAUCAUAACCCAGAAACCGUGUUCAUUUCCCGGACUCCGCCGAGAAGAGACCAUCACGGCUACACACACGGUUGAUGCGUUUUAAUUCGGAUCUGGUGUCAAGGUAUCUACAACCAAACAUUAACAAAUUCCCAUCUGCCACAUAACCGCGGGCAUGGCUUUCGAAAGAUAAUACCCUGCAGGGGUGUCCCAACUUAGCCCAUGAUAAGCUUUCGCGAUCAACAAAGGAUUUACCUUCUCCCAGGAAGACCCGAUCAGUCUCGGAAUCCCGGUUUACAAGACAUUUCGACAAUGGUAAAACAAAACCAGCAAGACCGCCCGAUGCACCGACAUCCCGAUAGGAGCUGCACAUAUCUCGUUCUCAGGGCAACACCGGAUGAACACUACGUACAACUAAAACUAGACCUCAAGUUUCCCCGAGGUGGCGCUGCAAGUGGCUCUAGUUUGGACCAACACUUAGACAAGCAUUGGCCCGGGGGGGCUGAAUAAAGAUGACCCUCGAGAGAGCGACUCCCAAGGGAAAAGUAGGUGGUGGUGAGGCAAAUGGUAAAACCAAGGUUGGGCCUUGCUGGAGGAGUUUUAUUCAAAGCGAACUGUCAAGGGGGUCCCAUAAAUCACCCGACCGCGUAAGGAGCGCAAAAUCCGGGAACAUAACACCGGUAUGACGGAAACUAGGGCGGCAAGAGUGGAACAAAACAUCAGGCAUAAGGCCGAGCCUUCCACCCUUUACCAAAUAUAUAUAUAUGCAUUAAUUAGAUAAGAGAUAUUGUGAUAUCCCAACAUAAUCAUGUCCAUCAUGGAGCAAUCUCAACUUCACCUGCAACUAACAACGCUAUAAGAGGGGCUGAGCAAAGCGGUAACAUAGCCAAACAACGGUUUGCUAGGAAGGGUGUCAAAGGUUAGAGGUUCAUGGCAAUUCGGGAGGCUUGAAGAGCAAAUGAUAGGUAACACAGCAUAGCGAUAGAACGAAGCAACUAGCAUAGCAAUGAUAGUAGUGAGAUCCAGGGUAGCGGUCAUCUUGCCUGAAAUCCCGCUAGGAAGAAGAACGAGUCCAUGAAGAAGACAAGCGGACGUAGUUGAACGAAUCCUCACAAUCGCAACAUUACCGAAACUAAGAAGCAACACCGGAACGAAACAAACAACAUGGUAAAUUCACAAGCAUAAACAUGGCAUGAUGCACAAACAAGUGUGAUGCAUGUCCGGUUUAAUGAGGCAUGGCAAAGUGCAACAAACAAUACUACAAGUUAAGUGGAGCUCAAUAUGCAACGAGUUGCAUAUUGACAAAACACCACAUCAAUUAUUUAGUUCUCUCUCGGUUAUGCUACUCAUCAAUAUUAAAUGUUGUUAAACAUGGCAAGGGGUGAAGCAUAAAGAAACUACCUAACAAGGCAAGUUUAAAUGAGGCCGGAAAUAAGAAACAACAAUUCCGGAAAAUCCCCAUGUGCAUAUUUUGAUUUGGUACUGUUCUGCCCUAAACCAUAUUUUAAGGUUGUUACCAGGAAAAUAAAGUGCACCAUGUUAAACUAGGCAUUUUUCCACCCCAUUUACAUAUAAAGUUUAUUAAAAUUGGAGCUACGGUUAUUUAGUUAUGAAAUAAACCAUUUUAACAUGGUAUUUGAGCAAAUUUAAACAAACAACAGUUUAAACAUUUUAAACAAGGAUGAAAGUGGCAUAUUAUUAAUCUACACAAAAUUCUAAGCAUUUUACAUGUUUUAAUCAUUUUAAUCCAAUGCACGGUUCAUGAGUUAUUAUAUGCAUGAUGCUUAGGGGUUUUUCUGUAAAACAAUAAACUCCUGGAUAAAUAGCAAAAUCGUUCCGCGGAAAAAAACAUGGAUAGGGCCGAAUCUGGACGGCCCAAAAGUGCACAGGAGAGGGGGCGGGGGCUGCUCACCCUGGGCCAAGGCCCGGUUGGUGCAGCAGGCCGGCUAAGGAGGCGCUGGGGAAAGAGGCUGCUGGGCUGAUGCGGGUGAAGGGCGACGCGGUGGCCCAGGCACGCUGGCGGCGCGGUCAACGCGAGGCACGAGGGAGCGGGCGCCUCGUCCUCUGCUCGUCAGGAAGUAGAGCAGCGGCGGCGGGGUGCUCUCCGGCGAGGGCGCAGCUUGGGAAGGCGGAGAGGAAGGUCGGCGACAGGCGCAUGCGUCAGUUCCAACGACGACGCAGAUGAGGCACAGGAGGUCGACGCGGUCGUGCGUGGCUGCUGGAGCUGCUCAAGCAGAGAAGAAGUCGGCGAUGGCUGGGUCGUCGCGGACCUCGUCGGCGGCACGAGCAGGAGGGAAACGGCCAGGAUCCAAGGGGAGGACGCACGGGCUCGUUUGGUUCUUGUCCCUGGCAGAGAGAGACAGAGAGAGGUGAGACAGGAAGAGGGAAAGGAAGAGAGGGCACGAGGGAGGCCCGACGGCGUGACCUGGAGGAGCUGGUGAUCGUCGGCGGUGAGACGAGGUGGGGGUCGCGAGGAAGACAGCGGAGCUCUGGAUUGGGAGGAGCUCGGCUCUCCUCGGGCGUUGCACAGCGCGGAAGGGAUGCAGGGAGCAGCGGGAGGAGGAGGCGCGCACGGGAGGGGCGCCAUGGGUCUUGGGUGCGUGCUCGAGCUUGAGCAGCGAGCUCCUCUUGCUCGGACGCGGGCGUCGCAAGGACGAAGGACGGCGAGGUGGCGGCUCGGGCUUCGGUGGCGUGGUGAGGAGCUCAGGCAGGGAGGUGGAUCGAGGAGGGGAUGGAUUUGGGUUGGCUGGUGUUGAACGAGGGGGGAUUUGGAUCAGGGAGAUCCCGAUGUAGAUGGUGGCGGCGCUAGGGUAGGUUCCCUAGAAAUUAGGUGGUUUGUCUAGGUUAGUUAGGUGGGGUCUAUAUAUAGCUAAUGGAUUUUUGAUAGGGUCAUUAGGUCCCUCCGAUCGUAAUCGGACGGUCGAAAAAAUAGGCUAGAGAGUCCAAAUAAGAAAACGGAGAUAUUUUAUAGACGUUUGGGGAUGAUCCGGAUCCAUUGGUAACGAUAGACCGGUUCGGGUUCGGGUAAGAUUCGGACACGCACACGAGGGGUCUGAGAGAGGUCAACGAGGGCAAGGGCCUGCCAAAAUAACAACGGAGGCAAAGAGAGAAAGGGAAACUGCGAACGGCUACGAGUUUUUAUGAAAACAUGUGGAUGCAAUGCACAUGAUGCCAUGAGAUGAAAUGCAUGACAUGAACAAAAUGCAAAAACAAAAGACAAAAACCCAACCAUGAAGGAAAAUAAAAUAUCACAUCUCCGGAAAAGGCAAGAGUUGGAGUUAUGAAUGUGGAAAGUUGUAUCCGGUGCGUUACAUCCUCCUCUGGCGGUAGGGUGACAUUUGCCUUCAGCUCAGUCCAAAGAUCUUCUUUUUGCAUAUCAUUGACAUAAGACACCUCAUGGUCUUCAUCCUUAGCAGGCUUAUACCAUUGCUGGAUGCUGAUCGGGAUCUUGUCCCUAACAAGAACCCCGCACUGAGCAGAAAAUGCCUUCCUUGUCCGGAUGGGUUCAAUCGGUUCGCCAUCGGGCGCGAUUUCUAUGAUCUCAAACUUUUCAUCCGAGCUCAACUUUUUCUUCGGGCCUCGUCUCCUUACUGAAGUUGUGCUUGAUCCGGAGGGCUAGAAAUUAUAAGGAAGAAAGACGACAGUAAUUAAUAUGUGUACAUAUACCAAAACAAUGGAUGCAUCAAUUACUAGUUAGCAUGGGCUUAACUAAUAUAUAUAUACCUGGCCGGACUCGGUUCGGUGACCGGAGCAGUCAGCCCGGUCUCCUUCUUGUACCUCCAUNNNNNNNNNNNNNNNNNNNNNNNNNNNNNNNNNNNNNNNNNNNNNNNNNNNNNNNNNNNNNNNNNNNNNNNNNNNNNNNNNNNNNNNNNNNNNNNNNNNNNNNNNNNNNNNNNNNNNNNNNNNNNNNNNNNNNNNNNNNNNNNNNNNNNNNNNNNNNNNNNNNNNNNNNNNNNNNNNNNNNNNNNNNNNNNNNNNNNNNNNNNNNNNNNNNNNNNNNNNNNNNNNNNNNNNNNNNNNNNNNNNNNNNNNNNNNNNNNNNNNNNNNNNNNNNNNNNNNNNNNNNNNNNNNNNNNNNNNNNNNNNNNNNNNNNNNNNNNNNNNNNNNNNNNNNNNNNNNNNNNNNNNNNNNNNNNNNNNNNNNNNNNNNNNNNNNNNNNNNNNNNNNNNNNNNNNNNNNNNNNNNNNNNNNNNNNNNNNNNNNNNNNNNNNNNNNNNNNNNNNNNNNNNNNNNNNNNNNNNNNNNNNNNNNNNNNNNNNNNNNNNNNNNNNNNNNNNNNNNNNNNNNNNNNNNNNNNNNNNNNNNNNNNNNNNNNNNNNNNNNNNNNNNNNNNNNNNNNNNNNNNNNNNNNNNNNNNNNNNNNNNNNNNNNNNNNNNNNNNNNNNNNNNNNNNNNNNNNNNNNNNNNNNNNNNNNNNNNNNNNNNNNNNNNNNNNNNNNNNNNNNNNNNNNNNNNNNNNNNNNNNNNNNNNNNNNNNNNNNNNNNNNNNNNNNNNNNNNNNNNNNNNNNNNNNNNNNNNNNNNNNNNNNNNNNNNNNNNNNNNNNNNNNNNNNNNNNNNNNNNNNNNNNNNNNNNNNNNNNNNNNNNNNNNNNNNNNNNNNNNNNNNNNNNNNNNNNNNNNNNNNNNNNNNNNNNNNNNNNNNNNNNNNNNNNNNNNNNNNNNNNNNNNNNNNNNNNNNNNNNNNNNNNNNNNNNNNNNNNNNNNNNNNNNNNNNNNNNNNNNNNNNNNNNNNNNNNNNNNNNNNNNNNNNNNNNNNNNNNNNNNNNNNNNNNNNNNNNNNNNNNNNNNNNNNNNNNNNNNNNNNNNNNNNNNNNNNNNNNNNNNNNNNNNNNNNNNNNNNNNNNNNNNNNNNNNNNNNNNNNNNNNNNNNNNNNNNNNNNNNNNNNNNNNNNNNNNNNNNNNNNNNNNNNNNNNNNNNNNNNNNNNNNNNNNNNNNNNNNNNNNNNNNNNNNNNNNNNNNNNNNNNNNNNNNNNNNNNNNNNNNNNNNNNNNNNNNNNNNNNNNNNNNNNNNNNNNNNNNNNNNNNNNNNNNNNNNNNNNNNNNNNNNNNNNNNNNNNNNNNNNNNNNNNNNNNNNNNNNNNNNNNNNNNNNNNNNNNNNNNNNNNNNNNNNNNNNNNNNNNNNNNNNNNNNNNNNNNNNNNNNNNNNNNNNNNNNNNNNNNNNNNNNNNNNNNNNNNNNNNNNNNNNNNNNNNNNNNNNNNNNNNNNNNNNNNNNNNNNNNNNNNNNNNNNNNNNNNNNNNNNNNNNNNNNNNNNNNNNNNNNNNNNNNNNNNNNNNNNNNNNNNNNNNNNNNNNNNNNNNNNNNNNNNNNNNNNNNNNNNNNNNNNNNNNNNNNNNNNNNNNNNNNNNNNNNNNNNNNNNNNNNNNNNNNNNNNNNNNNNNNNNNNNNNNNNNNNNNNNNNNNNNNNNNNNNNNNNNNNNNNNNNNNNNNNNNNNNNNNNNNNNNNNNNNNNNNNNNNNNNNNNNNNNNNNNNNNNNNNNNNNNNNNNNNNNNNNNNNNNNNNNNNNNNNNNNNNNNNNNNNNNNNNNNNNNNNNNNNNNNNNNNNNNNNNNNNNNNNNNNNNNNNNNNNNNNNNNNNNNNNNNNNNNNNNNNNNNNNNNNNNNNNNNNNNNNNNNNNNNNNNNNNNNNNNNNNNNNNNNNNNNNNNNNNNNNNNNNNNNNNNNNNNNNNNNNNNNNNNNNNNNNNNNNNNNNNNNNNNNNNNNNNNNNNNNNNNNNNNNNNNNNNNNNNNNNNNNNNNNNNNNNNNNNNNNNNNNNNNNNNNNNNNNNNNNNNNNNNNNNNNNNNNNNNNNNNNNNNNNNNNNNNNNNNNNNNNNNNNNNNNNNNNNNNNNNNNNNNNNNNNNNNNNNNNNNNNNNNNNNNNNNNNNNNNNNNNNNNNNNNNNNNNNNNNNNNNNNNNNNNNNNNNNNNNNNNNNNNNNNNNNNNNNNNNNNNNNNNNNNNNNNNNNNNNNNNNNNNNNNNNNNNNNNNNNNNNNNNNNNNNNNNNNNNNNNNNNNNNNNNNNNNNNNNNNNNNNNNNNNNNNNNNNNNNNNNNNNNNNNNNNNNNNNNNNNNNNNNNNNNNNNNNNNNNNNNNNNNNNNNNNNNNNNNNNNNNNNNNNNNNNNNNNNNNNNNNNNNNNNNNNNNNNNNNNNNNUCUGUUAGUGCCAUUACUUUUUAAAUUUGAAAACACUUUUUUUGUUUUCUUUCUUGCUUUAUUUAUUUUAUUUUGUUUCUACUUACAAAAAAAAUACUUAUUGUUGUUUUUUUUGUUUUGUUUUCUGCAUUAUUUAUUUUCUUUUGUUUUUUGCUUUAUCUUUAAUUCUUUUUGCUUUUAGUUUUAGGAAAAUUAUAAACUUUCCACUUUUUUUGUUUUUUUGUUUUCUUUCUUGCUUUAUUUAUUUUAUUUUGUUUCUACUUACAACAAAAUACUUAUUGUUGCUAUUUUUAAUUAUUACGAGGGCCGAAGCAUAAGACAUUAAAGCAUUUCAAAUGAACUCUGAAAAAGUUGAAAGUUGGCAUGGUAUCAUAAAUUGACCCACACAUAGCAUGUGCAUGUACAAAACGGACAAUGGUAUCAUACUCGUGAGUUACAAAGUUGGCAUGGUAUCAUCAUAAUAGUUGCGGGAGAAAGUCUUCACUUUUUCUUCGCUUGUGUCAUUUGCUUAUUGCGCCGUAACCAUGGAUAAUCUUCAUCGUUUAUCAGGAUGCUGGGGUCAGCCUUGACUUUAAAGGAAGGAAUUUCAUGAAACUUUUCAUAAUCUUCAGACAUGUCUGUCUUGUCCUCCACUCCCACGAUGUCUCUUUUUCCUGAAAGAACUAUGUGGCGCUUUGGCUCAUCGUAUGAUGUAUUCGCUUCCUUAUCUUUUCUCUUUCUCGGUCUGGUAGACAUGUCCUUCACAUAGAUAACCUGUGCCACAUCAUUGGCUAGGACGAACGGUUCGUUAGUGUACCCAAGAUUUUUCAGAUCCACUGUUGUCAUUCCGUACUGUGGGUCUACCUGUACCCCGCCUCCUGACAGAUUGACCCAUUUGCACUUAAACAAAGGGACCUUAAAAUCAUGUCCGUAGUCAAGUUCCCAUAUGUCCACUAUGUAACCAUAAUAUGUGUCCUUUCCCCUCUCGGUUGUUGCAUCAAAGCGGACACCGCUGUUUUGGUUGGUGCUCUUUUGAUCUUGGUCAAUCGUGUAAAAUGUAUUCCCAUUUAUCUCGUAUCCUUUCCAAAUCAAUACAGUCAAAGAUGGUCCCCUGGAUAACAAGUACAGCUCAUCACAAAUGGUGUUGUCACCUCUGAUACGUGCUUCCAACCAACUGCUGAAAGUCCUGAUGUGUUCACAUGUAAUCCAGUCGUCGCACUGCUCCAGGUGUUUGGAGCGCAGACUGUUCUUGUGUUCAUCGACAUACGGGGUCACCAAGGUAGAGUUCUGUAGAACUGUGUAGUGUGCUUGAGACCAAGAAUAUCCGUCCCUGCAUAUUAUUGAGUCCCUUCCAAGCGUGCCUUUUCCAGUCAGUCUCCCCUCAUACCGCGAUUUAGGGAGACCUAUCUUCUUAAGGCCAGGAAUGAAGUCAACACAAAACCCGAUGACAUCCUCUGUUUGAUGGCCCAUGGAGAUGCUUCCUUCUGUCCUAGCGCGGUUACGGACAUAUUUCUUUAGGACUCCCAUGAACCUCUCAAAGGGGUACAUAUUGUGUAGAAAUACGGGGCCCAGAAUGACAAUCUCGUCAACUAGAUGAACUAGGACGUGCGUCAUGAUAUUGAAGAAGGAUGGUGGGAACACCAGCUCGAAAUUGACAAUCUGGAUCGAUCACCUUCUGAGAGAUUGCAUUGAGGAAUGCACAUAGCUUCACAAUGGCUAAUCGGAUGUUUUUCGGUAGAAGCCCCCUCAAUGCAACCGGAAGCAGUUGUGUCAUAAUCACGUGGCAGUCAUGAGACUUUAGGUUCUGAAACUUUUUCUCUGCCAUAUUUAUUAUUCCUUUUAUAUUCGACGAGAAGCCAGUCGGGACCUUCAUACUAAGCAGGCAUUCAAAGAAGAUUUCCUUCUCUUCUUUGGUAAGAGCAUAGCUGGCAGGACCUUCAUACUGCUUUGGAGGCAUGCCGUCUUUUUCGUGCAAACGUUGCAGGUCCUCCCGUGCCUCAGCUGUAUCUUUUGUCUUCCCAUACACGCCCAAGAAGCCUAGCAGGUUCACGCAAAGGUUCUUCGUCACGUGCAUCACGUCAAUCGAAGAGCGGACCUCUAGGUCUUUCCAGUAGGGUAGGUCCCAAAAUAUAGAUUUCUUCUUCCACAUGGGUGCGUGUCCCCCAGCGUCACUCGGAACAGCUAGUUCGCUGGGACCCUUUCCAAAGAUUACGUGUAAAUCAUUGACCAUAGCAAGUACGUGAUCACCGGUACGCAUGGCGGGCUUCUUCCGGUGAUCUGCCUCGCCUUUGAAAUGCUUGCCUUUCUUUCGACAUUGAUGGUUGGUCGGAAGAAAUCGACGAUGGCCCAGGUACACAUUCUUCCUGCAGCUUGCCAGGUAUAUACUAUCGGUGUCAAGUAAACAGUGCGCGCAUGCGUGGUAUCCCUUGUUUGUCUGUCCUGAAAGGUUACUGAGAGCGGGCCAAUCGUUGAUGGUCACGAAUAGCAACGCCUUUAGGUUAAAUUCCUCCUGUUUGUGCUCAUCCCACGUACGUACACCGUUUCCAUUCCACAGCUGUAAAAGUUCUUCAACUAAUGGCCUUAGGUACACAUCAAUGUCAUUGCCGGGUUGCUUAGGGCCUUGGAUGAGAACUGGCAUCAUAAUGAACUUCCACUUCAUGCACAUCCAAGGAGGAAGGUUAUACAUACAUAGAGUCACGGGCCAGGUGCUGUGAUUGCUGCUCUGCUCCCCGAAAGGAUUAAUGCCAUCCGCGCUUGAAGCAAACCAUACGUUCCUUGGCUCACUUGCAAACUCAUCCCAGUACUUUCUCUCGAUUUUUUUCCACUGCGACCCGUCAGCGGGUGCUCUCAACUUCCCGUCUUUCUUACGGUCCUCAAUGUGCCAUUGCAUCAACUUGGCAUGCUCUCCGUUUCUGAACAGACGUUUCAACCGUGGUAUUAUAGGAGCAUACCACAUCACCUUCGCAGGAACCCUCUUCCUGGGGGGCUCGCCAUCAACAUCACCAGGGUCAUCUCGUCUGAUCUUAUACCGUAAUGCACCGCAUACCGGGCAUGCGUUCAGAUCCUUGUACGCACCGCGGUAGAGGAUACAGUCAUUAGGGCCUGCAUGUAUCUUCUGCACCUCCAAUCCUAAAGGGCAUACGACCUUCUUUGAUGCGUAUGUACUGUCGGGCAAUUCGUUAUCCUUUGGAAGCUUCUUCUUCAAUAUUUUAAGUAGCUUCUCAAAUCCUUUGUCAGGCACAGCAUUCUUUGCCUUCCACUGCAGCAAUUCCAGUACGGUACCGAGCUUUGUGUUGCCAUCUUCGCAAUUGGGGUACAACCCUUUUUUGUGGUCCUCUAGCAUGCGAUCGAACUUCAGCUUCUCCUUUUGACUUUCGCAUUGCGUCCUUGCAUCGACAAUGACCCGGCAGAGAUCAUCAUCAUCGGGCACAUCGUAUGGUUCCUCUUGAUCUUCACCAGCUUCGCCCGUUGCAGCAUCAUCGUGCACAUCGUCUGGUUCCUCUUGAUCUUCAGGAGCAUCACUGUAUUCAGGGGGCACAUAGUUGUCAUCGUACUCUUCUUCUUCGCCGUCUUCCAUCAUAACCCCUAUUUCUCCGUGCCUCGUCCAAACAUUAUAGUGUGGCAUGAAACCCUUGUAAAGCAGGUGGGUGUGGAGGAUUUUCCGGUCAGAGUAAGACUUCGUAUUCCCACAUAUAGGGCAUGGACAACACAUAAAACCAUUCUGCUUGUUUGCCUCAGCCACUUCGAGAAAAUCAUGCACGCCCUUAAUGUACUCGGAGGUGUGUCUUGAACCGUACAUCCAUUGCCGGUUCAUCUGCGUGCAUUAUAUAAUGAAGUGACAAAAUUAAUAGAAGUUCAUCAUCACAUUAAAACCAAAGUACAUACAUAGUUCUCAUCUAACAACAUAAAGCUCUGUAGAGCAUCUAAAUUAAUUAAACCAUACACCUAAACUAUGUAAAACAUUUCAAUGCGAAAACAAAUGCGAUCAUAAUCGCAACCAAUGUAACAACUGAUCCAACGGCAUAAUGAUACCAAGCCUCGGAAUGAAUGGCAUAUUUUCUAAUCUUUCUAAUCUUCAAGCGCAUUGCAUCCAUCUUGAUCUUGUGAUCGACGACAUCCGCAACAUGCAACUCCAAUAUCAUCUUCUCCUCCUCAUUUUUUCUAAUUUUUUCCUUCAAGAAAUUGUUUUCUUCUUCAAUUAAAUUUAACCUCUCGACAAUAGGGUCGGUUGGAAUUUCCGAUUCAACAACCUCCUAGAUAAAUAAAAUCUAUGUCACGUUGGUCGGCAUAAUUGUCAUAAACAAUAAAUGAACCAAUAGUUAUGAAAAGAUAAUAUAUACCACAUCCGAAUCAUAGACAGGACGAGGGCCGACGGGGGCGGAUACCAAAACCAUCGCACUAUAUAAGAUGCAAUAAUAAAAGUAAGAAAAUAAUACAAGUAUCUAUCUAAACAUACAAGUAAGAAUAUUUUUCCUUUCAGAAAGAAGAUAAGAACAAGAGGCUCACCACGAUGGUGCCGGCGAUGAGAUCAACGCGGGUGAUCGACGACGGUGAAGACGGGGACGGGGCGUGACGGACCGCUAAAUCUAGACAAAUAUUGAGGAAAAUGGAGCUUGGCGGUCGAGCUUGGAGGGGAGAAAGCUUAAGUAGUGUGGCUCGGGCAUUCCAUCGAACACCUCGUGUGCAUAGGAGGUGAGCUAGAGCACCACAAAGCUCUCCCCUCGCCGGCCACGAAAAACAGAGCAUUGGGAGUGCUCUGCUCGCGAGCAGGGGUAUAUAUAGGCACCUCAUUGGUCCCGGUUGGUGGCAUGAACCGGGACUAAAGGGCAGCCUUUGGUCCCGGUUCAUGCCACCAACCGGGACCAAUGGUGGUGGGCCAGGAGCGAGGCCCAUUGGUCCCGGUUCGUUCCACCAACCGGGACCAAAAGGUCCAGACGAACCAGGACCAAUGGCACACGUGGCCCGGCCGGCCCCCGGGGCUCAAGAACCGGGUCCAAUGCCCCCAUUGGUCCCGGUUCUGGAUUGAAUGGGGACUAAUGGGCUGGACUGGCCUGGACCAUUGCCCCCUUUUCUACUAGUGAACUCAACUUCACCGUAUAUGAACUCGCCGGAACUCCUUGAUCACGAACAGAAACGCAAGGCACAAUUUACUUUUUCCAUCCACUCUUACUCUUAAUUCUCAUCCGCCAGUGACGCGUCUCAACUACAGCAGAUGACUCACACCCCCGAAUUCUUGGACGCACCAUACAAGAACUCAUGCACACCUCGACGACAGCCCGCAUGUUUGCCGUCACCACCUUGCUCUCAUUUGCGAUGAUAUCGAUGGUUUCCCUGGUGUCGCAACUUCGGCACCUCCAUAACCAUCACCGAUCACCAAUGCCUUGUCGACGACAGCAUGUCGCCCUCCUCCAGGUCGUUCCGCCGAACGACAAUCACGAGCCGCCUCGCUUACGACAGUGUCCUCGCCACCUUCUCACCGUCGCUACGCCGAGCAAAGAUCACUCGAUCCUCCUCGUACGUCGCUCCCCGAACGACUAUUGCCUGCUCCACCUCGUCGCUGCACCACCCAGCGACUAUAUCGCCCGCUCUUCCUCGUCGCUGUACCACCGAACGACUAUAUGGCCGCCCCAAGGCGCUAGUAGGUCGCCACCCCGGGGCAAGCGCGGCUGUAAUAGAACCUUGCUCUAGAGACCAAUUGUUGGAAUUUCGCCCUCAGGAUCGAUUACAUCAGAUACGAGGAACACACGCACACAAAAAAAUGAUAGCCAAGGGCCCUUGUCGUGCCCUCUUUUCUCUUUAUUUUUUUGUUUCUCAACUCACGGUGUUACAAAUCGGAUGGACCGGUGUGCAUAUAUAUAAAUGACCUCACGAGCUAUAGCUAGCUAACCUAAACCGACUCAAACAACUAAUCCUGGCCGGACACACGUUGAAACAUAACUACGACAUGGGCAGCAUGCAUGCUAAUUCCUAAUACUACACGGCUUGCAAACCGGCCACCCCGCGUACAUCUCAAUUUACCUAGUUUUUUUUAGGGUUAAUGCUGCCGCUUUAUUUAGGUCUCCGCAAAGCUCGGAAUGUCAUCCGAGAUUACAGCCAAAAUACAGUCAGGGGAACCCCCAUCCACACCUUACAUAAAUUAUCACCUACACCUACUCUAGCCAUCUUAUGCGCGGCGACAUUCGCUGAACGACGAACCCAUGACACCUUAGCACCUUGCAUGUCCUGCAACACCUGCUUGAUUUCCUGAAUCCAGGGUCCAACCGUCGAGUAGUUUAUACCCUCUUGCUGGGUCAUCUGAACCACCUUCAAGCUGUCCAACUCAAGAUGAACAUUCUGCACUCCCAACUCUCCCGCCACCUGCAAAGCUCUCCUACAUGCCAAUACUUCCGCAGCUUCAGGGUCCUGUAUAUGUGGAAAUACAUGACACAUGGCAGCUAUGAAAGCUCNNNNNNNNNNNNNNNNNNNNNNNNNNNNNNNNNNNNNNNNNNNNNNNNNNNNNNNNNNNNNNNNNNNNNNNNNNNNNNNNNNNNNNNNNNNNNNNNNNNNNNNNNNNNNNNNNNNNNNNNNNNNNNNNNNNNNNNNNNNNNNNNNNNNNNNNNNNNNNNNNNNNNNNNNNNNNNNNNNNNNNNNNNNNNNNNNNNNNNNNNNNNNNNNNNNNNNNNNNNNNNNNNNNNNNNNNNNNNNNNNNNNNCCCACCCUCGAAAUAGCACCAUCAGUGUUAAUCUUCACCCAGCCAUCAUCCGGUACAGCCUAUCGCUGGGUGAUCUUCGGGACUGGUACAGUUACCUUUGUUGGAUGUGAGUUGGUCCACUCCAGCAAAUGAGUAUACACUGAUUCCAUUAUCGCAUGUGGCACUUCCAACCGUUUCCCUUCCCUCGUAUUAUUUCUUGCUAGCCAAAGUCCGUAUGUGGCUUGGAUCAUAACUUCUUUCUCUUCCUCGGACGCUCCAGAGAACCAGCCAAGUAGCCAAGGCGCUAAUGCACCCUGGGUAUCAAUCUGACACGGCGGGGCUGCCACCGCGAUACCUUUUUCCAAGCGCAAAAGUUGCCAGAACUGUGCUGAAUGCUGACAUGCCCAAAAACGAUGGAUGAUUGUUUCUUCCCUCCCGCAUGCAACAAAAAAAACCCCCGGUUUGAUCCGUCUCCGAUGAAGUUCUGAUCCUACUGCUAGUCCAUUUCUGAUCAUGCGCCACAUGUGGAUUUUUGCCUUGGGUGGAGCACUCGUACCCCACAUCUCCAUAUACCCUUUGUGCUGCUGUACCGAGUCUGAAGACUCCUGCUGGCCCGUCCUCACCUUCCUCAUUGCCAUCCAAAGAUGAUAUGCUGACUUGACAUUAAAGACACCAUUCUUGGUAUAAUUCCAAGCCUGGUAGUCUUCGGUUUCGGGCCCUCCCACUGCUAUUUGCAUUAUAUCAUGAAUAUCUGAUUCCGAAAACAUAGCUGAUAGCUUUUCUGCAUCCCAAGCCGCACCACUCAAAUCGAGAAGAUCAGACACCUUCGUCACACCAUGAACAUAAACCUGACCCAGUGGUCUCAAACAGCCAUCCCUUGGAAUCCAAUUGUCAUGGUGGAUAUUAAUCCCCGCGCCGUCACCCACCCUCCACACGAGUCCCUCCCGAAGAAGGUCCCUCCCAUGCAAUAUGCUUCUGAACGUGUAAGAUGAGUUGGAUGGGCAGGUAGCACUCAAUAUCGAAUCAUCCUUGAAGUAUCUGGCCUUCAACACCCUAGCACACAGAGAAGACGACGUAGUAAGAAUCCUCCAUGCUUGCUUUACCAAAAGUGCUAGGUUGAAGCCCUCAGGAUUUCUGAACCCAAGGCCCCCUUCCCUCUUCGAAUUGCACAUCUUCUCCCAUGAGAUCCAAUGCACCUUUCUUUCACCGUUCAUUGCCCCCACCAGAAUUUUGAAGAGAUGGAUGUCAGGUUCCGGUAUAUCUUCUUUGUGAGGUGAAAGCAACUCAUCGUGAACGUUGGUGUUGAUUGUAAUCCCGAUUUAACAAGAACUUCUCUGGCAGCCUUGGGCAGACCCUGCCCUUUCCACCCUGUCACCUUACCCUUAGAGCUCUCAGUGACAUAAGGAAACGUACCCUCCUUUGAUCUUCCAACCAGUGUUGGCAGACCAAGGUAUCUUUCACUUAGCGCCUCACUAGCAAUGCCCACCGCCUCCUUAAGCUCAUUUUUGGUCUCAUUGUUGCAUCCCUUCCCGAAGAAAAUGGAGGACUUUUGCAUGUUCACCCGCUGGCCCGAGGCCUCCUCAUAUGUCAGUAAAAUUUCCUUCAGCGCAGUCAUGCUCUCUGAAGAGUCCUCAAGAAAAACAAUGCUGUCAUCGGCGAACAGCAAAUGAGUGACGUGGGGGCCAGUGCCCCCGAACGAAACUCCCUUGAUCCUCUGUUCCUCCUGUGCUCUUUUCAACAAGGCCGAGAACCCCUCAACACAAAAAAGGAAUAAAUAUGGUGAGAGCGGGUCACCUUGUCUUAGUCCACGCGAUGGUGUGAACCUCCUAGAGCCACCCCCAUUAAGCCUAACAGAAAACCGAGCUGAUGUAACACAUCUCAUAAUCAUACCAAUCCACCCAUGAUCAAAGCCAAACUUAGCCAUUGUCCUUUCCAGAAAACUCCACUCUACUCUGUCAUAGGCUUUCAUCAUAUCGAGCUUUACCGCACAUAAGCACUUCCUUCUCUUUCUAGUCCGGAUGGCAUGGACACAUUCGUAUGCUACUAACACAUUGUCCGUAAUAAGACGGCCUGGAACAAACGCACUUUGCUCUUCUGAUAUUAACACUGGUAGGAUGACUUUCAAUCUGUUCGUGAGCACCUUUGUUGCUAUCUUGUACAAAACGUAACACAAACUAAUAGGGCGAAACUGAGAAAGUAGCUCCGGUGCACUCACCUUAGGUAUCAUCACAAUAACAGUAUCAUUAAAUGAUUCCGGGGUUGUCUCACCGUUGAGAAACGUCCGAACAGCCGUACACACAUCUUGCCCCACCAACGACCAGUGUCGCUGAUAGAAAAGCGCUGGCAGUCCGUCCGGACCCGGCGACUUGGUCGGCCCCAUUUGGAACAAUGCUACCCUGAUUUCCUCAUCCGUGAUCGGCGUCGUUAGCUUUUCAUUCAUGUCAGCCGUCACCUGAGACUCAAUAUGCUACAGCAACGCCUCCGCACCAACCGAGCCUUCGGACGUAAACAGGUGCUCAUAGAAUGUCGCUGCCAUCUCUCUCAUUUCAUCAUCCACCAUACACUUGGUGCCAUCCUCCCUUAACAGCGCCUUUACCGUGUUCUUACGCUUCCUAUGUGAAGCACGGUUUUGGAAGUACUUGGUGUUUUGGUCUCCUACAACUAACCAAUCCACUCUCGAUCGCUGUCGGUAUAAAAUCUCUUCCCUCUCAAACAUCUCCUUCAACUGAUCCUCAAUGUCCCGUACCUCCUGCUGAUAUCCCGUCGACAAUGCCCUAGUCUUGGCAUCCACCAACUGUGUCUUGAGCGCAGCAAUCUAUCUUCUUAUCGAUCCGAACACCUCCCUGCUCCACCUUUGCAUGCUACCCGCUACCUGACCCAGCUUGCUCCACACAUCCUCAAGAUUCCUCCCGCCAGCGCCCGCCGCUUCCCACGCCUCUCGCACCAUUUGCUUGUAGUUCUCAUGCCUUGUCCAUGCUUCCUCAAACCGAAAGGGUCGGUCCCUACCUCGGGGAGCAGCUGGAGCGGUCUCCAUUGCCCUCACCAGUAGAGCCUGAUGGUCCGACUCCUCCGUCAUGAUGUGUUGCACGGACGUUUCUGGGUACAUCUGCAGGAAUCCAUCAUUGCAUGUUGCCCUAUCUAGCCUGACCUGAAUGUUUUCACUCCCAUCUCUUUUGUUAUCCCAUGUGUACGGGUAUCCAUUGAACCCCAGGUCCGCCAAGCCGCAGUCAGCUAGGCAGUCCCUAAAAUCCUCCAUACGUGAAAAAGGCCUUUGGUUACCCCCAAUCUGAUCAGCAUGGAAUAACACUUCAUUAUAAUCCCCUACACAAAUCCAAGGGAGAUCAUCUUGCCUUCUCAGAUACCUUAAAGCAUCCCACGAUUUCUUCCGUCUUUCCGUGUUCGGUUCCCCGUAGAAUCCAGUGAUCCUCGAGGUCUUGCCAUCACAAACAAACUCAGCAUCAAUGAAAUAUUGACUCCACGGUCUCACUGUAGCUUGUACGUGAUCUCUCCACCACAUGGCCAGUCCACCACUCCUUCCAUUGCAAUCCACCGCCACCCAUGUCUAAACCCCAAACUCCAUUUUAACCUAUCCAUCCCUCUCGCCUUUUUCUUCGUUUCACAUAAAAACACCACCGCUGGGUUGUAGGACCUAAUCAGGUCUCGUAAUUCACCAACCGUCGAGUCCAACCCCAAUCCUCGACAGUUCCAGGCUAGAAUGUUCAUUGCUCCUGGCGGCCCUGGUUAGCAGGGUCCGCCAUUGCUCCAUUUUGUUCCUCAAUGCGGUCAAACACAGACGACGUCUUCCGUCGUGUAUCACAAAUGAAACCGUCAUCGCCCCCACCUCUGAUGUUGUCAUCCUUCACCCUCCAAAUUUGUUUCGGGCCUCUUUUCCUGUUUUCCAACUCCCUUCUAGAAGAGGAAGUGUCACACUGCUGCACUUCAACAACCUGUCUUGGUUUCCUGACAUAAUAUCCCCUCCUUCUUCCACGUUCAUCAUGCAUGUUCGACCUUUCAUAAAGCCCCGGCUCACUGUAAUAAUCAUCCCUCCGAGAUUUGUAUUUUUGAUGUUCGGCUGCAUGCACUGAUCCCUUAUUGUACCCAUUUGCUUUGCCCUUGUAGUCAGCCCUAUUGGUACUCUCGUCUCCAUACCUUCUCUGCUGGUUUUUUAUAAUCAACUUCUCACGGAGAUCUUCCUCCCUCCGCUUCUCAAGGCUGUCCCGCAGGUCCUUUUCCUUUCGCACACCAUGCCCCGUCCCUGAUUUAGCCGGGCUAGUGAUCUCCACCCCACCCUACUCCGAACGACCGCCAGUGCGGCUUCCAGAGCCAGCAGCAAAAUCAGCUGCUAAGUUCCGUUUAGUGGGUAGAUUCCGGCCUCUGUUUUGAUCCUGUUGUCCUUUUCCAUCCUCCCCACUCCUUGAAUUUGCAAAACUGUUGCUACUGCUAGCCCCCUUAGCUCCAAACGAUCCUUCCUUGAAAGAACCAUUCCUUCCUGGGGAAGAACGUAGCCAGCUCCCCCAUUGAUCAGAGGAUUCCAGAGGGGGCACAAAUACCCCAUGUUCAUGAACCAGUCUGCCACAAUCGAAGCAAAAAUGUGGCACUUUUUCAUAAAAAAAAGUCAUACCACGUCCCAACCUUAUCCUCCUUCGAUUUCUUCAAGUUAAACCCACGGAUCAGAGGCUCAAAAACUGAGAUAGUAGUUCUAAUUCGUAGCUGCUGACCCCUCGCCAUGCCCUCUCCAUCUGUAUCCACCUUCACCACUUUACCAAUCCAAUUGCCUAGGGCAGUCCCAAAGGCUUCACACCUCUUGUCAGGUGGCAAAUCCACCACUCUUACCCAUAUGUCGAUCUCCUCAAACACCAUCUCAGAGGGUCUAAUCUUUCCUUCAUAUUCUUUCACAAUGAGUACACUAAAAUCAAAUUGCCAGGGUCCAUUAUUCAACACAUGUCUCCAAUCUCCUUCACUGCCCUAAACCUAGCGUAGUCGCACGAUCGCCAGGCAAUCGCCGCCUACAUCUCAACUUACCUAGUUAAUUAUCCGGCCAGCUUGAUCACGAUUACACCAAACUAACUCAGGCAUUGUUUGGAUUAUCCCAACACAAUCGUCCAUGGACAGAGGACCAGUCUGUGGACAUCUAUACAUGAAACCGCCAUCCAACCCAGUUCACAUACCUUUCAAAAACUUUUUAACAAACCAGAUGAAAUUCAUGCAAAGACAGUGAAAUUCACACAAAUCGCACGAAAACGUUUACAUUUUGGACAUAUCUUUUAACUAAAAAUGAUACUAGAGUAACAUGAAACUACUCAGCGCCGGCGAAUAGUCACUCCGGCAACAUGGAUAGCCUUGACUAGUCUACUGCCGGCCGCAAUGGAUCUGCAUUGCCGUCCCCAUGUCCCGUCAUGUCCCGUAGCUGUGAGCCCUGGAGGUAUAUGCUUUAGCAUAAAGAGCGGCUCGCUUCCCUACCGCUCAUCGGAGUGGAACAACCGGUUGAUGCUUUUGCCGGUGGGGAAGGGUCCCUACACUGCAUGGAUAGGAGUUGGUUUUGGGUAGGGGACGACGGUGGCCUGCCAGAGGGCAAGACAUCGGGUGUGUACUCCGGCGUCACCUUGGCGUGGCAUUCAUGGGACCCAAGCGGCAGCGGCUCCUCAAUGAUGGCGGCGAGCGUGGACGUGCUGGCCACCACCUAGUCGAUGUCCGCUCAGCCCGUUUCUUUCUCUGCAGGCAGGGAGUGGCUACGUGCACGUUGACAUCAUAUGACGCGGCCGCAGGCAUGGGAGGGGCGGUACGACAUGGCACCGUCGACGGCAGCCACGAUGCCCAUGCAGUCGUGCUCCCUGCCGGUGCCGACCUGUAACAACUCGCCACUCCUCAGUUCAUGACCGGCGGGCUCGAUGGGCCACCCAGCCGUUUUUAUGCGGGAAUACUCUUCUUCCUACUCAUCGGAUCCCAUGAAGAAAACUUCUCAAGGAGGAUAAUGGUGAGUGGAGGUAUGGUACGGUUCUUGCCCGACAUCUGACAGUGUUUAAAUAGCGGGCGAACACGAGAAGCCAACCAAUGUUCUGUUUAUUGCCGGCCGGCUCGCAAACGGACAUGUGGUUGGAGUAGGUAUCCUGGCACACACACGGGUUUAAUGAAGGAAGGCGGGCAGUUUGCAGCCGUUUGAAUGGGGGCGAGCAUGCAUGUUCAGCAUGGCGUGUAGCGCCCUCAGCCAGUGCGCCGCUUCCAUUGCGGAGGCAGUAAGGGAUGUGUACGCUCUGCAGUGGAGUGAAUGCGGGCAACUGGUGCAGGGCGGGAACACGAGCGGGCAUGGGAGGAGGCGGUUUGCAUGGGCACGUGUGAUAAGAAGCAGUCAUGGGUGCUGUCCGGACACCCGCAAAGCCCGCCUCCCCCACGUUUGUCUCCGGUUUGUGGGAGAAAGUAUGUCCGGACCGUCCUAUGGACCAAUACAGGCCCGCAUUGGAUGGCACAACACGUAUGGACCAUGUAGUCCGGAUGGUUGCAGAUGGUUUGAUGGUUGGCGUUGGAUAUGCCCUUAGCGCUUAUAAAUCCAUUGUGUUUUUCUAAUCAUAAAAAGCACUUAUGACAAGUUAUAAUGAAAGACACGUAUAUAUGUUAGGUUCAGACUCCAACUUUCCCGUUGCAUAUGAAUUUUUCUGAUCCGACCCAUACCAAUAGAGUGAGGCUAGCGUCGCUUUUCUAGAAACUCGCGGGAUAAGAAGACAUGCAUACAUAUUAUUUCAAGGAAAUCACAUCCACUCUUUUUAACUUAUUUUUUCUUAUUUUCAUAAUAUAAUAGAUCAUUUGUAUUUUUAUUUCAAACAAUUAACGUGUAACUUUUAUUGUAAUCUAAGGAUAUUGUUUGGAUUUUACUUUCAAAUAUUUGAAAUGGCCAUGAUGGAAUCACAUCCAUUUAUUUUAUUAUUAUUUGAAUUUGAUCCAAAAGAUAAAUAAUGAGUAGAGGUCAUGUCAACUUUUCCUAGAAUUUGCUAAUCAAAAUAUAAUUUCUAUCUUAAUACAAUCCAUUAUUUAACUACUCUAUUGAUUUGUAUUUAAAAACAUAUAUUUUUAGCACGCAUAAAAAACAUAACAUGUAUCUUUCCACACAAACUAUAGGUUGUCAUGAAAACUCAUGCCAUGCCAUAGCCUCCCUCCGACCCUGCCAACAUUGUUGCAGCUGCACUCGCAAGCCUUAGCGUGGAUGAUCAUUUAUAUGAUUUGCGUAAAACAAACUAAGAUCUACAAACGAAUAGAAGCUAGAACAUACCUUGGUAUGCACACACAUUGCAAGCCAUACUAAGCUGAUAAGUGUCAAUAACUUGUACAACAUAUACAACACCGAAGACAAGUAAAAGCAAUUUGAUGAGUCAUGGUCUAUCAAAGCAAGCUACAUUACUACUCUAAUCUAUCUUAACAGGUCACACAUGAUUACAAUCUUUUUUGUGUGCAAGUCAAGCUUAUCUAUUUUACACGUAACAACUUGUAGAACAUUACAAAAUUGAUGUUUGCUAAUAACUUCUAGAUCACUACAACACUUGACAUGUAAAAGGAAUUUGAUGAGUCAUGACCUACUAAAGCAAGUUACAUUACUAGUCUCAUCUAUCUUAACAGGCCACACAAGAUUACAAACUAAGUUCUGUGCAAGCAAUGCUUAUCUAGUUUACACGUAACAACUUGCAUAACAUUACAAACUUAGUUUCAGAAAAUUAGGCAAUCUAGAUUAGUGUUUAUUUGUAAAGUGAAUAAGAUGAGUCAUGUGUGUUAUCACACCUUUUUUGUGGUGGAAUGAUAGUGCCACAAAACACAACAUACCAAAAAUUGAUUUCGGGAAGCAUCCAAGCACUUUCCAGGCAAGCAAAUGCCAAUUGUGAAAGAGAUCAUGCCAUGGCAGCUAUAAAUAGGCCUGUAGCAUGAUGACAUCCUUCCUCAUUCAUCAUUCUCAUAAGUAGAGUGUAUCAUUCAAGCCAAGCAAGCAGUGGUCAAUACAAAUCCACCAUGAAGACCUUUCUCAUCCUUUCCCUCCUUGCUAUCGUGGCGACCACUGCCACAACUGCAGUUAGAUUUCCAGUGCCACAAUUGCAGCCGCAAAAUCCAUCUCAGCAACAACCACAAGAGCAAGUUCCGUUGGUGCAACAACUACAAUAUCCAGGGCAACAACAACCAUUUCCACCACAACAGCCAUAUCCGCAGCCGCAACCAUUUCCAUCACAACAACCAUUGCCGCAACCGCAACCAUUUCUGCCACAACUACCAUAUCCGCAGCCACAACCAUUUCCACCACAACAACCAUAUCCACAACCGCAACCACAGUAUCCGCAACCACAACAACCAAUUUCACAGCAACAAGCACAACAAGCACAACAACAACAACAACAACAACAACAACAACAACAACAACAACAACAACAACAAAUCCUUCAACAAAUUCUGCAACAACAACAACUGAUUCCAUGCAGGGAUGUCGUCUUGCAACAACACAACAUAGCGCAUGCAAGCUCACAAGUAUUGCAACAAAGUAGUUACCAACUGUUGCAACAAUUAUGUUGUCAACGUUUGUGGCAGAUCCCCGAGCAGUCGCGGUGCCAAGCCAUCNNNNNNNNNNNNNNNNNNNNNNNNNNNNNNNNNNNNNNNNNNNNNNNNNNNNNNNNNNNNNNNNNNNNNNNNNNNNNNNNNNNNNNNNNNNNNNNNNNNNNNNNNNNNNNNNNNNNNNNNNNNNNNNNNNNNNNNNNNNNNNNNNNNNNNNNNNNNNNNNNNNNNNNNNNNNNNNNNNNNNNNNNNNNNNNNNNNNNNNNNNNNNNNNNNNNNNNNNNNNNNNNNNNNNNNNNNNNNNNNNNNNNNNNNNNNNNNNNNNNNNNNNNNNNNNNNNNNNNNNNNNNNNNNNNNNNNNNNNNNNNNNNNNNNNNNNNNNNNNNNNNNNNNNNNNNNNNNNNNNNNNNNNNNNNNNNNNNNNNNNNNNNNNNNNNNNNNNNNNNNAACAACAACAACAACAACAACAACAACAACCGUCGAGCCAGGUCUCCUACCAGCAGCCUCAGCAACAAUAUCCAUCGGGCCAGGGAUCCUUCCAGCCAUCUCAGCAGAACCCACAGGCCCAGGCCUCUGUCCAGCCUCAACAACUUCCCCAGUUCGAGGAAAUAAGGAAUCUAGCACGGCAGACGCUACCGGCAAUGUGCAAUGUCUACAUCCCUCCAUAUUGCUCGACCACCAUUGCGCCAUCUGGCAUCUUUGGUACUAACUGAGAAGAGAAGAACUUGUACUAGAUAUAUGAAACACCGUUUCCUUAGUCCAUGGUUUGGUCGUUGUAGCGGUGGAAAAAUAAAGUGACAUGCACUAUCAUGUAAGAACCCGAACUAUACUAGUUCAAACUUGGGAAUAAAAGACAAACACAUGUCUUGUCUGCAUAUGAUUGUUUGUUUGAGUUCCAUUCAUGUGCCCGUUCACAAGUUCACCCAUAAUUAUAUAUAUUACAUAAUAAGUAUAUAUUUAUGUUUCAUUAAUCUAAAGAUAACAAAAUGAGUUUGAAACUUGAAUUAAAUUGAAGUAUUUUCUUGGACUUUCAAAUUAAGUAUUAUUAAAGUAGUAAGGACUAUCCACAUCCUUGGCUUGCCCUUGAUCAAUUAUUUCCAGAGAAGCAUUCAAUUCAUCAAUCAAUUACAUUGGUUUUUGUGACUCGUACUUCUCCUCAUCAUGAGUAUCAUUGCGGCUACUCCAAAUCGCCCACAUAACCGAAGCAUUAAUAGCACUCUUCUUGCAUCAAGUAAAUAUGGAUCGAAGAUAUCACUUGACCAUGUUUCCGGGUGCAACCUUGGGAGUUUUAUGUCAAAAUAUUCUCAAGCAGAAUCCAAGAAUAAACUUGCAUGCUCAUGUGUGAUAAGGGCAUAUGAAGUAACAUUUCCUCCCCAUGGCCACACAUAGGGCACACACAUAACCCCAUCACAUGCCUUUUUAGUUAUGCAUAUGAAGGUAGGAUGUUUUUAAUUACUCUCCACCAAAAUACUCUUAACUUGGCUUGUACCCUAAGCUUUCGUUGCCUUUUCAAUUUCUCUUCCCCACUAGACAAACUAGACAGUCCAUCUACCACACCAUACCUUGUGUCCAUCAUGGCUCUGUACAACAAUUGAACAGGACAAAUGUCAUUUCUUUAUGAUACCCACGACCAAGUGUCCUCUGCUCGAUUGUUUGGUCGUGGCAUAUUAAGGAUGACCACCUCAUCUGAUGGGACAAACACCUAACGUAUGAAAGGAGUGUUCCAGUUGCCCAUGUUUUUCAUCUCGAUAAGAUCAGCUACAAGUUGGACCGGAGUUUCUCAUGCACCAUAGUGGUUUCAUCAGCGGCAUGCCCUGCACACAUUUAUCAUGCCAUAUCUUUGUAGUGUGCAUUCCCAAUUUGUCACAACAUACCCUCCUUCAAACCUUUUUGCCUUUCAGAAUAGCACGCCAAGCUAGCGAUGCACUAUGCGGUAACCCACAUUUGAAAAAAAAUAAUCUCAUUUCAUGGUAUCUUCCACGAAGGACCCUCGCACAUGAGUUAUCUAGAUAGAAAUAGCCAUGUAUGUUUAGCAAACUUUGCAUAAGUGAAUAGAUCAAGGUCGUGGAAACCCAAGCCUCCAAUUACACCCAGCCUCUCUACCAACAAGAUGUCCAAAGACAUCAAGGAUACACAAAGCCAAAAAAGAAAAUAAAAAGAGCAGAAGAAAAAAAUACCCUGCCAUGGUGAUCAAUCACUAGAAUCAGAAGCACUCUAACCACCACCGAAGACAACGCCCGAAUUACAAAAAAGGUUCUCCAAAAGCAACGCCCCCAAGAAUGAAACAAUGCACAAGCAUUGUCGUUGCCCGAUCAAAGAUCAUGGGUUUUCACCCUGGAAAAAUUUCGAGUUCACUAUAAAAUAAUGCCUUCAACAAGGCCAUUGCCAAGUACAACCAAUAAGAGCCGGACCUUGGGUUUUCACCCUAGGAAUUGAGACUCGAUACUCGAGGAGUACCACCAAAAGUGUAGUCCGCAAGUGUUGCCGCCCCCGCUUGCCGAGGCCGUUGUUGCAAGUCACCAACCACCUGUCAUACAUUUGUCGUCGCAUCCAAUACACCCUUCCGCUGAAGCUUCAAGACCUCCAACCGCAUCCGCCAUGACUUUCUCCAAGUCUAUGAAUGCCUUGAGAAUCUUGAGUUAGACAUGUCCAAUGACAUAAAUAAGAAAUCGAAGCUUCGUGACACGUCCUCUUGAGGCCGUGUUGCCUGAUAAUAUUAGCGUGCACGACCGGAGCCUUUCCGAUCUAGAUAUCCAGGGGCGACAUACACCAAUCCAUAUAGAUCUCCGCUCGGUAAGACCGGAACUCAUCAACGGCCAGAUCCAAGAGGUCGACAUCCGGUAGAAAGAUGACUUGGCGGAAGAAGAGCAUCAGGGCCAAACCGCCAUUACUAGUCCGAAGCUAAUAGCCCCCACGCCACCCUCCUCUCGAUCCAGACCUGCAGAAAAUGACCAACAACGCCGCGUCGUGCCACUCGCAUCCAUGGAGGCUUGAACUUGGCAAGACGCCAACCAUGGCUGGAGACAGGGACCAGCCACUCCUGGUCGGAUCCGGUGACUCCUAGUCCCACCACUGCCACUACGGCGGCACCGCGUGUAGCCUACAAGCCCAUCCAUGAUGAUGUCUGAUUAGAAGGAUACAUGGAUAUACAGAUGAAAUGGCCCUCGUUAUCCCUCCAACAAUAUAUAUAAAGCUUAUUGGGACAUGAGAAAGCUCGCACAAUUUUAUAGCGGCUAUGGAAAUGUGUUGCCAAAUAGAGAUAUAAGAUUUUCGUUUGGCAUCUAGACCGCUUGUGUCAUCCUUAAUCGAUGACCACUCCAAUUUUUCCGGCGGGCCUUCCCUAUGGUACUGCAGCCUUACAUGUGUAUGGGUUUCAUACUGCUAUUCUGUCCAGUCGGAAAAGGAGACAACCAAAAUUACUUGGAGUUGAUAACUAAUAUGUUUCCUUUAACUACCACGUGCACGACGAGGAUUUACGGCACGCAAGUGCAGGGGCAGGUACUGGUGCCGCCUUUUAUUCUAGCCUCCAAUUUUCAAAUUUCUAUAUCUUUCAAACAAAAAAAUCAACUUAAGUUGUGUUUUCAUAUUCGUGUUUCUUGCCGCCAGCGCUUUGAAAUAAUAUUCAUUUUGAAUAUAUUUUGGCAAUUUUUAAACACAAUGUUAAUUUCCAUUGUUUGAAACUUAGUACGAGCGACCGAUAAUAUUCAAUUAUUUUGUGUCUCUGACCAACAGAAAAAAAUGCUUGAAAUUGCAUCUUUGAAACUUGUUGAAACUGGGCAUUUUCUAAUGCAAAAGCGGUAAGUUUUCAUCGUUGAAACUUAAAGGUUUUUGAUGGAUUUUCUUCUUUACUGUGCCCUACUUCAUGAAUCGUGAGACAAAUCGAGCAGGCGGCAGGGCUUGGCCAGUGAGUGCCCUUGCACUUAGGUGCCCCAGCGAAUUUCCACUUGCAUCGUAGCAUUCUUUUUCCGAGUCCUGCGAACGAACGAUGGUGCAUACAAAAAGUCUAUCCUAUAUGCGUACAUGUGCAUGAUCAAAACAUGUUUCUACGUGCAUCUGCUAUAAAUCUCGACCAUUUUGAACACAAAUCAUGACCAUUAGAAUACAUGAUUAGUGGAUCAUACUAUCGUAACCUAUGUGAGAUCAUGUGGAGUAAUAUAUUAUAGUAUAUAGAUAGAUCUAUGUUGUAUUUUUUUUGUUAGAAAAAUAUUUGUCAUUACAUAUUUAGAUUUAUGCAUCUGUUCUUGCCAAAAAAAUCACUAACAUUUCACAGUGGAAAGUUUGUAAUUAUAUCAUAUUGAACACCAAUGUUUUCCCGCAAAAGAAAAUAAUGCCUAUGCAUAUGCUUUUAUAUUAUUAUUAUUGUUUCAAAUAUAUCCAUAUAUUAUUUUUGGUUGUACAACCAUAAUUUUCUUAUCCCUCUCGUUCCACUAAAUGCUCCUAGUCACUGAAUUAUAUACACCAAAUAAACCCCUUUGCACGUCGUUAAUGACCAAAAAAAGUUGAUGCUGGCUAUGUUCUCUGAUGUCAGCAUGAUAUCAUAUAUAGUGAUUAGCAUGAACGAAUCCCUUUGACUCAUGCGUACUCCCUUCGGAAAGAAAUAUAAGAGCGUUUAGAUAACUAAAGUUGUGAUCUAAACACUCUUAUAUUUCUUUAAAGAGGGAGUAUAAAUUAAGAAGUCCAAGAUAAAGAAAUGCUGGUCCUUGAUUUGUUGUUGACUCUUAUAUUUCUUUAGAGAGGAAGUAUAAAUUAAGAAGUGCAAGAUAAAUAAUGCUGAUCCUUGAUUUGUUUUUGACGUCAGCAUGCCAUCAUUACCUUGUAGUUAUCAUACAAAUUGGAUCUUUCAUACAGAGUUGGAGGCCUGCUCCUUUGAUCCGCACACGCUUAAACACAAAAAGCAUGUAUAUGUUUUGUCUCCGGAUUUCAACUCGUGCUUGGCCAACAAAUAUGGUCUGAUCGGGACAUCGGGUAGAGGAAAAGGCAAGUUUGCUAAUACGCCUGGUGGAAAUGCCUUUGAUUAGGGCAUCUACAACAGCGACCAGUAAAUUUCCACCCGCAAUUUGUUGGAAUUCCGCCUUCAGAAUCGAUUACAUCAGAUACGAGGAACACACGCGCACAAAAAAAUGACAACCAAGGGCCCUUGUCGUGUCCUCUUUUCUCAUUAUUUUCUUGUUUCUCAAAUCACUGUAUUACAAAUCUGAUGCACCGGUGUGCAUAUAUAUGAAUGACCUCACGAGCUAUAGCUAUCUAACCUAAACCGACUCAAACAACUACUCCUGGCGGGACACACGUUGGAACAUAACUAGGACACGGACAGCAUGCAUGCUAAUUCCUAAUACUACACGGCUUGCAAACCGGCCACCCCAAGUACAUCUCAACUUACCUAGUUAAUUAUCCGACCAGCUUGAUCACGAUUACACCAAACUAACUCAGGCAUUGUUUGGAUUAUCCCAACAAUCACCCCUAAUCCAAACAUCCGUCUCUUUAUCCGACGACACACAAGACACGCAGACGACCACCUGUUCAUCUUGUUAGGCUGGCUGCGUCCGGUGACGCAACUUACAACAACAACAACAACAACAAAUCCUUCAACAAAUUCUUCAACAAAUUCUGCAACAACAACAACAACUGAUUCCAUGCAGGGAUGUCGUCUUGAAACAACACAACAUAGCGCAUGCAAGCUCACAAGUAUUGCAACAAAGUAGUUACCAACUAUUGCAACAAUUAUGUUGUCAACGGUUGUGGCAGAUCCCCGAGCAGUCGCGGUGCCAGGCCAUCCACAAUGUCGUCCAUGCUAUUAUUCUGCAACAACAACAACAACAACAACAACAACAACAACAACAACAACAACAACAACAACAACAACAACAACCGUCGAGCCAGAUCUCCCUCCAGCAGCCUCAACAACAGUAUCCAUCAGGCCAGGGCUCCUUCCAGCCAUCUCAGCAAAACCCACAGGCCCAGGGCUCUGUCCAGCCUCAACAACUGCCCCAGUUCGAGGAAAUAAAGAACCUAGCGCUGCAGACGCUACCGGCAAUGUGCAAUUUCUACAUCCCUCCAUAUUGCUCGACCACCAUUGCGCCAUUUGGCAUCUUCGGUACUAACUGAGAAGAUAAGAACUCUAGUACUAGAUAUAUAUGAAACACCGUUUCCUUAGUCCAUGGUUUGGUCGUUGUAGCGGUGAAAAAAUAAAGUGGCAUGCACUAUCAUGUAAGAACCCAAACUAUACUAGUUCAAACUUGGGAAUAAAAGACAAACACAUGUCUUGUCUGCAUAUGAUUGUUUGUUUGAGUUCCAUUCAUGUGCCCGUUCACAAGUUCACCCCUAAUUAUAUAUAUUACACAUUAAGUAGAUAUUUAUGUUUCAUUAAUCUAAAGAAAACAAAAUGAGUCUGAAACUUGAAUUAAAUUGAAGUAUUUUCUUGGACUUUCAAAUUAAGUAUUAUUAAAGUAGUAAGGACUAUCCAUAUCCUUGGCUUGCCCUUGAUCAAUUAUUUCCAAGGAAGCAUUCAAUUCAUCAAUCAAUUACAUUGAUUUUUGUGCCUGGUACUUCUCCUCAUCAUGAGUAUCAUUGCGGCUACUCCAAAUCGCCCACAUAACCGAAGCAUUAAUAGCACUCUUCUUGCAUCAAGGAACUAUGGGUUGAAGAUAUCACUUGACCAUGUUUCCGGGUGCAACCUUGGGAGUUUUAUAUCAAAAUAUUCUUAAGAAGAAUCCAAGAAUAAACUUGCAUGCUCACGUGUGAUAAGGGCUUAUGAAGUAACAUUACCUCCCCAUGGCCACACAUAUGGCGCACACAUAACCCCAUCACAUGCCUUUUUAGUUAUGCAUAUGAAAGGUAGGAUGUUUUUAGUUACUCCACCAAUAUACUCUUAACUUUGCUUGUACCAUAAGCUUUCGCUGCCUUUUCAAUUUCCUUCCCCAUUAGACAAACUAGACAGUCCAUCUACCACACCAUACCUUGUGUCUGUACAACAAUUGAACAGAACAAAUGUCAUUUCUUUACGAUACCCAUGACGAAAUGUCCUCUACUGGAUUAUUUGGUCCUGGCAUAUUAAGGAUGGCCACCUCAUCUGAUGGGAUAAACACCUAAUGAAUGAAAGCAGUGUUCCACUCGCCCAUGUUUUUCAUCGAUAAGAUCAGCUACAAGUUGCACCGAAGUUUCUCAAGUGCAUCAUAGUGGUUUCAUCAGCGGCGUGCCCUGCACCCAUUUAUCAUGCCAUAUCUCAGUAGUAUGUGCAUUCCCAAUUUUUUACCGCACAUUAGUAGAAAACAGGGCUUUGGUCCAUGCUGGGUUAGCCCAUUAGUCCUGGUUCAGUCAUGAACCAGGACUAAUGUGAGCAUUGGUCCCGGUUCAUGCGGUAAAGGCAUUAGUCCCGGUUCAAAUGGGACCUUUAGUCCCAGUUGGUGCCACGAACCGGUACUAAUGGUUGCGAUGCCCAUUAGUACCGGUUCGUGGCACGAAUCGGUACUAAUGGUUGAUCUUUAGUACCGGUUCGUGCCACGAACCGGUACUAAUGGGGUUUGAGGCAUUAGUACCGGUUCGUGGCACGAACCGGUACUAAAGGUCCCAUUUUCAAACUGUACCCCCCCUGUGGAUCGCCUUUUCAGUUUUGUAAAAAGCAAAAGAAAAUGAUAAAAACUUCCAAAAUUAAAAUCCUUCAAGAUGUAGUUAUGUUACUACAUCUACUAGUUAGGAAAAUUUAAAAACUUAAAUUUGGACAUGUUUUGCAAAAAGUGUAGGGAAAAUGUAAAGCUAUAACUUUUGCAUACUAUGUCAGAAAAAAAACGUAUAGUAUAUCAAAAUUUUCAGCACAAAAAUCCGCAUCCGAUUUUGUCAUCCUACGGCCUGUUUGCAAAUUUUUAGAAUCCUCAAAUUCUAAAAGAAAAAAAAGUUAUGCUCAAAUUUCAGUUUUUUUUAAUUUUUUUUUUAAUUUUUGGUAAAUCUGGUCAAACUACUUAUUCAAGAAGUAUUAGUGUUACUAAAUAAUUAUUCAAGAAUAUUAGUAUUACUAAAUAAUUAUUUCAGUUUUUUUUGAAUUUUGGUCAAAUUUGGUCAAAUUGUGGUCAAACUGUGGUCAAACAAUGGUCAAACUACUUAUUCAAGAAAUAUUAGUGUUACUAAAUAAUUAUUUCAGUGUUUUUGAAUUUUGGUCAAAUCUGGUCAAAUUGUGGUCAAACUGUGGUCAAACUGUGGUCAAACUAUGGUCAAACUACUUAUUCAAGAAAUAUUAGUGUUACUAAAUAAUUGUUGUUUUUUAGAACAAUAAUUUCAAACUCAAACAGUGAAAUGUGUGACUUCAUGCUCAAGCUUCCUGAGGGUUAAUAGGACUGACAUCUUACUAUUGUCGGGAAAACAACAAGUGCAGACUUGGAAACGAGGGAGAAUAGAACCCGGAAGUUAAGCGUGCUCAGGCUGGGGUAGUGAGAUGGGUGACCGUCCGGGAAGUUAGAUGAUUUGGAAUGAUGAGGGGUGAUUAGAGAUUAGAAGUUAAAUUGAGCAGUGAUGAGGGUGAUUAGAGAUUAGAGGUUAAAAUAAUUCAGAAAUUUGAAAAUAAAAAAAAAUUAAAAAAAUAAAAAAGAAAAUUUUCUGAAAAAUCAUAAAAUUUCUUUAGUACCGGUUGGUGUUACCAACCGGGACUAAAGGUGGACCUCCAGGCAGCGGCGAUGGGUGACCGUCCGGGAAGUUAGAUGAUUUGGAAUGAUGAGGGGUGAUUAGAGAUUAAAGGUUAAAUUGAGCAGUGAUGAGGGUGAUUAGAGAUUAGAGGUUAAAAUAAUUCAGAAAUUUGAAAAUAAAAAAAAUUUAAAAAAAAUAAAAAAGAAAAUUUUCAAAAAAAUCAUAAAAUUUCUUUAGUACCGGUUGGUGUUACCAACCGGGACUAAAGGUGGAGCUCCAGGCAGCGGCCACGUGGACGGCCUUUAGUCCCGGUUCGUGUAAGAACCGGGACUAAAGGGGGAGGCUUUAGUAACGACCCUUUAGUCCCGGUUCCAGAACCGGGACUAAAGACCCUUAUGAACCGGGACAAUAGGCCUUAUUUGUACUAGUGGCAUACCCUCCUUCAAACCUUCUUGGCCUUUCAGAAUAGAACGCCAAGUUAGCGAUGCACUAUGCGGGAACCCGCAUUUGAAAAAAAGAAUCUCAUUUCAUGGUAUCUUCAUAAAAGGACCCUCGUACAUGAGCUAUCUAGAUAGAAAUAGCCAUGUAUGUUUAGCAAACUUUGCAUAAGUGAAUAGAUCAAGGUCGUGGAACCCCAAGCCACCAAUUACACCCGGCCUCUCCACCAACAAGAUGGCCAAAGACAUCAAGGAUACAUAGAGCCAAAAAACAAAAUAAAAAACAGAAGAAAAAAAAUACUCCGCCAUGGUGAUUAAUCACUAGCAUCAGCAGCACUCUAACCACCACCGAAGACAACGCCCCCAAGAAGGGAACAAUGCACAAGCGUUGUCGUUGCCCUAUCGAAGAUCGUGGGUUUUCACCCUGGAAAAAUUUCGAGUUCACCCAAAAACAAUGCCUUCAACAAGGCCAUUGCCAAUUAUAAACAAUAAGUGCCUGAUGACCCACAAGUAUAGGGGAUCUAUUGUAGUCCUUUCGAUAAGUAAGAGUGCCGAACCCAACGAGGAGCAGAAGGAAAUGAUAAGCGGUUUUCAGCAAGGUAUUCUCUGCAACUACUGAAAUAAGUGGUAACAGAUAGUUUUGUGAUAAGAUAAAUGGUAACGAGCAACAAGUAACAAAAGUAAAUAAAGUGCAGCAAGGUGGCCCAAUCCUUUUGUAGCAAAGGACAAGCCUGGACAAACUCUUAUAAUAGGAAAAGCGCUCCCGAGGACACAUGGGAAUAUUGUCAAGCUAGUUUUCAUCACGCUCAUAUGAUUCGCGUUCGGUACUUUGAUAAUUUGAUAUGUGGGUGGACCGGUGCUUGGGUGCUGUUCUUACUUGAACAAGCAUCCCACUUAUGAUUAACCUCUAUUGCAAGCAUCUGCAACUACAACAAAAGUAUUAAGGUAAACCUAACCAUAGCAUGAAACAUAUGGAUCCAAAUCAGCCCCUUACGAAGCAACGCAUAAACUAGGGUUUAAGCUUCUGUCACUCUAGCAACCCAUCAUCUACUUAUUACUUCCCAAUGCCUUCCUCUAGGCCCAAAUAAUGGUGAAGUGUUAUGUAGUCGACGUUCACAUAACACCACUAGAGGUUAGACAAUAUACAUCUUAUCAAAAUAUCGAACGAAUACCAAAUUCACAUGACUACUAAUAGCAAGACUUCUCCCUUGUCCUCAGGAACAAACGUAACUACUCACAAAGCAUAUUCAUGUUCAUAAUCAGAGGGGUAAUAAUGUGCAUAUAGGAUCUGAACAUAUGAUCUUCCACCAAAUAAACCAACUAGCAUCAACUACAAAGAGUAAUCAACACUACUAGCAACCUACUAGCACCAAUCCCGGACUUGGAGACAAGAAUUGGAUACAAGAGAUGAACUAGGGUUUGGAGAUGAGAUAGUGCUGGUGAAGAUGUUGAUGGAUAUUUCCCUCUCCCGAUGAGAGGAGCGCUGGUGAUGACGAUGGUGAUGAUUUCCCCCUCCCGGAGGGAAUUGUCCCCGGCAGAACAGCUCUGCCGGAGCCCUAGAUUGGUUCCGCCAAGGUUCCGCCUCGUGGCGGCGGAGUCUCGUCCCAAAAGGUUCUCUUCUAUUUUUUUCUCAUCGAAAGAAUUCAUAUGGGAGAAGAUGGGCGUCGGAGAGCCACCAAGGGGCCCACGAGGUAGGGGGGCGCGCCCGGGGGGGCGCCCCCCACCCUCGUGAGCAGGGUGUGGGCCCCCUGACCUUCAUCUUUGGCGACGAUUUUUCUUUAUUUAUUUUAAGACAUUUCGUGGAGUUUCAGGACUUUUGGAGUUGCGCAGAAUAGUCCUUCAAUAUUUGCUCCUUUUCUAGCCCAGAAUUCCAGCUGCCGGCAUUCUCCCUCUUCAUGUAAACCUUGUAAAAUAAGAGAGAAUAGCCAUAAGUAUUGUGACAUAACGUGAAAUAACAGCUCAUAAUGCAAUAAAUAUUGAUAUAAAAGCAUGAUGCAAAAUGGACGUAUCAACUCCCCUAAGCUUAGACCUCGCUUGUCUUCAAGCGAAAAGCCGAUAACAAUAAAUAUGUCCUCAUGUUUAGAGGUAGAGGCGUCGAUAAAAAUAAAAUACGGACAUGAAGGCAUCAUGAUUAUUUCAUAACAGCAACAUAUAAAGAUUUCGUCAUAUGAUUACUCAUGUUCAAGUGAUGAUCUUUUCACAAAGCCAAAGUAUGAAUUAGAAACCUUAUUGAGCAUCAACAAAUUAUACCCUUAGUCAUUGAAGCAAUUGCAAUUUAUCAUAACAUCAGAAAGAGUCUAUGUCAGAGUUUAAAAGCAAGUCCACAUACUCAACUAUCACUUAGUCCUUCAUAAUUGCUAACACUCACACGAUACUUGUGGUUACGGAGUUUUAAUCGGACACAGAGAAAGAUAGGGGAUUAUAGUUUUGCCCCACAACCUUUUACCUCAAGGGUAAUGUCAACAAUAAUAAUUCAUGCUCCCCCACAUCCAAUUAGAUAUAUAUAUAUAUCAUGUUCUUUCCAACAUGCUGAGCUUGCCAAAGGAUAAAAUGAAAAAGGAAAGGUGAGGAUCACCGUGACUCUUGCAUAGGGUAGAGGAUAAUAAUAAAAGAUAGGCCCUUCGCAGAGGGAAGCAGAGGUUGUCAUGCGUGUUUAGGGUUGAUGCACAAAAUCUUAGUGCAAAAGAACGUCACUUUAUAUUGCCCCUUGUAUGUGAACCUUUACUAUGCAGUCCGUCGCUUUUAUUGCGUCCACAACAAGUUCGUACAAAGUUUAUUUUCUCCGCACUAAUAAGUCAUGCAUAUUUAGAGAGCAAUUUUUAUUGCUUGCACCGAUGACAACUUACUUGAAGAAUCUUACUCAAUCCAUAGGUAGUUAUGGUGGACUCUCAUGGCAAAGCUGGUUUAAGGGUAUUUGGAAGCACAAGUAGUAUUUCUACUUGGUGCUAAGAAUUUGGCUAGCAUGAGGGGGAAAGGCAAGCUCAACACGGUAGAGGAUCCAUGACAACAUACUUUAUCUCAGAUGUAAGAAAACUCACUAUGUUGCCUUGCUUGUCCAACAUCAACUCUUUAGCAUGUCAUAUUUUAAUGAGUGCUCCCAAUCAUAAAAGAUGUCAAUGAUAAUAUAUCUAUAUGUGAAACCUCUCUUUCCUUAUUACUUCCUAUUAAUUGCAACAAUGACCAAAGCUAUAUUUGUCAACCCCCAACAACUUUUAGUCAUCAUACUCUUUCUAUGUGGAGUCAUUACUUUCACUAAGAUCAAUAUGAACUCUUUGAUUCUUUUUAUUCUUUUUCUUCUAAUCACCCAAGAUCAUGGCAAAAUACUCAAGCCCUUGACUCAACACUAAUCUUUAUUAUAUAGCUCACGGACUCGAUUACAAAGAAGGAUCAUAAAGCAAAACUCAAAACUAGAUCAUGCCAUGACUUUAUUUUACUAAAUCAAGAUACUACUAAUAGGAUCGAACUAAGAAAAACGGUAAAGAUAGGAGUUGUGAUGGUGAUACGAUACCAGGGCACCUCCCCCAAGCUUGGCAGUUGCCAAGGGGAGUGCCCAUACCCAUGUGAUUAUUUCUCCUUCUUUGUUGUUGGUGGUGGAAGUGUUGAUGAUGAUGGAGUUGUCGCAUUUUUCUUCUCUAGCUUGCGUCUAAGGCUAAAAUUUUCAUCCCUCAGAUCCUCAUUCUCGAGCUCAAGUUUCAUUAUCUUUUUGCAUAGUGCUGCCUUGCUGUCCUGCAAAAAACGAGGCGGGAUAGAUUGGACCUUAUGGAGGCUUGACUUCUUGAACUCCACAUGCAUAUCACCAAGUUGAGGUAGGGGAUAGUCCUCUUCGUCGGAACUCGUUUCCUCCUUCCUCUUUGGAUCAUAGUCUUCCUCUUCCUCCGUGGUCCAGCCAUAAUGCUCCACAUCCCCAUAUACUUUUGGAUUUGCAAUAUAAUCAGCCAUGUAGCUCUCUCCCUCUGAAUCUUGGGAAGACAUCUUGCUCUAAUCUGCAGCAGAAACAGCUCGAAACAAAAACAGAGGAUAUUUGCGUGAUACGAGAGUCAAAACCUUCAGGAGUAUAUAUAAUGAAUUUUUACUGGCCAAAAUACGUAUCGUGCAAGGAAACGGAGUCCGGAGGGCACACGACGUGCUCGCGAGGUAGGGGGCGCGCCCAGGGGGGUAGGGCGUGCCCUCCACCCUCGUGGAGGCCUCGUGUCCUCCCCGGACUGCUACUUAUUUUUUUAUUUUUCUAAAUAUUCCAAAACAGAGAAAUAUUGCCUUAAAAAUUGUUUUGGAGUCGGUUUACUUACCGUACCACAUACCUAUUCCUUUUCGGAGUCUGGAACGUUUUGGAGAGUGUCCCUUAUGUACUCCUCCGGGGUUACGGUUUCAAUAACAUUAGUUUCAAUGUUUAUAGGAUUACCUGAGAUAUAGUGUUUGAUUCUUUGGCCGUUCACCACCUUCGGAUUUGUGCCUGCGAAGUUGUUGAUUUUUAUGGCACCGGAACGAUAGACCUCCUCGAUAACGUAAGGACCUUCCCAUUUGGAGAGAAGUUUUCCUGCAAAAAAUCUUAAAUAAAAGUUUUAUAGCAAUACAUAAUCACCUACAUUAAACUCACGCUUUUGUAUCCUUUUGUCAUGCCACCUUUUAACUUUUUCUUUAAACAGCUUGGCAUUUUCAUAAGCUUGGGUUCUUCAUUCAUCAAGUGAGCUAAUAUCAAAUAACCUCUUCUCACCGGCAAGUUUGAAAUCAUAGUUGAGCUCCUUAAUAGCCCAAUAUGCCUUAUGUUCUAGUUCGAGAGGUAAGUGACAUGCUUUUCCAUAAACCAUCUUGUAUGGAGACAUACCCAUAGAAUUUUUGUAUGCAGUUCUAUAGGCCCAUAAUGCAUCAUCAAGUUUUUUGGACCAAUUCUUUCUAGACCUAUUGACAGUCUUUGCAAAAUUAAUUUGAGCUCUCUAUUGCUCAAUUCUACCUGACCACUAGACUGCGGGUGAUAUGGAGAUGCAAUCCUAUGAUUAACGUCGUAUUUAACAAGCAUCUUACGGAAAGCACCAUGAAUGAAGUGUGAACCACCAUGAGUCAUUAAGUAUCUAGGGACUCCAAACCUCGGAAAAAUAACUUCCUUAAGCAUUUUAAUAGAAGUGUUAUGAUCAACACUACUAGUUGGAAUAGCUUCUACCCACUUAGUAACUUAAUCAACAGCAACUAGAAUAUGAGUGUAACCAUUAGAGGCAGGAAAAGGUCCCAUGUAACCAAAGCCCCAAACAUCAAAUGGCUCAAUAACAAGUGAAUAAUUCAUAGGCAUUUCUUGAUGUCUACUGAUAUUACCAAUUCUUUGCCAUUCAUCACAAGACAAAACAAACUUACGAGCAUCCUUGAAGAGAGUAGGCCAAUAAAACCCGGAUUGCAAUACCUUAUGUGCAGUUCUAUCUCCAGCGUGAUGUCCUCCAUAAGCUUCGGAGUGACACUUGCAUAGGAUCUGUUCCUGUUCAUGCUCAGGUACACAACGUCUAAUAACACCAUCUACUCCUUUAUAAAGAUGUGGGUCAUCCCAAAAGUAAUGUCGCAAGUCAUAGAAAAACUUUUUAUUUUGUUGGUAUGUGAAGCUAGGCGGUAUAAAUUUAGCAACAAUAUAAUUAGCAUAAUCAGCAUACCAAGGAGUGCUACGAGAAGUACUUAUGACAUUUAAUUGCUCAUCAGGAAAGCUAUCAUCAAUAGGUAGUGGGUCAUCAAGAACAUUCUCUAGCCUAGACAAGUUGUCUGCAACAGGGUUCUCAGCUCCUUUUCUAUCAACAAUAUGGAAAUCAAAUUCUUGAAGCAAGAGAACCCAUCUAAUGAGUCUACGUUUUGCAUCUUUAUUUUCCAUAAGAUAUUUAAUAGUAGCAUGAUCUGUAUGAAUAGUUACUCUAGAGUCAACAAUAUAGGGCCUAAAUUUAUCACAAGCAAAUACAACCGCUAAAAGUUCCUUUUCGGUAGUAGCAUAAUUUCUUUGAGCAUUCUCUAGAGUCUUACUAGCAUAAUAGAUAACAUUCGAUUUCUUAUCAACUCUUUGCCCUAGAACAGCACCUACAGCAUAAUCACUAGCAUCACACAUAAUUUCAAAGGGUAAAUUUCAAUCAGGUGGCUGAACAACAGGUGCAGAGACUAAUGCUUUCUUAAGUAUUUCAAAUGCUUCUACACAAUCAUCAUCAAAGACAAAUGGUACAUCUUUUUCUAAUAAAUUAGUCAGAGGCCGAGAGAUUUUUGAGAAGUCCUUGAUGAACCUCCUAUAAAAUCCGGCGUGACCAAGGAAACUUCUUAUACCUUUGAUGUCCUUGGGACAUGGCAUCUUUUCAAUAGCAUCAACCUUGGCUUUAUCAACUUCAAUACCUCUUUCAGAAACUUUGUGCCCCAAGACAAUACCUUCAUUAACCAUAAAGUGGCACUUUUCCCAAUUCAAGACAAGAUUAGUUUCUUCACAUCUUUGCAAAAAUCGAGCGAGAUUGCUCAAGCAAUCAUCAAAAGAGGAACCAUAGACGGAAAAGUCAUCCAUGAAGACCUCAAAAAUUUUCUCGCAAAAGUCAGAGAAUAUAGCCAUCAUGCAUCUUUGAAAGGUAGCAUGUGCAUUACAUAAACCAAAAGGCAUACGUCUAUAAGCAAAAGUACCAAAAGGGCAUGUAAAAGUAGUCUUUGAUUGGUCUUUAGCCGACACAGGUAUUUGAGAAAAACCAGAGUAACCAUCUAGACAGCAAUAAUGUGUAUGUUUGCAUAGUCUUUCUAGCAUUUGAUCAAUAAAAGGUAAGGGGUAAUGAUCUUUCUUAGUAGCCUUAUUUAAUUUGCGGAAGUCAAUUACCAUCCUAUAACCUGUGAUAAUUCUUUGCGGAAUCAAUUCAUCUUUAUCAUUAGGGACAACAGUAAUACCUCCCUUCUUAGGGACACAAUGGACAGGACUUACCCACUAACUAUCAGCAACGGGAUAAAUUAUACCUACCUCCAGAAGCUUGAGUAUUUCUUUUCUUACCACUUCUUUCACUUUAGGAUUCAAACAUCGUUGAGGAUCACAAACUGGUUUGGCAUCAGCUUCUAAAUUUAUUUUAUGUUGACAUAGAGUGGGACUGAUGCCCUUAAGAUCAUCCAGAGUAUAUCCAAUAGCGGCACGAUUCUUCUUCAGAGUUUUCAAUAAUCUUUCUUCUUCAUGCUCUGAAAGGUUAGCGCUAAUAAUAAUAGGAUAUAUUUUCUUUUCAUCAAGAUAAGCAUAUUUAAGAUUAUCAGGCAACGGUUUAAGCUCAAACAUGGGAUCACCCUUGGGUGGAGGAGGAUCCCCUAGGAUUUCAACAGGCAAAUUGUGUUGCAGAAUAGGUUCCUGUUUAAAGAAUAAUUCAUCUAUUUCCCUUCUUUCAUUUAUGAACAUAUCAUUUUCAUGGUCUAGCAAAUAGUGUUCUAAAGGAUCAUUAGGAGGUACAGCAAUAGAAGCAAGACCAAUAAUUUCAUCCUUACUAGGCAAUUCUUCCUCACGAUGUUGUUUACUAAAUUUAGAGAAAUUAAACUCAUGGACCAUACCAUCCAAGCCAACAGUAACAACAUUCUUUUUGCAAUCUAUCUUAGCAUUAACGAUACGCAAGAAGGGUCUACCAAAUAUAAUGGGACAAAAGCUAUCUUGUGGAGAACCAAGAACAAGAAAAUCAGCGGGAUAUUUGGUUUUCCCACGCAAGACUUCAACAUCUCUAACAAUUCCCAUUGGAGAUAUAGUAUCUCUAUUGGCUAGUUUAAUUGUAACAUCGAUAUCUUCUAACUCAGCAGGUGCAACCUCAUGCAUAAUUUCUUUGUAUAAGUCAAUGGGUAUAACACUAGCACUAGCACCCAUAUCACAUAAGCCAUGAUAACAAUGAUCUCCUAUUUUAACAGAAAUAACAGGCACGCCUACCACAGGUCUAUGUUUAUCUCUAUCACAGGGUUUAGCAAUUCUAGCAGUUUCACCAGUAAAUUGAAUAACAUGCCCAUCAAUAUUAUCAGACAAGAGAUCUUUAACAAUAGCAAUAUUGGGUUCUACUUUGACUUGCUCAGGAGGUGUAUAAGUCCUAGUAUUGCUUUUAUGAACAACAGUUGAAGCUUUAGCAUGAUCCUUCAUUCUAACAGGGAAAGGAGGUUUCUCAACAUAAGAAGUAGGAACAAUAGGAUCAUUAUAAGUGACAAUCUUUUCUUCAACUUUAAUAGGUGCAGCUACUUUUACUUCUAUGGGAGGAUGAUAUUUAAACCACUUCUCCUUGGGGAGAUCAACAUAAGUAGCAAAAGAUUCACAGAAAGAAGCUACUAUCUCAGAGUCAAGUCCAUAUUUAGUGCUAAACUUACGGAAAAUAUCGGUAUCCAUAAAAGAUUUAACACAAUCAAACUUAGCUGUCAUACCUGACUCCUUACCUUCGUCGAGGUCCCAAUCUUCAGAGUUGCGUUUAAUUCUAUCCAAUAAAUUCCAUCCAAAUUCAAUAGACUUCAUCAUAAAAGAGCCAGCACAAGAAGUAUCGAGCAUGGUGCGAUUAUUAUCAGGAAGCCGAGCAUAAAAUUCUGGAGAAUUGUCAAUUUUGAGAGCUCAUGAUUGGGGCAUGAAUAUAACAUUGAUUUAAGACUCCCCCAAGCUUGAGCGAUGCUUUCUCCUUUGCGAGGCCAAAAAUUAUAUAUAUAAUUGCGAUCACGAUGAACAAGAUGCAUAGGGUAAUACUUUUGAUGAAAUUCCAAUUUCAAUCUUUUAUAGUUCCACGAUCUUGUAUCAUCACAUAGCCUAUACCAUGUCAAUGCGUCUCCCUCCAAAGAUAAAGGGAAAGCCUUCCUCUUAACGGCAUCAUCGGGUAUACCUGCAAGCUUAAAUAGUCCACAAAUAUCAUCCACAAAGCGUAGAUGUUCGUCCGGCUGCUUUGUUCCAUCUCAUGCGAAAGUGUUAGCUAGCAGUUUUUCCAUCAUACCCGAAGGAAUCUGAAAAACAGUUUCAUUUUUAGUAGAUUCAGUAGGUUCAGUAGGUUGAGGAGCAACUCUUGGCUCAACUGGACGGGGUGAAGAUACCCCGAACAAACCCCUCAAGCAAUUACUUUCCAUGGUAACAAGUGACAGAAAAUUUCAGCACACUAAAUAAAUUUUUCCUUACCAAAUUCCACCUACCAAAGGCGCUUCACUCCCCGGCAACGGCACCAGAAAAGAGUCUAGAUGACCCACAAGUAUAGGGGAUCUAUCGUAGUCCUUUCGAUAAGUAAGAGUGUCGAACCCAACGAGGAGCAGAAGGAAAUGAUAAGCGGUUUUCAGUAAGGUAUUCUCUGCAAGUACUGAAAUAAGUUUUAAUAGAUAGUUUUGUGAUAAGAUAAAUGGUAACGAGCAACAAGUAACAAAAGUAAAUAAAGUGCAGCAAGGUGGCCCAAUCCUUUUUGUAGCAAAGGACAAGCCAGGACAAACUCUUAUAAUAGGAAAAGCGCUCCCGAGGACACAUGGGAAUAUCGUCAAGCUAGUUUUCAUCACGCUCAUAUGAUUCGCGUUCGGUACUUUGAUAAUUUGAUAUGUGGGUGGACCGGUGCUUGGGUGUUGUUCUUACUUGAACAAGCAUCCCACUUAUGAUUAACCUCUAUUGCAAGCAUCCGCAACUACAACAAAAGUAUUAAGGUAAACCUAACCAUAGCAUGAAACAUAUGGAUUCAAAUCAGCCCCUUACGAAGCAACGCAUAAACUAGGGUUUAAGCUUCUGUCACUCUAGCAACCCAUCAUCUACUUAUUAAUUCCCAAUGCCUUCCUCUAGGCCCAAAUAAUGGUGAAGUGUUAUGUAGUCGACGUUCACAUAACACCACUAGAGGUUAGACAACAUACAUCUUAUCAAAAUAUCAAACAAAUACCAAAUUCACAUUACUAAACAGUAAAACUGAGCUAGCUAUGCCUCCUCACAGCGAUUUGAACUGCUAAACCGUCCGAUUAAGUACACGGAUGCUUCAGAUUAGUUCACCGCCCCGCAACAUUCUCUCGGGCCUCGUUCGCCUCUUCUGCUCGCUGAACCGACCGAGCCAACGUCUAAUGGGCCGCUGCUCCACAGACCUAUUUUUGAGCGUUUACAUGAAUGGGGCUGCCAUGGGCGUGUGACUGUGAGGUGAUUUACAGCCAAUUCUUGGUGAUUGUGCAGGAGGUGGGCCGCUUGUUGCCUUUCCUAUUCUGUCCGUCCGUCGCCUUUCACACGCAGUGGAUCUGAGUUUUUGGCUGCUUACCGUUCAAUUUUUUUUGCGAGUACUUACGGUUCAAUUGCAUCAUUAUUUGUUUAUUUUCUUUCUCUGUGCAGCAUAUAAUAUGGCAAGGCUACAACGGACCAUGACGCGUGACACACAGAGAAUCUCCCCCACUUAUUCAAAUACCUUAGCAAAUGUGAUGCUUAGACAAACUUUUUUGUACAUUGACGUUCCAAUGCUGAUUUAGAUGGCAUUGUCACCUGUAUCAAUUUUGCAACUUAUACCUAAAGCUUCAAUAGUGCCCCACCAUCUAAAUGUUCUUCUUUUGUUCAGGUUUUUUGAUAUACUUAUAUUAUUAUUUCAAUAAGAUGUACGGGCGUGACAACGUGCGCCUUUAUGUUCUAGUGACUACUAAUAGCAAGACUUCUCCCUUGUCCUCAGGAACAAACGUAACUACUCACAAAGCAUAUUCAUGUUCAUAAUCAGAGGGGUAAUAAUGUGCAUAUAGGAUCUGAACAUAUGAUCUUUCACCAAAUAAACCAACUAGCAUCAACUACAAAGAGUAAUCAACACUACUAGCAACCUACUAGCACCAAUCCCGGACUUGGAGACAAGAAUUGGAUACAAGAGAUGAACUAGGGUUUGGAGAUGAGAUGGUGCUGGUGAAGAUGUUGAUGGAGAUUGCCCUCUCCCGAUGAGAGGAGCGUUGGUGAUGACGAUGGUGAUGAUUUCCCCCUCCCAGAGGGAAUUUUCCCCGGCAGAACAGCUCUGCCGGAGCCCUAGAUUGGUUCCGCCAAGGUUCCGCCUCGUGGCGGCGGAGUUUCGUCCCGAAAGGUUCUCUUCUAUUUUUUUCUCAUCGAAAGACUUCAUAUGGGAGAUUAUGGGCGUCGGAGAGCCACCAGGGGGCCCAUGAGGUAGGGGGGCGCGCCCAGGGGGGCGCCCCCCACCCUCGUGAGCAGGGUGUGGGCCCCCUGGCCUUCAUCUUUGGCGAUGAUUUUUCUUUAUUUAUUUUAAGACUUUCAGUGGAGUUUCAGGACUUUUGGAGUUGCGCAGAAUAGUCCUUCAAUAUUUGCUCCUUUUCCAGCCCAGAAUUCCAACUGCCGGCAUUCUCCCUCUUCAUGUAAACCUUGUAAAAUAAGAAAGAAUAUCCAUAAGUAUUGUGACUGAAAUAACAGUCCAUAAUGCAAUAAAUAUUAAUAUAAAAGCAUGAUGCAAAAUGGACGUAUCAGUGCGAUACCUUGGGUUUUCACCCUAGGAAUUGAGACUUGAUACUCGAGUACCAUCAAAAAUGCAGUCCACCAGUGCUGCCGCCCCCGCUUGCCGAGGCCGCUGGUACAAGUCACCAAACACCUGGCAUACAAUUGUCAUCGCAUCCAAUACACCCUUCUACCGAAGCUUCAAGACCUCCAAUCGCAGUCUCCAUGACUUUCUCCAUAUCUAUCAAUGCCUUGAGAAUCUUGACUUAAACAUGUCCCAUGAUAAAAAAUAAGAAAUCGAAGCUUCACGUCGCAUCCUCUUGAGGCCGUGUUGGUUGAUAAUAUUAGCGCGCACGACCGGAGCCUUUCCGAUCUAGAUAUCCAGGGGCGACAUACACCAAUCCAUAUAGAUCUCCGCUCGAAAAGACCAGAACUCAUCAACGACUAGAUCCAAGAGGUCGACAUCCGGCAGAAAGACGACUUGGCGGAAGAAGAGCAUCAGGGCCAAACCACCAUUAUUAGUCCGAAGCUAAUAGCCCCCACGCCGCCCUCUUCUAUAUCCAGACCCGCAGAAAAAGAUCAACGACGCCGCAUCGUGCCACUCGCAUCCGUGGAGGCCUGAACUUGGCAAGACGCCAACCAUGGCUGGAGACGGGGACCAGCCACUCCUGGCCGGAUCCGGUGACUCCUAGUCCCACCGCUGCCGCUACGGCGGUACCGCGUGUAGCCUACAAGGACAUCCACGAUGAUGUCUGAUUAGAAGGAUACAUGGAUAUACAGAUGAAAAGGCCCUCGUUGUCCCUCCAACAAUAUAUAUAAAGCUUACUGGGAUGUGAGAAAGCUCGCACAAUGUUAUAUUGGCUAUGAAAAUGUGUUGCCAGACAGAGAUAUAAGAUUUUUGUUUGGAAUCCAGAUCGGUUGUGUCAUCCUUAAUCGAUGGUCACUUUAAUUUUUUCGGCGGGCCUUCCCUGUGGUACCGCAGCCUUACAUGUGUAGGGGUUUCAUACAGCUAUUCUGUCCUGUCGGAAAAGGAGAAAACCAAAAUUACUUGGAGUUGAUAACUAAUACGUUUCCUUUAACUACCACAUGCACGGCGAGGAUUUACGGCACGCAAGUGCGGGGGCACUCAGGUCAUGGUGCCGCCUUUUUAUUUUAGCGUCCGAUUUUCAAACUUCUAUAUCUUUUAAACGAAAAAAUCAAUUUAAGUUAUGUUUUCAUAUUCGUGUUUCUUGCUGCCAGCGCUUUCAAAUAAUAUUCAUUUUGAAUAUAUUUUGGCAUCUUUUGGAAACAAUGUUAAUUUUCAUUGUUCGAAACUUAGUACGAGCGACCGAUAAUAUCCAAUUAUUUUGUGUCUAUGACCAACAGAAAAAAUUGCUUAAAGUUGCAUCUUUGAAACUUGUUGAAGAUGGUCAAUUAACAUUUUCUAAUUGCCAUGAGAAGAAGUAUGAAGUGCAGUAGAGAACAAUGUACACAGUAUAUAUACAACAUGGAAGUACAGUAAUAGUGAGUUCACUCGACGGAACCCCGUCACGGCACGGCCAUGUGAAUAGGAUCCACCUCGUACUGCUCCUCUCCUGCUCUGCCCUGAGCAGUAUCGUCCGUCGUCGCCGAGCGGCGCAGCGGCCGGCGGCCGGGGGGAAGCCGAGAUUUCCUCUUUGGAGGCGCCGAAUCCCAGUCGUAACUCGUAAGUCGAAAUCCCUCUCUGUCCCGCCUCUCGAAUCCCCACCGGUCUCCUACCCAAAACUUCCGUGCCGCCAAUGCCCGCCUUUUCUUUGGGUUUCGAGCGAGGAAUCGGAGGGAAAUCUGGGUACUUCCUGUGGCUUGAUACCCCGGCAAUGGCGGCCCUGCUUGCUUUCUGUUACCACUGGGUCGCUCUACUCUUUGCAUGCCCGUCCGCAAGGUGUUCGAUGGAUUGUGCGCAGGGUGUCGGCCCGGCUGGUCUCGUUUCAGCUCUUGGAUGUCUCGGUCCGUUUACCGUCGGUUACUGGAAAUGUGCUCGAAACCCAUGAAAAUGCUGGGAUUUGCGCUCUUUGUUUGCCGUCAUUUGUUUGGUUGCAGGAAGCACCCGGUCUUAAGCAUAGUAUAGAUAAAGUUGUAUGUUCUGCUCUGUUUGUUUGUUUGCUGUCUGAUGAUUGAGACAAGGGCAUAAUCCAAAGUUUGGCACCUGCUCCUGCACGUUUAUGUGUUGGAAACUGGAAUCUGUUGAGAGUAGUAUGGCCACGCCACAUGUCUUGGCUUCCACUCAAGGACCACAUUACUUCUUGACUUUCUUGGAUGCUUGUUGGCCCAACCUUGGAUCUAUAUCUUUCUAAUAGUGUUAUAAAUCAGAAACAUAUCCCCGCAAAAAAAUAGAAAUAAAUCAGAAACACAACAAUUUUUUGUGUUGCUUACUAGAUUCGGUGUAUUUACUUCGUGUGUUUAGUCGAAUCACCUGUCAUUGUUCUCUCAAGUUGCUUUUCCUUGCGAUAUUCAUGUUCAACCCAGCGGUUUAAAAUUCCUGCAAUUGCUUCAUUCAAAGUGAUUUUCACUUCUUUGUUGUUGUUUUCCACAGCAUUUGGGCUGAGGCUCCAAAUAGUGCUACUCUUUUACAUGGACUAUGUUACUUUGGAGAAUACAAGAAUUGUGCAUUGGUAUCACGAUAACAUAUGCCUAAUGGUUUUUCUUACAGGAGGGCGUUUCCAACACAUAAAUAGUUUGCUAGCAUGCAGACAAGUGUCCAGUAGCCUUUGUGCCAUUUGAGGCGUAAUGGAGAUAGCUUUUCUCAUGUUGUUGGUUCUUUCUCUGCUUCUGUUCCCUAAUGGCAUCUGCAAGAGUUUAGCCACACGGCCUCCUGUUGUGAAUAUUGGGUCUAUUCUUCAAUUUGACUCCACCACUGGAGGUGUUGCGGCAGUUGCCAUCCAUACAGCCUUGGAAGAUAUCAACUCCGAUCCAACAGUUCUAAAUGGAACUACACUGAAGGUUCAAAUCAAGGAUACAAAUUGCUUUGAUGGUUUCCUUGGCAUGGUUCAAGGUAGGCUAGCUUUAAUGUCACUCAUUCAUUUCACAACCUUCAAAUAGUUUUUACUUCUAUUGUGGAGUGGUGGCAAUGAUGCCGUGUUCCUUGUAUCAGCUUUGCAGUUCAUGGAGACUGAUGUUAUUGCAAUCGUUGGCCCUCAGUGCUCCACAAUUUCUCAUAUCAUUUCAUAUGUAGCAAAUGAGCUUCGAGUCCCUUUGAUGUCCUUUGCUUCUGAUGCAACUCUUUCAUCGAUACAGUUCCCAUUCUUUGUCAGGACUGGUCCCAAUGACCUCUAUCAAAUGGCGGCUGUGGCAGAAGUUGUUGACUACAACCACUGGAAGAUAGUGACUGCCAUAUACAUUGAUAAUGUUUAUGGUAGAAAUGGCAUUGCUGCUUUGGAUGAUGCACUCGCUUUAAAGCGCUGCAAAAUAUCCUACAAGAUUGGCUUUCCUUCCAACGCUAAAAGGAGUGACCUCAUAAAUUUGUUGGUUAGUGUCAGUUCUAUGGAGUCUCGUGUUAUCAUUCUCCAUACUGGAACUGAACCUGGACUCAAGCUUUUCUCUAUGGCACACCAACUGAACAUGAUGGGCAACGGCUAUGUGUGGAUUGCAACUGACUGGCUGUCCGCAUAUCUUGAUGCUAAUUCAUCAGUUCCUGCUGAGACUAUAUCUGGCCUGCAAGGUGUUCUUACUUUACGGCCACAUAUUCCCAACUCAAAGAUGAAUAAUUUGGUCUCUAAAUGGAGCACGCAAAGUAAAAAGUACAACUACAGUGAUCUUCGUGUAAAUACUUAUGGUUUUUAUGUUUAUGAUAGUGUCUGGGCAGUAGCUCGUGCUCUGGAUGCCUUCUUUGAUGAUGGUGGUAGGAUUUCCUUUUCAAAUGACUUGCAUGAUGAAACUGGAGGAACUCUUCACCUUGAAGCAAUGAGCAUUUUUGACAUGGGAAAUAAAUUACUGGAGAAGAUUAGAAAGGUAAACUUCAGUGGGGUAUCUGGGCAAGUGCAAUUCGAUCCUGUAGGCAACCUCAUUCACCCUGCGUAUGACAUCAUAAAUGUCAUCGGAAAUGGCAUGCGGACCAUUGGUUUUUGGUCAAACUAUUCUGGCUUGUUGUCGACUGUCUCUCCAGAGGCUCUAUAUUCAAAGCCUCCUAAUACUUCUCUCGUCGAUCAGCAUCUCUAUGAUGUUAUUUGGCCUGGGGAGACUGCACAGAGGCCUCGAGGAUGGGUCUUUCCUUCUAAUGCCAAGCAAUUGAAAAUUGGUGUUCCCAACAGAUUUAGCUUCAAAGAGAUCGUCACGGUAGACAAUGCUACUGGGUCAAUGAAGGGUUAUUGCAUCGAUGUCUUUACUCAGGCAUUGGCUUUGCUUCCUUAUCCUGUUAGUUACAAGUUUGUACCUUUUGGGAAUGGUACUGAAAAUCCUAAUUAUGACAAACUCGUACAGAUGAUUGAAUCAAAUGUAAGUAUGGAAUGCCUCUUUUCUUCCUCUAACCAUUUCAUCAUAUACCAUGCUGACCAGGGUCAUCUUGUCCUGCAGGAGUUUGAUGCAGCUAUAGGGGAUAUUGCAAUUACAAUGAGGCGGACAGUAACUUUUGAUUUCACCCAGCCAUUCAUUGAAACAGGCUUGGUUAUCUUGGCUCCGGUUAAAGAGCAUAUAACAUCAUCGUGGGCAUUCUUGCAGCCAUUUAGUUUGGAGAUGUGGUGUGUUACAGGGCUGUUCUUUCUUAUUGUGGGUGUGGUUAUUUGGGUUCUUGAACAUCGGAUCAAUGACGAUUUCCGUGGUUCAGUAUGUCAACAAAUAAUAACUAUUUUCUCGUAAGGAGCUGACCUUUACCUUUUGUAUCGUCUUCUUGUAUAUCAUUUCUGUUUUCGAAGUGUUGAUGUUUUAACAAGUCUUGUGCAAUAUGUUGCAUACAGCGAGCACCUUAGAGCAGUGGCCAGUUAACAAACCUAAAUGAAGCAUCUAGUGAUUACCAAUGAACUACUCCCUCCGUCCCAUAAUAUAAGAGUGUUUUUUGACGGCGGGAGUAUUAUCUUAAUAAUCUUGUGAGACAUAUAUACAUGCACAGUAUAUAUAUUCGCUUAAUGAUAUUUAUGAUGCAUUGCUCUAUUUUUUCCUGUUUUCAUGUACUUCUCCACAUGUAUUUGCCAAAUGCUCUUAUCAUGACGUGAUUCCUUGCUGUGAGUAUAAUUUCAAAUUUUAUUGCCUGCAGGUUCAGCUUUUCGACUUUGUUCUUCGCACACAGUGAGUAAACCAACCUUUUCUCUUAUGUGUUUUUUGGCUAUAACAUUUUGUUCUGAGGCAUGACUUGUGAUUUCAUCCGUGUCUGCUCGCAGGAGAAAAUACGAUGAGUGCCUUAGGGCGUGGUGUCCUGAUCAUAUGGCUGUUUGUUGUUUUGAUAAUUGUAUCCAGCUAUACCGCGAGUCUUACUUCCAUCCUGACCGUGCAACAACUUGAUACUUCUAUAAAAGGAAUUGAUGACCUGAAAAAUAGCGAUGGUCCUAUUGGUUUCCAAGUUGGUUCUUUUGCACAAGACUACAUGGUCAAGGAGCUCAACAUCUCACGGUCAAGGCUAAGAGCUCUGGGUUCACCACAAGAAUACGCGGAUGCCCUCAAGAUAGGCCCUAAGGAAGGAGGUGUUAUGGCCAUUGUCGACGAGCGCCCCUAUGUUGAACUGUUUUUGUCAACCUACUGCAAAAUUGCGGUAGCUGGCACAGAUUUCACCAGCAGAGGAUGGGGCUUUGUAAGUACAGUUAAACCAUAUUCUUUUAUGUAAAUUAGAAUAUAAGAACAAAACAUUUUUCUGUUAAUAUCCUGGAAUAGAAGUUUUAACUUUGAAUAGCUGUGUCUAGUAUCUAGUUUAUUAUGCAACUGUUCUUGCACAUAUCUGUGGGUACUUUGUUUCACAAAUCAAAAUGUAGCACCUUACAAGUUCAUUCUGGCAGGCAUUUCCAAGGGACUCCCCUUUGCAAGUAGACCUCUCCACCGCAAUCCUGUCUCUGUCAGAGAAUGGGGAGCUGCAGCGGAUCCAUGCCAAAUGGCUCAAUACAGGGGAGUGCGCAACUGAAAACAGUGAGUUUGUCGACUCGAACCAGCUCCGCCUUGAGAGUUUCCUUGGUCUGUUCCUAAUCUGUGGUGUGGCAUGUGUUCUCGCGCUGCUACUCUACUUUGGUAUCAUGCUAUGCAAAUACCUGAGGCAUGAACCGCGGAAGAGCCUCAGAAGAUUCAUCUCGUUCGUCCAUGGGAAGGAGCCGCUGAAGAACAAGGAGAGGCGGUCCAUGAGCCUGCCUGGAAGCUCGACGCCAACAACGCCGAUGAGCAGCCUUAGUUCCCUUGACAUGGAAAGGCCGGCCAGGCCAGUCAGAAACGGCAGCGUUAUUGAUAUGGAAAGCUAGUUCAUGUGUAGAAAGCUAGUUAACAAUGCGGUCGACUAACCUAGGUUCUGGUAGUCGGACAGCAGGGGUGUAUAGGGGGAUUCAAAAUACUUCUUAAGUACUCCCUCCGAUUCAAAUUAAUUGACGUUGACUUAGUACAAAGUUGUACUAAGUUGGCGUCAAGUAAUUUGGAUCGGAGGGAGUACUAAAGUUUAGAAAUAAGAGAAGGAAGGAUUAAUAAGAAGUAGAAAUAUUGAAAUGCUCAUCCUGUCCUACAUAUAUUGUUUUUACCUUUGCAUGACUGUAUUUUGGGGGAUACUGUGUCGGUUCAGACUUGCCGUUUGGCAGCGUGGCCUGUUCAUGUGUUUGAUAGGGCGUAGUAGUGUGUGGGUACUUCAGUUAGAAGGUAUGCAGCGGACCGAGUCUAUUGACCGUGUGGCGAUGCCUGUAGUUUGUAGCACUAAAUUUUGAUGCUCAUUCAUAAACUAAUUUAGAUAAAAGCCGCACAAAAAAUGUGCUAGUUUUUUGUUGUUGUUGCUCACGUACUCUGUUUUGUCUCAGUUUUAGUCCAGGGCAACUUUGAAGCUUAUCUUAGGGUGGUAGCCAUAAAAAUGUGUUAGCACCUUACACAGGAGAAAUAGGUAAAGACCUUAUUAAGAAGUGAAGAAGAAUAGACGUCUCCAGUUUUUGUUUCUCCAACUCCAUGCCUACAAUGUAAAUUAUUUAUGGAUUAGCUCCAGUUGCUGCAACUGUACUCUUUCCGGUAGGUCUGAGAUGCGACUGAGCAUCCUAAGCUAGCUACUUGUCUCCCUUAAGUUUUACAGCAAGACAAAUGCACUGGACUGCAAAGAGGAAAUUCCCGCAGGUUCGUAGUGCAUCUGUUUUGGUUCUUGCAUUCACACCAAUCAUAAAACAGUGUUUGUUAGUAGCGGAGUGGUAGGCAGAAGCAAAUCAAACCAUCAUUUUUCUUCUAAUUACACUUGUAAAAGCAUCGAUACAUCUCCACCGCUUAAUUUAUUUGUCAUUCUGUUCAGUACCUGGUUCAGGAAGAGUCUUUUUCCUAUGCAAAAUAUAUAACGUAUAUGUUCCUAAUUCCGAUUGCAGGCAUAUUCAUCGCGCUUGUGUUUUGACGUGUCGCGGGGAACCAAGAGUCGUUCAGCAGGGCGUUUCUAGGAUACGCCACGGGUCUUACAGUAAAGGUAACGGUGAUGAACUGGUUUCAAGCUGUGCUGAUCAGUUCUGCUGUUACUAAUAUAUCAUGGCAUCCUGCUGCUCUCGGUCGAUGUUCUGUCAUCUCUGAAAAAUAUCAUUAUCACCUGUUUUAUUUCCCCGUCUUUUUUGCGCUUUGAUGCCCAGCCUGCUCUGUUGCACAUUGUUCCUGGCACGUGACUGGUUUGGUCGCCGUUCACUCUCCAUGGAAUGGAGAAGUGAAAGCGGGCAAGUAAGCCUAUAUACCUUUUGUCCCUUUUGUGUAGAUCAGAGAAAAUAACUGGCAAUCUUGAUCAGCCUGGUUUUGAGACGCGACUUGUUUGCCACUGACUGUUUUGCGUUGGUUGGAGAGGAGGAAGAAGACGAAGGUCCCAACCGUGAGAGCUAAAAGGUGAACCAGCGCUCGCCUUUUUAAUUACUAGGAGAAAUAAACAUUGAGGCAGCAAUUUCUUCCGGCAAGAUCAAUUGGCAGCUAAUUAUGUAGGCUGGAUGGCAUUGAGAAAUCCAGAANNNNNNNNNNNNNNNNNNNNNNNNNNNNNNNNNNNNNNNNNNNNNNNNNNNNNNNNNNNNNNNNNNNNNNNNNNNNNNNNNNNNNNNNNNNNNNNNNNNNNNNNNNNNNNNNNNNNNNNNNNNNNNNNNNNNNNNNNNNNNNNNNNNNNNNNNNNNNNNNNNNNNNNNNNNNNNNNNNNNNNNNNNNNNNNNNNNNNNNNNNNNNNNNNNNNNNNNNNNNNNNNNNNNNNNNNNNNNNNNNNNNNNNNNNNNNNNNNNNNNNNNNNNNNNNNNNNNNNNNNNNNNNNNNNNNNNNNNNNNNNNNNNNNNNNUAUAUACAUUGUGUAUUCAAACAUAAAAAGUGCAAAACUCACUCACAAAUAUUUGACUAUUCAUACAAAAAAAAAAGAAUUUCCUGAAAUAAGGGAGCACAUCUUCUCCAGAAUUGAUCACUGAGGUCAUCUAUUGAGCAAUCCAGGUUCACCUAGUUAUCUAUUUCAAAAUUUAUGGACAACAAUUUGGGUGGUGUUUUUUCAAACAAGGCACAUAUUUAUAGUUCAUUGAAAUACAUCUAUCUUUUGACCUCAUUAAUAUCUCAUCCUUCAUCAUAAACAUACAGAGAAACCGCUCGUUUCUCACAUGUUCCUGAGACGAUAACACCAUAGCUAUUACUGCCCCUUCUCUCUUAAUACCUUCCACCCUUUCCAUUAUAAAUAAUAAAACUGAAACAUAUCAUUCUCUUGAUUGUAUUUUUUCUAAAAUGUUUAAGGUGUAUGUGUCAUUGAGUGUGAAUAUAUUCUGUUGCAAAGUUUCACGAAAUUUAAUUAGUAUGCAACCUGUGCACAAGAGAAAUAAAUAUUAAAAUAAAUUUAGUUAUUUUUGUUAGCCCGCCAUUAUUUAAAAAAAAGUGAAGUCACUUUUUCAUGAAAGCUGGAGAUAAAUUGUGUAUAAACAUAAAAAUGAUGGAUUUUCCUAUCUUUCUCUCUGUCACACACACGCGCGCGCGCGCAUGCACACGCGUGCAAACUUAGGAUUUUAGGAAAUAAUGGGAGCAAAGGCCAUGUGAAAAUAUGAGGUACUCCCUCCGUCCUCGAAUAAGUGUACGUUUGGCAUUCAAGUCUUCAUACUUUUUCUCAUGGCACAGGUUUGCCUUCUCAUGAUGAUGGCCGCACUGUGUGCACAAGCCGCUGGGAGGCCUGUGGCAUGCUUACCAUGGAUAGCGGGGUGUUGCCCGAGGAACUAUUUGUGUUGUGGUGUCGGUGCCGUUGCCCCGACAUCCCAUGCAUCGCAGGCCACCUCUGUACCUUGAGUUAUGGUUUCGCUUGAUCUCCUCUCAUAACAUAGUUGAUAUAGCACAGUAGCAUCACAAAGGUUGCAUGGUUUCAUUGAUUCAUCUCUUCUCUACUCGAACUUGUGAUGCCACUUUUGAACAAUGUCAUUGCUAUGUCUUCUUAUAACUUGUUGGGAUUAACCACGAUGUAGUGGUUCCCUUGUCCGGCACGGACAGAUAGUGGUAGCAGUCACCGAUUUAACAUUGGAUUUGUAAUAGGACUCGGACUAGUUUAGGACUAGCAUAGCUCCUUUAAAUAUCCAUGUACCCCUACGUUGUAGUACUGUACCGAACCAGAUCAAAGCAAUACAGAUCAACAGGACCGACAAGGCCCUGUUUAGCCAUCAACUCGCGUGUUCCUGUGUUAUCGUGUGUAUCGUGUGUUUCGGCGUCGGCAAAACCGAUUUGCUAGUUUGACUAAGCGUAAGGCUGUGCAAAGCUAGCUAGACGUUGUGCCUGCUUGUACGUGCAUAUCUCUAGAGAAAAGCCAGCUUAUGUACACGUGUACGUCCGAAAGUACUCAGACGUACGGGAUCUGUGCCAACAUAACUAAUAAAAUGGGAGGAUAUUUUUAUCUUAUUUGAAUUGUGUUGUAACAUUACCUACUAAUGUGGAUGAUCUAGGUGGACCACAUAGAUCGGAUCUUCUAAAGAUGUAAUCUAGGACUUUGCAAGAUGAUAAAAUUGUCCUUUAUCUUGCUCCACACCUUUUCGUAGAAGUUGGUCGGCCGUCGGCGUCCCUUCAUCUGUGCCUGCUUGCGGUGCAUGCCGUAGAAUGCUCCAUGUUUUGUAGUUGUACAAUAACCUUUGACGUAACUUUUUUUCGACGUGCCAGCCAUCAAUAUUUAUAAUGAGACCUUGACCAUGGAUGGCAAGUAAUUCGCCCUGUGCUGAUGUCGUCGGGUGACCCGCUCACUGAUGUUUUGACUCAAGGAGUCGCUAUGUUCCCUGAAUGAUCUUUUUGUAUAUAAUUGGUUGUUACUUUAAUUAGAAGAAACCACACAAAUCAUAAGUGUUAUUAGUAAAGUGGUAGGCAUGUGCAAAUCAAAACGCCAUUUCCCUUCUAAAUACACUUGUAAAAUCAUUAUGAGUGUCUUCUUCUGAUUUCUUCUGAUUUCUUCUGAUUUAAUAUUUAUGCAAGACACAUUACGAGUGCCAGCUGUGCUGUAACUUUUUUUGUGAGGCACAGCAACUGGAUUGUUGUCGAUACAAGGUAAAACAGAAACUAGUAUCAGAACUUCUGUAUUUAGAAACCUGUUACUAAUAUAUAGUGGCAUCUUUAUCGCUGUUCACUCUCCAUAGAGUGGGGAAGUAAAAUCGGUAAGUAAGCCUAUUUACCUAGUCGCCGUUCAUUUGUUCACCGAGUCGCGAGACAGCGGGAGGAAGGAGAAGAAGGUCCCAACCGUCAGACCAAAAAGGUGGACUCGACUAUUUUCAGUUAUUAGUAGGAGUAAGAAGCAUUGCAAAUUGCUCCGUCUGUUCAAUCCGUAUAUAUGUAGUCCAUAUUAAUAUAUUCAAAAUAUUUUAUAUUUGUGAACGAAGGGAAUAAUUAAUAGUAAUGCAACAAGGGGAGGCCAGUCAGCAGCUAACUAAAUGUGCUGGAUGAGACUGGAGAAAUGAUAAACGAUUUACAUGAUAGAACUACUCUUUUCUUGUUAAGGAAUGAAAGAAUGGAUGAUUUUAUCCGUUCGGAACAAAACCCAUCCAGUUAGACGUUGUCCUGAAUUCCGACGCUUUUGAAAGUUUUCUCGCAGAAAUAUGUGUGUGUAUUCCAGUUGUAUCAUUAGCAAACCAAGGCUGUAUAUAUUAUAGCACAAAGAAUGUUUGGUUGAUUCGUUCAGGCGAAUCAGGUUUCGUGGUUGACUGCCAAAGUUACGGCUAUUUCUGCCUUUGGCGCAGACAAGAGAUUCUGCACUGUAAGGCCUCGUUUGACAUGGAGGGAUUCGUGAGGAUUUGAGGUGUGGGGAUUGGAGGGGAUUUGGUGAAUCCCUCCCCUCCAUCCAAUCUCCUCAAUUCCCUUUGCAUCCAAUCCCCUGAAAAAACUCGUUUGGUAGGCGGACAGUGGAGGAGGCGUGCACUGCCGCUGCCCUCGAGAUUCUGCUUUCGCAAGGCCCUUGACUAGAGUUCUGAACCGCACGGGUGCGAGGGGAUUGGAAGGGAUCGGAGGGGGUUGGGCUGUGCAAACCCCACCUAUCAAAUGGGCCGACGAGGUUUCGUGGGGCUUCUUUCCCUCCCAGGGUUCAUCCUCUCCAAACCUCUUGAAUCCUCCUGCGCCAAACGAGGCCUAAAGAAAAAGCUGAAAGCUCUCUUUUCUCGUGUGUUUCUGUUCUCUUUCACCUUGUCGGAAAACAGCGUGCACCGGGGACGCUCGAUUCCAUUGCAGGCAUCAGUUCAAUCUAUCAUGCUACAGGGAACCGGCUCUAUCUUCUUUUUCCUUUUCUUUUAGGUCGUGAACGCAAGUCAUUUGAGAUAUUCACAUAGGACUUACAAAAUCGGUACGUUCUGACGGAAUUGGACGCACACGAUGGAAAAUAUAGAUAUUCCUAAGGUAGAUUUAUCAACAUCAGUGUGGAGCUAAAGUGUUUGAUGUUUUGUAUGAAUGGUCUGGUCUGAACAAUAAAGCCGGCCACUCAUGACCUACUUUUGGGCUUUCUUUGUAUUAGUGUAUACUAGCAAAAGGGCCCGUGUAUGGGAGAGAAAAAAAAUAUAAUCUUGAAUGGCCAUGAUCACAUUUUUUUGCAUCACCGAGAUACACUAUCACUAUCAAUUUCGGGAAAUCAUGUACAUUUUUUAAACUUGUGGCAUUUUGCAAAUUCAUGAACACUUUUACAAAUUUUCAAAUAUAUUCUUAAAUCAAGAACAAUUUUUGAAAUUCAUGAACAUAUUUUCAUUUACCGAACAUUUUUGAAAAGCAUGAUCAUUUUGGAAUCAGCGAACAUUUUAUGAAUGAAUAAACUAUUUUGUAAGUCACGAACAGUUUUCCAAAUAUUUGGAUAUUUCCCCAUUCAUGAACAUUUUUUGAAUUGGGGACAUUCAAUUUUAUUAACAUUUUUUUAUACACGAAUUUUUAAAAAGUCAUAAAUGUUUUUUGAUAUCACGAACAUUUGUUUUCAAAAUUUUGAACAUUUUUUGAAUCAGAUUGUUCCAAUAAAAUUGCAACCAUUUUUUGAAUACACAAACAUUUUAUGAUUUAUUAAAACUUCAUUUGAAAAUAAUUUUUUAAUUUUCAAAUAUCUUUUGCAUUCCGAAAUUAAUUAAAGUAGAAAAAAUGAAAAGAAAGAUAAAAGGGAAAUUUUAAAUAGGGGCCACUCGGACAUAGGCCGGCCCAAAUGGGCGGCCGCGCCUUCUCCCAACCUGCAGAGCCCAGUAUAGGAGGUCCCUACUACAUGGGCCAGUCCAGACAGGGAUACCCCUGUGUGAAACAUUUUUAUCACUUAUACGUGAUAUUUGUGGGUGAUUUCUAUGACGUACCAUCAGAAGAAAUAGCCCCUUUCUUAUUACUAGCAAAAAGGUCCGUGCAUUAUAACGGGAGAAAAAAAAUUAGAAUCUCCAAUGGCCAUGACCAUAUUUUGCUCCAUCACCGAGAUACCCUAUCUCUCUCAAUUUCGUGAAAUCAUGAACACUUUUUGAAAUCACGAACAUGUUUUAAAACUCUUACACAUAUUUGAAAUAGUAAACAUUUUUCAAAUUCAUGAACUUUUGUACAAAUUUUCGGAUAUUUUCUAAAACUAAGAACAUUUUUGGAAUUGAUGAACAUUUUAUAAUAUUUGCAAACAUUUUUAAAAAAAUUUGAACAUCUUUAGAAACAAUUUUCUCUAAUUGACGAACUUUUUUGUGGAAAUUGAUGUAACAAUUUUAGAAAUUUCUGAACAUUUUUUGAAAUACAUGAUUAUUUUUUGAAUCAGUGAACAUUUUUUAAAUGACUAAACUGUUUUGUAAGGCACCAAUAGUUUUUUGAAUUUUUAGGAUAUUUUUCCAUUCAUGAACAUUUUUUGAACUGGCGAUUAAAUUUUCAAUUUCAUUAAUAAUUUUGGAUGCAUAAACUUUUAAGUAAAAUGAGGAACAUUAUUUAAUUCCCAAAAAAAUGUUUUUAUAAUUUUCAACAUUUAUUGUCCAAGCAAUUGGUUUUUACAAAAUGGCGAAUGCAUUUUGAAUCCACAAACAUUUUAUGAUUUACGAAAAUUUUAUUUCAUGGUACUCAUUAUUUUAAUUUUCGAAACCUUUUUGAAAUCCCAAAUUAUUUAUAGUAGAAAAAACGAAAACAGAAAAGAAAAAAGAAAAUAGAAAACCUAAUUCAAAAAACAGGCCAGCCUGAAAUGGGCCGGCCUAAACGGGCGUGCAGCGUCUUUUCCCAGCGUGCAGAGAGCAUUAUAGGAGGUCCCAACUGUAGGGCCGGCCCAGAUGGGGGAAUUCCCCUGUGCGAAACUUCUUUUUAUCACUUAUAUGUCGAGAUGUGUUUGGGCGUUAUCAGAUGAAAAUAUUGUGUCUAAGAUGACGGCGAGCACGGAGCCAAGUGCGAAGAAUUGCCUUUUUGAACUUCAUGAGUCACUAGACCACGCGAGCUUCUCAAGGAUGAUUGUCACAUUAUGGGCUGUGUGGUAUGCAAGGCGCAAGGUGAUUUAUGAAUCUCUUUUUCAAAAUCCACACUAGACAAUUUCCUUUGUAGACUCUUAUCUUCAAGAGCUACACCAGGCUAUCGCUUGUGAACCGAGGUUACAAGGUCAAGCGGCAAGGGAGCAGCAACGACGUUGGAUUCCACCUCCGCCUGGCUCACAUAAGAUAAACGUGGAUGGUGCAUUAUCAAGAAACAGGCGAGUGGGAGUUGCAGCCGCAAUCUGCCGUGAUUCAAAUGGCAACUAUCUUGGCGCGUCAGCGGUGGUCUAUGGGGACGUACGCGACCCGAUUAUCCUGGAGACAUACGCGUGUCGGGAGGCUCUAGCGCUGGCGGAAAAUCUACACGAGCAGAAUAUCAAGGUGGCAUCGGAUUGCCAAGGUGUGGUGCAGGACAUCAAUGAAGGGACAGCUGGCCCCAAUGCGGCUGUUAUACAUGAAAUAACGAACCGUAAAGAUAGUUUUACGUCUUGCUCUUUUGUUUUUGAGCGUAGGAAUUUUAAUUUCGAGGCUCAUAAUCUCGCUAAAUUUGCUUGUAACCUAGAUAUAGGUAGACAUGUUUGGUUGGGUACUCCUUAUGACCCAAGCCGUGUACCUAUGAACAUUUUUAUGAAUCAAUAAAGACAGCGAGAUUUCUCAAAAAAAAAACUUAUAUGUGGCAUUGAACUCGUGAAGCAUGCGCUAUCCCUUCCAGAUGGCCACCAUGUCUGGCUCGGUCAACUAGACAGACUUUCUUUCGUCCCUGUAAACGUUUUGACGAUAUAAAAAAAAGCUUCAGAGUUUGUCUAAAAAAAACUUAUAAGUGGCAUUGGUGGGUAAUAUUUUGCAACUUUAGAGGUAAUUUCCAUGACGUACCACCAGAAGCGCAAUAGCCCCUUUACUAUUAUUAGGUACUCUUUUUUCCUUGUGGAGCUUUGGAAAUGAGAGAAUUUGAAUAUAGUAACUCUCGGAAACUCUUAUUGGACGAGAGAAAUUUAAUAUGUUAUUGGCAUGGCUUCUACCAACUAAAAUAAGAAGUAUUUUAUUGGAUAAACGGACAAUUUCCUUUAAUCGAUGAACAUUUUUUUGAAAAUUGGUGGAACAACUUUUGAAAUUCAUUUUUUUUUGAUUUAACAAACAUUUUUUUAACUUAACAAACAUAUUUUGAAAUACAUGAUUAUUUUUUGAAUCUGUGAACGUUUAUGAAUGAAAAAACUAGUUUGUAAAUCAAGAGCAGUUUUUGAAUUUUUUGGAUAUUUUUCUGUUCAUGAACAUUUUUUGAAUUGGUGAAAUUUUUCUCAAUUUCAUUAACAAAAGUCAGUACACAAACCUUUUUAAAAAUUAAUGAACAUUAUUUUUUACCGAAAAAUAAAAUUGUUUUUUUCAAAAUCGUGAACAUUGUUUGAAUCCACAAACAUUUUAUGAUUUAUGAAACAUUUAUUUCAAAAUACACAUUUUUUUAAUUUUCGAAAUUUUGUGAAAACCAAAUUAUUUAAAGUAGAAAAACAAAAACAGAAAAGAGAAAGGAAUAAUAGAAAACGAAGUUGAAAAAAUAGGCCGACCGAACAUUAGCCGCCCCAAACGGGCACGCUGCAUCUUCUCCCAGCGCGUAGAGCGCAGUAUAGGAGGUUCCUAUUACAUGGGCCGGGCCAAGCGGGAGAUUUCUCUGCGCGACGCCGCAUCAUGCCACCCACAUCCGUGGAGGCCCGAACUUGGCAAGACGCCAACCACGGCAGGAGACUGGGACCAGUCACUCCUGAGCUGAUCCGGCGACUCCCAGGCCCACCCCUGCCACUACGGUGGCACGCGGGUAGCCUACAAGCCCAUCCACGACGAUGCCUGAUUAGAAGGAUACAUGGAUAUACAGAUGGAAAGGCCCUUGUUAUCCCUCAAGCAAUAUAUAUAUAAAGCUUAAUGGGUCCCAAGAAAGCUCGCACAACCGCUUGUGUCAUCCUCAAUCUAUGGCCACUCUAAUUUUUCCGGUUGGACCUUCCCUGUAGUACCACAGCAAGGCUUGCGUGUGUAUAUAUUUCCUUUAACUACCAUGUGCAGGAUGAGGAUUUACUGCACACAAGUGCGGGGGCACUCAGGUCCUGGUGCCAGCUUGUUAUUUUGGCUUCCGAUUUUCAAACUUCUAUAUCUUUUAAACGAAAAAAUCAAUGUAAGUUAUGUUUUCAUAUUCGUGUUUCUCAUGGCCAGCGCUUUCAAAUAAGAACCAUCUUGAAUAGAUUUUGGUGACUUUUGAAAACAAUGUUAAGUUUCAUUAUUUGAAACUUAGUACGAGCGACCGAUAAAAUUUAAUUAUUUUGUGUCUACGACCAACAUAAAAAAUUGCUUAAAAUUACAUCCUUGAAACUUGUUGAAACCGGGUAUUUUUUGAUGUAAAAAGGUAAGUUUCAUUAUUGAAACUUAAAUUUUUUUGAGGGAUUCUUUUUACCAUGCCCUACUUCACAAAUCGCGAGGCAAAUCGAGCAUGCGGCAUGGCCUGGCCGGUGAGUUAUGAAAGAUGGUGCAUUGUAGAUUUCUUUCUCCCAGUCCUGCGAAUGAAAGAUGGUGCAUACAAAAGUCUAUCCUAUAUGCGUACAUGUGCAUGAUCAGAACAUGUUUUUACGUGUGUCUACUAUAAAUCUCGACCAUUUUUAACACAAAUCAUGACCAUUAAAAUACAUGAUUAGUGAAUCAUACUAUCUUAACCUAUGUGAAAUCAUGUGGAGUAAUAUAAUAUAAUAGAUAGAGAGAUCCAUGUUGUAUUAUUUUUUGUUUAGAAAAAAUAUCUGUCAGUACAUAUCUAGAUUUAUGCAACAUUUCAUGGUGGAAAGUUUGUAUUGUUUCAUACUGAACACCAAAGUUUCCCCGUAAAAGAAAAUAAUGCAUAUGCAUAUGCUUUUAUAUUAUUAUUAUUGUUUCAAAUAUAUUCAUAUAUUAUUUUGGAUUGUACAAUCAUAAUUUUUCUUAUCUCUCUUGUUCCACUACAUGCUCCUAGUCAAUGAAUUAUGUUUUUUUUUCAAUAAUGGGCGUUUUUGUUAACUCAAAAUAUAGCAUCAAGUGGAUACAAAACAUAAUGAAACCCGGCCUCUGUAUAACUAAGAUGCACACAGCCAAAAGCAGAAGUCUGACAAAAAUAAGAUAAGAAAAUCGACAUAUCAACAACAAUGAGUCAUAUAGGACCGCUAUGCCUCUGUCGAAGGAGGUGGUGGUGCGAUCCGGAGAUUAUGCUGCCAUCCAUGCUGAGUAAAAACCUCACUGGCCACUUACUCCAACCGUAUACACACCACCAUGAACAACGGUUGGUAUGCAGUUCGGUGUAGCAUACACCAUGUAGGAAGCGAGUGCUUACUCCUAGUUACUGAAUUAUAUACACCAAAUAAACCCAUUUACACGUAGUUAAUGACAAAAAAAAGUUGAUGCUUGCUACGCAGAUGUGUAGUACUCCCUCCGUCCGAGAAUACUUGUCAUCAAAAUGGAUAAAAAGAGAUAUAUUUAGAACUAAAAUACAUCUAGAUACAUCCCCUUUUAUCCAUUUUGAUGACAAGUAUUUCCGGAAGGAGGGAGUAUAAAUUAAGAAGUGCAAGAUAAGAAAAACAUUGCUGGCCCUUGAUUCGUUGUUGACCCUCAGCAUGCCAUCAUCAACUUGUAGUUAAUUACCAUACAAAUUAGCUCUUUCAUAGAGUUGGAGGCUAGCUCCUUUGAUCAGCACGCGCUUAAACACAAAGAACACGUACAUGUUUUCUCUCCGGAGUUCAACUCUUGAUUGGCCAGCAAAAAUGGUCCGACCGGUUAGAGGAAAGGGCAUGUUUGCUAGUACGCCUGGAUGAAAUGCCUUUGAUUAGGGCAUCUCCAACGGCAAUCAGUAAAUUUCCUCCCGCGUUCAUCCACGGGCAGGGGAUCAAUCCGCAGAUGCAUACAGGAAUCGGCCAUCCAACGUUGUCCGCAUAUAUUUCGAACACUUUUUUUAAAAAAAUCGGAUGAAAUUCAUGCAAAUACAGUGGAUUUCAUACAAACCAAACAAAAACGUUUACAUUUUGAACAUAUUUUUUUACUAAAAACUCUACAGCCAGCGCCGGCGACGGCGAAUAUCCACUCCGGCGACGUGGAUACCCUUGACUAGUCUACUGCCGGCCGCAGCGGAUCUCCAAUGUCGUCCCCAUGUCCAGCAGCUGUGAGCCCUAGAGGUAUAUGUUUGAACGCAAAGAGCGGCUCGCCUUCCUACCGCUCAUCGGAGUGGAACAACCAGCUGAUGCUUCUGCUAGUGGGGAAGGGUCCCUACGCUACAUGGAUCAGAGUUGGUUUUGGGUUGGGAACGGCGGUGGCCUGCCAGAGGGCAAGACACCGGCUGUGAACGUUGGUGUCACCUAACCCAAGCGACAGCUUCUCCUCGAUGAUGGCGGCGAGCGCGGACGUGUUGGACACCACCUCGUCGAUGUCCAUGCAGCCCGCUUCUUUCUCUGUAAGCAGGACACAGUUACGCGCGCGGUGACAUCGGAUGAUGCGGUGACGGGCACGUGAGGGGUGGUACGACAUGGUACCGUCAAUGGCAGCCACGAUGCCUGUGCCACCGUGCUCCCUCCCCAGUGCCGACCUGGAGCAACUCGCCACUCCUUGGCUCGUGACCGGCGGGCUUGACGGGCCACCUAGCACUACUAGGAAAAUGCUUAUAGAUAGAAGUUUACCGGUAGCGAGUUUUUUGACCCCACGCCACUAGUAAUUACCAGUAGUGCUGUGUAGAAAACACGCUACUACUAACAUAUAACAGCAGUGUUUGUUUGCUUGGGCCGCGCUACUAUUACAUGGGCCGCAGGGCAGAAUCAAUAGCCCACUUAGCUGUAGCGUUUGUUCUGAAAGGGUGCUACAGCUGGUGGGCUUAGCAGUAGGGUGGUGCUCCAACCAAAGCUACUACUAUAGCUAAAGAAAACCGGCCCGAUCGAGCGCCCCCGCACCCCCCUCCUCUCACAAUCGAUCCCCUCCGCCCGACGACGACGCCGCCGCGGUUAGGGUUCGUCCUCGGCCGCCUCACCCCCGUCGAUGGUGCCGUGCGCCGCCACCACGCGCGGUCGCCUCUCGCCUCCUCCGACGCUCUAGCCCCGUAAGUCCCCCUCUCGAUCUCCUCCUCCCUGCGCGCGCCACAGUAGCUCCUCUCGAUCUCUCGGUUAGGGUUCGUCGUAGGGGCUCCAAUCGAUUUGCCGCGGCAGCUCGCCAUGUUUUGGGAUUUAGGGAUUGCACGGUUGCUCCGCGCUUCGAUGCAUGGCUCCAAUCGAUUUGCCGCGGCGGCUCGCCACUCCCCUUGCUGCCCCUACGCGGCGCUCCGCCCUCUCUGUUAAUUAGUAUCACAUAUGAAUUAAUAGGAUUAGUAUCACAUAUGCAUCUCUAGAUCCUACUGUUAAUUAGUAUCACAUAGGGGAGAGAGUAGAGGAUUUUGUUGCUCAUUGAAACUUAGGAGAGAGUAGAGAGAAGUAGCUAGAGAAGUAGAGGCUUUUAGCACAUAUAAUUGAAACUUGGGUUUCAAUUCUUGGCUGCUGCCCCUGGAGGAGUGGUGGCAGCGGCGGUGCCUAGUGUUCUAGGGUUUAGAGAGGGGGCGUCCAUGUCAUGCCUUUUCCGGAGAGGAGCCACGGGCGGCGUCGGUUGCCGUGUGCCGUUUCGUGAACGCCUCCACACGCUCAAGUUUGUCGAUGAUGGUCGUAGGAUCGGCUCCCCUUCUGAACGCCUCCACAUCGGUCGUUUCGAGAAGGGGUACGUGGGGUGCACCUUCGGUCUACACUUUGCAUCAUUUACGCUCGACCUACUGUAUGAUUGGAUCCUUUUCCUCUCUUUACGUAUUUCCCACUUGUUGCUGACAUGAUUGUUGGUUUGGUUCUACUCCGUGCCUGGCUGGGAGGAGUUUUGGUGGUUUUCAUGUUGGGGUUUGGGUUGGUUGUUUGAUGUGUGCUUAUUGUUACCAGGGUGUUGCCGAUUUGGCAUUGGAUUGGGCUGGCUCAUGUUUGACUUUUUGCUUUGUGGUUGGGUGGUUUCGACUUUUCUGAUGUGAUGUUAUGGAUAUUGCUUCUAUAGGAGUGUAAGUGCUCGGUUCGGGUUGUAUCAAGUGUUUUCCUUGUUGUUUCUCAAAUUAACCCUAAUGAAUAUUGAUGGUCAGAUGGGUUAGUGUUCGGUUUGGUUAACAAAUGUAGAUUUUUUUGAGGUGAUGUUCAUGGCCAAAAAAGUAUAGGCUUGGCCACUAGGUGUUGUUCAUGUGAGAGACAAAGCUACAAGCUCAUGUUCCUAUCAUAGAAAAAUAGUUAAUUUGUAAGUGCUAUACUCAGAAAUCAUCAAGAUUUAGGAUUACUGAUAUGAGAAGGGGGUAGUUUAUUUAGUGUGCUUUGUUGUGAUUAACGAAGAUGAGAUGAGAUCAAAGUAUUAUUAUGUUUUGCCAUAUAUUUGUUUGUUACAUCUCUAGAUUAUUGAGCUACUAGUAUUGUUUAACCUUGUGUUUAGUGCAAAUUUCAUGCUGAUAGCAACGCUUCAUCUGAAGAGUUGGGGACAUUAGUUUACUAGAUUGCUAGCUUUCUUGGUAUGCUUUGUUGGCAAUUUGCUGACAGGAUUCUAACUUUGUUUGAGUCCGCGACAGAAUAAGUUUGACACAGAUUUGAGGUGCGCAUGAAACUCUUGUGUUUUAUCAUACAAUCAAUCUACUUUUGCAAUUUGUUAUUGUUGGACUGAACUUUAUGUUUACUUUUUAGUUGUUGUUUUGCUUGCCAUGUGAACUAUAGCUAUGAAAACUUUAUGUUUACUUUUUAGAUCGUUAAUCCUUUAAUCAUAUUGCUUUAGGGAAAUGGCGCCACCACCACCACCACCAUGUCGACGGUGCAAGUCAAGGUGCGCCAACAGCCUUGCAACUGGCAUGCUGUUUGGCAUCUACUUCGAGUCUAGUUUUCUUCAUGCGGUGGUAAUAAAUUAUAUGAAACUAGUAACUACUAUUUUGUUUUUAGUGUUAUUGGCAUUAAUGCAUUGUGUAUAUAUCAUUUUGCUUUUUGUACACAGAUCGUCCCAUGCAAUGUGAGGUCAGAAUUCAACAAUCUGACUGGAGACUCUGUGACAUUUGAGGCUCCUGGGGGCCCCUACACUAUGGAGAUUGAGAAAGGACGAAAGAUGACGCGGGUGGGAGGAGAUGGAUGGGCCCGUUUCAUCGACAACAUGCGUAUCACCGGUGGUGAGUUGAUCAGCUUCUCCUUCAGAGCUGAACGACCCAAGCUGGCCGUGAUUUAUAUCAACAAAGCAGAAGAUUAUGAGGAUGAUGAGGAUGAUGACGACCCACUCGGUGAUGCCAUCGUAGCUCAAAGAAUGAAGUUGAGCGAGGAGGAGGUGUGCAACCUAUGGGACAUCAUUCCGCCACGUGCUGACUUCGUCGGGGUGCCAUUCGUGACCCGUCUGACAAGUACCAUGGUUGAUCGGCAUAUGAUGGUAUGUUGCAUUUACUGUAGUUUUUAGAGUAAUUUGAUGAUAUGCUUUAUUGUUAUACUUAGUGUAGAGUCCGAUGAUAUAUAUGCAUAGUGAAUCUUAUAUGCUUUAUUAUUAUACUUUAGUGUAGAGUCCGAUCAUAUAUAUGCUUACUGAAUCUUAUAUGCUUAGUGAAUCUUAUAUGCUUUAUUGUUAUACUUAGUGUAGAGUCCGAUGAUAUAUAUGCUUAGUGAAUCUUAUAUGCUUUAUUGUUAUACUUAGUGUAGAGUCCGAUGAUAUAUAUACUUAGUGUAGAGUCCGAUGAUAUAUAUGCUUAGUGUAGAGUCCGAUGAUAUAUAUGCUUCGUGUAGAAUGUGUGAGGCUACUUAUUAGUUGAUAUGUUUUUCUUAUCCAGAAAUUGCCAAAGAGCCUAUCUGAGAGUUAUGGUAUCAAGCCUGAUGAAGAAGGCUCUGCUGGAAUACGCCUUACCGCAAGGGGCUCCGUCGCCACUUCUGCGUACGGCGUGGACACGGACGGUCGCACACACUUCAACUCGGUUCGGUGGAAGAGCUUCCUCGUCGGCAAGAAUCUUCAUGUUGAACAGACAAUCCUAAUUACUAUCAGGAACACCCACCGCCCAUGCUUGAGGAUGAUGGUCGUCAUCGACAUCAUCUAGAACUUCAUAUGCAUGCGUGUGGCUGUUGAACCAUAUAUAUGCUAGUAUGACUACCUAGUAGACUUAUCAACUAUGAUCUAUCCAUGCAUUGUUGACUACUAAAUGAGUUUGUGAGAUUGUGUGGUUAUAUUAAAUGUGGUACUGUCGUUAAUGUUUGUGAGAUGGUUCUGUGAACUUAGUUUAUUUGCACUGGACUUGUCUUGAUUUCCAUGAAUAUUGCACCUGACUCCUUUUUUUAUUUUUUAUUUCUAUUUGCCUAGUUGUAGCGUGGGGAGAAAAUAGGGCGCUACUACUACGUGAUGAUAGUAGUAGCGCUGGUGGAGGAAGCAUCGCUACUAAUAAGUAUUUUAGCUGCAUCGCUUGUUCAGAAAUGCGCUACUGUUAAAUAAUAGCUGUAGCACCUAGCAGUAGCGCGGGUGCCCGCGCUACUGGUAUGUAAAAAACCAGCGCCACUAGUAAGCUUUUCUCUAGUAGUAUAGCCAUUGUUUAUGCCAGACAACUCUUCUUCCUGCUCGUCAGAUGCCAUGGAGAAAACUGUUCAAGGAGGAAAAUGGUGAGUGGAGGUGUGAUGCGGUCUUGCUCGACAUCUGACAUUGUUUAAACAGCUAGGGGACACGAGGAGCCAACCAGUGUUCUGUUUAAUGCCAGCCGGCUCGCGAACGGACAUGUGGCCGGAGUAAUUAUCCUGGCAUAAGCGCGGGUUUAAUGGUGGAAGGCAGGCAGUCUGUAGGAAUGAGGCGAGGAUGUGUGUUUAGCGGGCGUGCAGCGGGGCAGCACCCUCGGCUGGCGUGCCGCUUCCGUUGCGAAGGCAGUGAGAGGCCGCGUCCGCUCUGCAGUGGCAUGAAUGCGGGCAGCUGGCGCGCCACUUCCAUUGCGAAGGCAGCGAGAAGCCGCGUCCGCUCUGCAGCGGCAUGAAUGCUGGCAGCUGGCGCAGAGCGGGAACGCGUGCGGGCGAGGGAGGAGGGGGUUUGGGUGGGCACGGGUGGUCAGAAGCGGUUGUGGGUGUUGUCCGGAUGCCUGCAAAGCCACCAUCCCCAUGUUCGUCUUCGGUUUGUGGGAGAAAGUACGUACGGAUCGCCCUGUGGACCGAUACAAGCCCGCAUUCGAUGGCACAACACGUCCAGACCAUGUGGUCCGAAUGGUUGUAGAUGGUUUAUUUGAGAGUCGGUGUUGGAUAUGCCUUAGAGUUUAUGAUACCAUUGUGUUUUUCUAAUCAUAAAAAAAUACUUAUAAUAAGUUAUAAGGAAAGACACGUAUAUAUGUUAGGUUCACACUCCAGCUUUCCUCUUACAUAUGUUUUUUCUGAUCCGACUGAUUCCAAUAGAGUGAGCCUAGCGUUGUUUUUCUAAAAACUCGAGGGAUAAGGAGACAUGCAUACACAUUGUUUCAAGCAAAUCACAUCCACUCUUUUUAACUCAUUUUUUCUUGUUUUAAUAAUAUAAUAAAUCAUUUUUAAUUUUUAUUUCAAAUAGUUGACGUGUAAUUUAUAUUGUAAUCUAAGGAAAAUGUUUGGAUUUUACUUUGAAAUAUAUUUCAAAUGGCCAUGAUGGAAUCACAUCCAUUUACUUUAUUUUUAUUUGGAUUUGCUUCAAAAGAUAAAUAAUGGGUAGAGGUCAUGUCAACUUUUCUGAGAAGUUUGCUAAUCAAAAUAUAAUUUUUAUCUUAAUACAAUCCAUUAUUUGACUACUCUAUUGAUUUGUAUUUAAAGACAUCUAUUUUUAGCACGCAUGAAAAACAUAACACAUAUCUUUCCACACAUAAUGAACGGUUGUCAUUAGAAUUCAUGCCAUGCCACAGCCUCCCUCUGACCCUGCCAAUAUUGUUGCAGCUGCGCUCGCAAGCCUUUGCGUAGAUGAUCAUUUAUAUGAUUUGUGUAAAACAAAAUAAGAUCUACAAACGAAUAGAAGCUAGAGCGUACCUUGGCGUGCACACACAUUGCAAGCCAUACUAACUUGAUAAGUGUUAAUGACUUGUACAACAUAUACAUCAAUUAAGACAAGUAAAAGCGAUUUGAUGAGUCAUGGUCUAUCAAAGCAGCCACAUUACUAGUCUAAUCCAUCUUAACAGGUCACGCAUGAUUACAAUCUUGUUUGUGUGCAAGUCAAGCCUAUCUAGUUUACACGUAACAACUUGUAGAACAUUACAAAAUUGAUGUUUGCUAAUAACUUCUAGAACACUACAACACUUGACAUGUAAAAGGAAUUUGAUGAGUCAUGGCCUACUAAAGCAAGUUACAUUACUAGUCUUAUCUAUCUUAACAUGCCACACAAGAUUACAAACUAAGUUCUGUGCCAGCCAUGCUUAUCUAGUUUAUGUGUAAAAAUUUGCAAAACAUUACAAACUUAGUUUCAGAAAAGUAGGCAAUCUAGAUUAGUGUUUGAGUUGUAAAGUGAAGAAGAUGAGUCAUGCGUGUUAUCACACCUUUUUGGUGGUGGAAUGAUAGUGCAACAACAAGGAACUUUAAUGACUAGUCCAAGAAUACACUUGUAAGUAGUGCCACCAAACACAACAUACCAAAUUAUGAUUUUGGGAAGCAUCCAAACACUUUACACACAAGCAAAUGCCAAUUGUGAAAGAGAUCAUGCCAUGACAGCUAUAAAUAGGCCCGUAGCAUGAUGAUCAUCCUUCCUCAUCCAUCAUUCUCAUAAGUAGAGUGCAUCAUUAAAGGCAAGCAAGCAGUGGUCAAUACAAAUCCAUCAUGAAGACCUUUCUCAUCCUUGCCCUCGUGGCGACCACCGCCACAACUGCAGUUAGAGUUCCAGUGCCACAAUUGCAGCCACAAAAUCCAUCUCAGCAACAGCCACAAGAGCAAGUUCCAUUGGUACAACAACAACAAUUUCCAGGGCAGCAACAACAAUUUCCACCACAACAGCCAUAUCCGCAGCCGCAACCAUUUCCAUCACAACAACCAUAUCUGCAGCUGCAACCAUUUCCGCAGCCGCAACCAUUUCUGCCACAACUACCAUAUCCGCAGCCGCAAUCAUUUCCACCACAACAACCAUAUCCACAACAGCGACCAAAGUAUCUACAACCACAACAACCAAUUUCGCAGCAACAAGCACAACAACAACAACAACAACAACAACAACAACAACAACAACAACAACAACAACAACAAAUCCUUCAACAAAUUUUGCAACAACAACUGAUUCCAUGCAGGGAUGUUAUCUUGCAACAACACAACAUAGCGCAUGCAAGCUCACAAGUUUUGCAACAAAGUACUUACCAGCUAUUGCAACAAUUGUGUUGUCAACAACUGUUGCAGAUCCCUGAGCAGUCGAGGUGCCAAGCCAUACAUAAUGUUGUUCAUGCUAUUAUUAUGCAUCAACAAGAACAACAACAACAGUUGCAACAACAACAACAACAGCAACUGCAACAACAACAACAACAACAACAACAACAACAACAACAACAACAACCGUCAAGCCAGGUCUCCUUCCAACAGCCUCAGCAGCAAUAUCCAUCAAGCCAGGUCUCCUUCCAGCCAUCUUAGCUAAACCCACAAGCUCAGGGCUCCGUCCAACCUCAACAACUGCCCCAGUUCGCGGAAAUAAGGAACCUAGCGCUACAGACGCUACCUGCAAUGUGCAAUGUCUACAUCCCUCCACAUUGCUCGACCACCAUUGCGCCAUUUGGCAUCUUUGGUACCAACUGAGAAGAGAAGAACUCUAGUACUAGAUAUAUGAAACACCGUUUUCUUAGUCCAUGAUUUGGUCGUUGUAGCAGUGAAAAAAUAAAGUGACAUGCACUAUCAUGUAAGAACCCGAACUAUACUAGUUCAAACUUGGGAAUAAAAGACAAACACAUGUCUUGUCUACAUAUGAUUGUUUGUUUGAGUUCCAUUCAUGUGCCAUCACAAGUUCACCCCUAAUUAUAUAUAUUAUGCAUUAAGUAGAUAUUUAUGUUGCAUUAAUCUAAAGAUAAAAAAAUGAGUCUGAAACUUGAAUUAAAUUGAAGUAUUUUCUAGGACUUCCAAAUGGAGUAUUAUUAAAGUAGUAAGGACAAUCCACAUCCUUGGCUUGCCCUUUAUCAAUUAUUUCCAGAGAAG